rnacentral:lncRNA from 1 species
GGAAGAUCAAAAUUCUGUUUGUCGUGUGCCUAUUGACAAAUUGAACAAAGAUUCUAGAUAUCUGCUUGUAGUGUUAAGGAGGUAAGUGUGCUUACUGAUUGUGGUGUUUUUUUUCUUUUUUGGGGGGGUAGGCAUGUUUUACAUUUGGCUGUCACUAUGGAGACAGACUCUGAUUGACAUUGCCCAAGUAGCACUGUUUAGCAGUAGUCAUGAUACACUGUUACAUUGCAGCCAGAAUAAGUGUGUAUUUAAUCCCAUGGCAGAUGACAUAUUUCUUAAAGCAAGUUUCAGAUGCCAUAUUGUACUUAAGCAAUCGAUUGAUACCUUAGAAGAAUAUAGGAGCUGUGCAAAGAAGAAAAAAAAAGGUUAAAGGUCCAUCACUAGCAGAAGGGCAUGAAGAAUGUAAUACUGCCUGCUGUCAAUGGGUAGAUGACAGCUACAAGAAGUAUAGUCCCUUAAAAAACUGCUGAACUAACACUCGUAAUGCUGCCCGGGACACGUUUUCUCGAUUUGGUGCCAAUAUCAGUUUCCUGCUGAGUCUCAUCUAGAGAGACACAAACAUGUGUAAGAGGGGGCAGGCUGGGGAGGGGGAGAAGAGGGCUGAGAGAGAGGGGCAGCAGCGCCUCCCCCGGCUGAAUGGACAAGAUGCAGAGAUCUAUCAGUCAGUGAGCCGGGUUGUAUACCAAGCACUCAUAGACAGAUAUGUAAUAUCAUGGGUUAUAUCAAACAGAAAUAUUAUUAUAUAUUUUUUAAAGAUUUUUAUUUUCAUAAAAAGUGAAAUGGGGUACCGAAAAGAAAAGGGGGGGUGGGGGAUAUUAUGUUUUAAAUUAAAUAAUUUUCAAAAUAUAAAUAAAAAAAAAAUAUAUAUAUAUAUAUAUGUGUGUGUGUGUGUAUGUUUGUGUGUGUGUAUACAUAUAUGUACAGACACACACACACACACACACACGAGGCUUUCUGCAGUACUAUAAUAUGGACACACACUUUAAUAACACAAUUGGAGUUAUCUUUAACCGUAACCUGUCUAUUUUAAGGACAACAUUUUGACAGUAAAUAGCUGGGAACAGGCGCCCCCAUUGUAAUGAAAGUACAAUAAAGAAGCAUUAUUAUAUAUUUAAUUUUCAUUUGCCUCACAUGCCACCCUAAGCGUCUGAAGAUCAGACAGACAGUGAGAUCUAAAAUCUAUCUAUAUGCAAUACACUGAGUUUUAAUAUUAUUAGCUCAUGUUUGUAUGUAUUUGCACUUGCUCUAAAAAGAGUAUAGUCAGAGUAUCUCAAACAUAUAAUAAUGUCUGACACAUGUUGGAAUAAAAACAAAGCAGACAAAAUAGCAGAAUUUGCAAAGUUGUCAAUUAAUGGGUCUUUCCUUUAUACAGGGAAAUCAUUUUAUUUGUUCUGCUUCUGUUAUGUAAUUCUAUCUGUCCUUGUCACUAACUCCCCAUAUGUUUUACUUGGAAUUCUAAUCGAUCUCUGUUUAACCCCUUGUAAUCAGGGCAUGUUCUCAAUAGACAGAUGGAGACCUGUACUGUACUGAGAAACUGUCCCUGGCACUUCUAAGGCUAAUAAAACAUUUAUUUCCUGAUAAAUGUAAUCAGUGACUUCAAACUGUGUCUGUGAAAACGUAAAAAACACAUAGAAAGGCAUUGCAAAGAAAAAGCAGGAAUCCCAUCAACUGAACUGGCUUUCAAUACAAGCCAAUUCUGUGCUUGCAUCAUUUUCCAAUCGCUCCAGAAACAGGCAACAUUUAAUCUGACAGCACAAACAUUGGGGAUUUCUUUUAAAGGUUAUCUCAAAUCCCACCAAACAAACACCAGCACAGUGUGCUUUCUGUUUACUUUUUUUUUUUUUGUAACUGGUAUAACAUUUACAUGCAAGAGUGAACCAAAUCUUACAUUUAUAGAGAUCUGAUUUUAACACAAUAUGUUACAUUGUCUUAUCCUGAAAAUAAAUAUUAUAUGAUAGAAGACAUUUUUGUGGCUCUUUACACAUGUGUAGAUACAAUGUGUAGAUUUAAAUAGUUGCAUUUACACACACACACACACACACACACACACACACACACUUAUAUAAAUAUACACAACACACAUUUAUAUAUAAUUCCUAUACAUAUUAUAUGUAUCAUUUAUUCCUAUUUGAGAUUAUACUAUGUUUAUAGAAUUUAGAAAUGAAAUACUGUAUAUGCAGUGUGAUUAUUUAUGUUAUUUGUGUUUAUGUCGUUCAUGUUGAUGUAAUAUCAUGCAUUAUUUUUUUACAUGUUCAUUGUUUACUGGUUUAAGUACGCACACCACAGUCAUAGCCAAUGACAUUUAAUACACACAUUGGGAACAUUUUGCAUCAAAAUGAGCUAAAUGUGGGAUAAUGUUUACACACAGUUUUUUUUGUUUAUGUUAUGUAGCUGGUCCCAUGUAUUUAUUAGUGUGUUCGUUAUUUUUUUAAUUUUUUUUUACAUAUAUAUAAAACUAUAUGAAAAUAUAUAUAUAUAUAUAUAUAUAUAUAUAUAAAAACUCGAUCAUGAUUUAACAUAUUCUUUUUUUUAACUAAUUGAUUCCCUGUAAAUAAUAUGAAAGUUUUUUUCCCCCUCUAACCACGCGAUGACAGAUAGGGCAAUAAAAUCCCAGCAAUAUAUGGGCUUUCAGGCCCUUUAAAGAAAGCAAAUAAGGUGACGUGUCUGUGAGGGGCUCCCAUUAAUGGGGAUCUGGGUUCAAAUGACUGAGGUAGUGGAGGUGAUAUAAAUGACGGGUUUGUGGGGAAGGGGACGAGGAAUAAAAACACAAAACUUUUAGAAACCUGAUUCAAUAUUUUUAUUUUAUAUGUACAUGUUUUUUCAGAGAUAUUGAAUUGCUUUAAAGUGGUAGUUAAAAUAUUUCUUACUCAUUUUGGGGGAGGGGGUAAUGGUUCGGGGGAGAGGGUAUAACAAUAGUAUAAAUAUUUCCAUUUGUGAAAGAGUGAAUUUUAAUUUUCACAGGCAAAUAUGACCUGUGGUGAUAAAUAAUUCUAGUGUAAAUCUUUACUUGGGGAAAGGGGCUGUUUGUACACACUGACUUUCAUGCUUAAGGCCCUAUACCUUAGUCCAGAGUAAGGGUUAAACACAACACAUAUUCUAUGAACUCCAAGGCAUGAACUAAAAGAAUAAUGAAUGAUAUUGUUUGGUUAAUAUCACAUAACAUGUCCUCUCAUACCCCUCCCUCCUCCUUUUGCUUUGACGACCUUUUAAUGAUAAAACAACUAUGCAGAGUGUGGACUGUAUUCUAUACAUUGUUACCAGGCUCUCUCCAGCUUGUCACAUAUACAGUCCUUAUCUCCACCUGUGUGUGUUUGUAUUCAUUUAACACAGGCUACAUUUAACAUUUAAUUUACUUACUUAAGCCUUGCAUGAGGCUGUUUCAUUACAAUAACUAUUUUAAUAUGUUUAACUACCCUGACCUAUACCUUCCCCCUAGAUAGCCUAAUCAAAUGGCAAAUAAACCGUAUUCACGUGUGUGUGUAUGUAUAUAUGUAUAUGUGUGUGCAUUUCUGUAUGUGUGUGUGUGUGUGUUUAUAUAUAUAUAUAUUUUUUUUAAAUUUAUUUAUUUGGUAUUUCUUUUUCAGGAAAAGUUGAUACAUUCAUUAUAAAUCAGUAGUUUUUUUUUGUUUUAGUAAUUGCACAAAUUGUUUGAAACGUAUAUAUCCAGUUUGUAAUUAAUUUUAACUCAGUUACUUAUUACCGAACGAGCACUAAUCGAGUUAACCGUGAUUUAAAUGAAUCAUAAAACGCUUUCUGCUUCCCUCGUAUUUUAUUCCAGUCGUGCAAUUUUAAUAUAUUUUUAUUUUGUCGUAAUUAAGGAGAAAAAAGAACUCAAAUUAAUGUGUUUCCUUACACUUUGUAUGAAGGUUAUUAUGUAAAAAAACAAAACCCUAACUGUUAUUUAUCUUGCAGUGUCCGCAAUUCUAAGAUCAGCUGUGUCAGUCAAUUGCUGCGAUUUGUACAGCCUUACACAGGGCAUCAUCAUACAUUUCACAAUAAACUUAAACAUAUCUCUCUGAUAUGUGAAACAUUAUCGCAAUUCUUUUAUUUAGCUCCGAUCAAUACAGUAGCUAAAGUUGAAAACAGUUUUUUAAAGUUCUGGCGUCAUAAUAAAUAACAUUUCUAAAGUAGCGUAAAGACUCAGUUAAAUGCAUCAUAUCUGUACAGCAGUACUAAAACGAACUCGAGUUAUAUACUACAUUUGUUUAUAUAUUAAAUCAUUAACAACAAAAAAACAACCAAAUUCUAUACAACUACACUUUCUUUCCCUGUUUUGCAUGCAAACCUUCCAUAUUAUUCUUUAUUCUCUAUAUAUCUGUUUGCCUAUCUGUCUGGAACUAUAUAUAUCUAUGUACAUACAGAAUACAUACACAUAUAUUCACAUAAAACCAAUCCCCCUUUCCUCUCUAUUUCCCCCUCUAUGUUUCCCCACCCCUCAUCUACAUAGUACUGCUAUUGAUCCAUCCCUUACACAAGCCUACCUUAAAAGAACAAAAUAGAUAUCAGUUCCAUACUUGUAGAGGAGACUAGUAUGGACACUUUAUCUAAACAUUCAACCAUAUCCACAUGUCUCAUGUUAUAUCACUGCUUCUGCCAUGCAGUAAUUGGAGUUUUUUUUUUUUUUUUUUUUACCAAUUUGCAAUAAACCUGGUCAUAACUUGAGUCUUUAUUAUUUGCUUCUUUUUUUUUUUUAUUUUUAUUAAUCAGCAUUAAUUUGAGGCGUAUCAUUUAGAAAGAGUGAUAAAGUGUCCUGCACUGAUGUUUAAUUAGUAGCUACAGACAGCAAUGUGUUUAGUUAAAACCCCAAACAUUCUCAGUGUAUUUGCCCAGGUACUGGGAUAGCAGCCUCUGUGGUCAGGCGUGUUGCAAACCUCAUCUCAGACAAUUCAUCUCAAUACCUGUUGACAACAAGCUUGCAAAUGACCUCAAACACAGGGACCUGUCUGGCAAGUCUAUGUAAUGAGUCAAUACAUCUUUCCAUAAUAGGAUGUGGUUGAAGGUAUACACAUUGUAGCGCUGUGUAUGUUUUCAGACCUGCAAGCUACACUUUGAAUGGGAUGUUUGUUUAGCCACAUUAGCGAUGACAUUAAUGUGCAGUCUAAACAUGAGAUUUAUUUAUUUAUUUACCCUUUCCUGGACCCAGAAAGGAAUAUUAUAUAUAUUUAUGUGUGUGUUGCUGUUGUAGGGUUCAGUUAAAUAAUUGGGGGAUUACAUGGUACUUUCAAUACACAGAUGAGCAAGUAAACAGUUUUGACAUUUCAUCUAUUAUGGGCAUAAUUUGGAAAAUAUAUACUAGAGGGGUGCAUUCUAAUCCUUUAUAAUUAACAUACCGGACUCAGCAUUUUUUAUUAAUGUAUUACAUGCUUCUAUUAGCUAUAAGCUAAGCUGCAUGUUAUAUUGCAGAUACACACCUUUUACAUGUAGAGUGCUUCUACAAAGUCCAAGAUUUAGGAUUUUCGCAGACCUGUUGCAUUUGGGAACCUGAUAAACCCUGGGCUGUCUGUAUGGUCUAAAAGGAAAAGAAGGAACAUCACCUGUCUGAAGCUCAGACAGUCCUCCCACUCCCCCCCAAAAAAGACAAAAUGAGAAUCUUUGAAUAACAGCUUUUGACCCCAGUGCUCAAAACUAAUGCUCUUUAAUCCUAUGUAAACAUCAUCAGAGAAAACUCCCAUGGAGUAGAUUCAGUGUUUUGAUUACCUAGCAAGGAUUACAGGCAAAUAGUGUCAGGUCCACCCAAAACCAGCUAUACUUAACAACAUAGUCUCUGGACUUCCCAAGACAUGGAUAGCUAUCGAUACAUUUCAUUCAUAUACUAUUUUACUGCAGCCACAUGUUCAGAGGUUUAACCCCUUAGGGGGCAAUCUGGACAUACCUCUUGCUAUUGUUUGAGUCUUUAAAUGCCACUGACCCUUCAUGGAGUUAAAUCUAUUAAUACAGUGUACACACUGAAACUAUGAUUGACCCAGAUUAUAGGUUAUAUGGCCUAUUCUCAUCUACCAACAGCAACUCCUACUUAAGAUAACUUAUAGGUUUAUUCAUUACAGUGUAUUGAGAUGAAAUGUCAAGUGAAAUGGUAAAACUCACAGGGUUAACUACUAAAGUGAAUUUCAAAUAUAAAGUCAACACAGCUGAACUGGAAAAGGCUAAUUCUAUGUGAAUUCACCUUAAAUUCUUACUUUAGUAAAUAAUUCCAUCAGCUUUUGCUAGCAUGAAGUAAAAAUUGCAAUUUGGUUGACAGGCCAUCACAAAUUACAGUUUAGUGAUCGGUUUACUUACCUGUACUCAAAUAAGAAUUGUAGCAUUCAUACACUUUGCAUAUGUAUUUCAUAUAGUAACACAUACAAUCUGUAUAUUUGUUAUAAACAAGUAACAUUAUAUGAUAUGAUUAUAUUUCAUUCAAAUCCCCACAGUAUUCAUAUAUAUAUUUGUAAAAAAACACAUUUAAAAUAAUAUGAGGUGGGUUUUAGUACAUUUUGUUUAAUACAAGGGAACCACAGCUUUUAAUGGUGUUACAAAAUUAAACCCACAGGUAAUUAACAGCAGGUGUACGGACGUGUUAAUACAUCUGGUCUGGAUGUUGCAAAUAUUGUUUCCAAAUCAGUAUGUAAAAUAUCAUAAAAUAUUGGUUUAAAUAUUAAACAUUGCAAGCUAAUUCUGUAGAUAGAAUGUUUACUAAUUACUCAACUCUACAUUUUGUAAAAUACAGGCCAAAAGUACUGAUUUGGAAAAACUCUUUAACACUCCUUGGCUAUUUAAAAUUAUAUUUUACAAAUUACUACAAUUGAAGUAAAUGUUUAGUACAUUGGUCCUCAAACUCCGGCCCCCCAGAUGUUGCUGAACUACAACUCCCAUGAUUCUCUGGCUAUCUAUUUAAUUCAAAGAAUCAUGGGAGUUGUAGUUCAGCAAAAUCUGGGGGGCCGGAGUUUGAGGACCAAUGUACUAAACAACCUGCAGUACCACAGGUUGUACCUUAUUUAAAGUGAAUUUGUACUUUCACCCUUUCCAAGGCUAAUAAACUGAGUACCAUUCAUUUGAGUAACAAUAAGUAUGCGCGGAAAUUAGGAAAACCUAAAUGUACUUUUCUUCUUCUCAAACCUCAACUAUAUGAAAUAUAUAUUAUUUAUUUAUAAAGCGCCAACAUAUUCCGCAGCGCUGUACAAUUGGGAAAAAGUUACUAAGCCAUUUGUCAGUGUAAAUAAUUAUGUGUUCAAUUAAUAUAAAUGGUUAGGGAAUACCGCACACGUUUGUAAAAUUCAUCCAGCAUCUUUAUACCAUGCUAGGGCAAAUAAGUAGAGAUGAAAUGUAUUAAUCCAAACGAGAACUCCAGAUCCCAUCAGAUGUGUGUUGUGUGUUCCUCGGUUAUCUCUCUGUAGGAUUACAUGUUUGACUCCUUGACCAAUCAAGUUGCUGGAUGAAUUUUGUAACUGGAAGUUCAUGUUCUUGGGUGUAGCCACAUACUUCAUGCAUGGUAGCAUGUCCUGUUCAUAUAUGUCACAAUAGGUGUGCAUAAUAUCACCUUCUCAACAAGUGAAAGAGGAGUAAAUUAAAAAUGUAAUUAUGUCAAUUUACCUAGUUUACAUUUUCCAUUUAUGUAUUCACAGAUAUUUUUCUAUCAGGAACUGAAGUAUUCAUGUAAAAUGUAUGAGGUAGGUUUGGCAAAUAUAGAUAAAACUAUGUGGGUAAAAUAUUCUGCUUCUGGAUUUCAGUAAGAAGCCUGAUGGCAUUUUUUCCAAUGUAGCUUUCCAUACACACAAAUAAAAUAACAGUGUGUGUGCACAGAAUGCCCACCUAUAUACACCAACUAUUUGUACUUUAUGAUUUAUAUCCGCAUAUCUCAAAUCCUCAUAGAUUGUAAGCUCGUUAGAGCAGGGCCUUCAAAUAUCCUCUUUAUAGGACUGUAAAUCACUGCUGAAUAUGUUGGCAUUAUAUGAAUGUAAAUAAUAAUAAUAUACAGGGCUUUGCAAGGUUCCAGUGCAGCUUGCAAAUAAUCAAUGCUCUAUGAUGACUGACAUUUUAGUCCUUCCUCAGUCCUCUUAGUUCUUUGGUGUUAGAGUUCAUUAAUAAAUCUUGCCCUUCAAAACAACUUCUACGGUGUGGGUUAGAGUGAACAGACCUGACUUUCAUAGUGCCUCUGCUGAGUUAGAGAGGGACAAGAUGGCACCCUAGAACAGAAAUUUAGAAGAGUGAUACCAAACUGUACAACAGAGAGAAAUGAAGAGUGGAUUUGUGGCUCAAUUUUAGGGUGCAUUGGUUUGCCAAGUAAAAUACAUGUGAACCAGUGUGUGCACAUUAUUGGUAAGGAAGCAAUUAAUUUGUGUCUCACGCCUAGGACCUGGAAAUGAUAAGGGUUGUCCUGAUAGAGAGCUUAUGAUGCCAUGCCAUCUGAAAGCAUAAAUGGAGACUAUAGUAUACAGCAAGUAUUUAUAGUCAAUGUGAUGCAUGUUUUUGCCUAACUCGGCAUACAUUUAGAGAUAGAGUCCAUAAUAUUCUAAAUCCACAUUUAGAAUUCAUACACUCAAAUGGGCCCACAGCAGGCAAUUUGGUAUUGCUAUUAUUUACUUAAAUGAGCACUAUAGUGCCAGGAAAACAAACUCGUUUUCCUGGCACUAUAGGGUCAUUAGGACCCCCCACCCUCAGGGCUCCCCUCUUACUGGGCAGAAGGGGUUAAAACCCCUUCAGCCACUUACCUUUCUCCAGCGCCAGGCUCCCUCUGUGCUGGGGAACUUUCCACCCCCUGCCGACGUCAGAUCCGAAUGCGCAUGAGUGGCAAAAGCCGUGCGUGCAUUCAAAAAGCCCAUGUGAAAUCAUUAUUCAAUGCUUUCCUAUGGACGCCCAGCGUCUUCUCACAGUGAGAAUCGUGGAAGCGCCUCUAGCCGCUGUCAGUGAGACAGCCACUAGAGGCUGGAAUAACUCUCAGUGAAACAUAGCAGUUUCUCUGAAACUGCUAUGUUUUCAACUGCAGGGUUAAAACUAGAGAAACCUGGCACCCAGACCACUUCAUUGAGCUGAAGUGGUCUGGGUUCCUGUAGUGGUCCUUUAAUGGUUAAAUGGUUAAAUACUUUUAUAACAAGUACAUAUAAUCUCAUGCAAAUUUUUUUUUGCUAUAAAUGUUACUCUCAAUAUAAAUCAUAUACAUUGCAUUGCUCUGACAUCUUACUUGUUUCACAUACCACAUAUAAGAGACAUACCACAUAUAAGAUUCCACAAAUAAAUAAGAUUCCACAAAUAAAUUUCAUUUCCAAUGUCAUCUUAUCAAGAUCUAAAUCAACAGAAAAAGAAAGCAUUGGAGAGAUAUUUCAUCUUGCAUUUAAAACUGGCCAACAUUCCCACCUCAAUAAAAAAAAUCAACUACAGAAAACGAGCAAUUCAGAUAUAAGCCUAUAUCAUGAUAUAUGAUCAGCAAGUUCUCUUUGUUAAAGAUCAAAACCUGGCUGUUUAUUAUAGCCUGUGCCAGACUUGUUCUUUACUUGACAAACAAAUAAAAGAAGAUCAGUUAGUUUCAGGGCACAGCAGAGAACAACCAAACGUCUAGCCGGAUAUAUCCUGGGCAGAGUUCAAUGUGGAUAAGCAUCUAAAUAGGACUGAAAUGUUACAAAUGCUAAACAGAACCAUGACAAGCCACAUGAGUGAAGAAGGAGGUAGGAAGAGGUUGCAAAAAUGUAGUUAUGUAUUAGGCCUUCCAUUCCAGCUGUUCUUCAUAAAACAAUGUAUAAUGAGAGAAAAGUGGCUAAGCUCUGCAUGAGCCAGAGAAAGGGAUGCUUUCAAUAAACAAGGAGACAGCCAGAAUCUGUGGACAAGGGGGAAACUUCUCAGUACUGCUACCCAUUGACCUUAAACUGGAUUAUUUUCCAUGUUGGGGAGACUGACAGAAGGGUAAAGCAUAUUUUAACUAUUCCCACUACAUGAAACUACUGUUAAAGCCAUUGGUCGGUAGUGAGGUUGGUUACUUAGCCUUGCAUUUACGAUAGUAGCAUAGAAUCCUAUUCAAGUAGUUACCACCUUAAAGGGAUACUCCAAGCACUGUAACUGCAUUCCUUGCAUAAGUUAUCUUGUAAAGAUACCCCUUGUUCUUUCACAUCAGGGUAACACAUAUGCUAUCUAGGGUGUGAAAUAGUGAUUGUUGUUUAGAGACUGGUUUCCAUGGUAACUGGUCCUUAUUCAGUACUCUUCCUCACAAUAGUACCUGUUUUACCUUAUUAUAUAUCUCCGCCACAACGUUAUAUAACUGAAGCAAUUUGCUAACCUAAUUCAGGUAUACUCCCAACUCCUUCUCCCAAAUGUGUCACAGGUAAGCUAUGGUUCCUUUUGCGCUGAGAGUCACUUGUAAGAUCCAAAGAGACUACAUUGCAUUGGUUAAUAUAAAUUUAAUUGAGACAACAGUUUUCUACAGUUGGUUAUGUAAAACAGAACUAAAUCUCCCCAAAACAUCACUGUACACAUAAAGCAUUGCUGCACAGGUAUAUUUAUAUUUACCUCAGUACUGCCUUAGAUAGUUAUGGGAUCCACUUCCGCUUCUGUGCAAAGCUCAUUAUAGAAGCUGCAGAGUUUGGGAAAUUAAAUCAAAUGUAGGAAUUUCUUUAUAUAUUAUUUAUUGAUUUAUUUAUAAUGUUUAAUCCAUUCUCUAUAUGAUACAUUAAAUUCAGAAUGAGGCAUUCUGGAGUGUCCCUUUAAUUCCACAAGCAUAUGUAAAAAAUACAGAUAAUCAUGAUUUGAUGUGCAUUCAAGAAACCGUUUUAGAGCUGGUGAGACAGCUCUGCUAAUUAAUUGAACAACUGUGUAACCUAUUCAUAUUUCAGGGUCACAAGUUCUAUUCAACUCAGUCUUUAAUGCUCUUUGAAAUCAAUAUCAGUAUCACUGAGUUGAUAAAAAAUAACACACCCACCACAAUAUACACUUGAAAACAAAAGAGCAUCUCAAUGUAUUCUUUCUGGUUAACCGCCUUUUAUUAAAGAGAAACUGCCACUUUAUCAAUUUUAUUACAAACCACAAACUAAAAGUUGUGCUAUUUUUAUAGUUGUUUAUAUAUAUAUAUAUAUAUAUAUAUUUAUUCAUUUACAUGCUUUGCCAGGCAAAACCUGGCAAAGUAUGUAAAUAGUUGCAUCUUGCAGUUCAAUACACACACCUAAUUUGAGCAUAUGGCUCUGUUGAUUCAAAUGCACAUGUGCAUCCCUAAGGGGCUUAAAGUAGCUGCAGCAUGGAAGCUCAGUGGAGGUAACAACAUUGUUUUUUGGAUGCAAUUGAGGUGUAAUGUUAAAAGCAGAUCAAGCCUCAGUAAGUUCCCACUUACUAAAGAAUACCUCCACUGCAUUAUUCAUCCCAGUAAUCACUGAAAUAACGUUUACUGGGAUGAAGGAACAAGGAACCAUCACUAGUCUGGAACUGACAGCUCUUCUUUAAGAAACUCUUGCUUCCAUUCUGCUAUUCCAUGGAUGGACAAGAGGCCAGAUAGUCAACUCCCAUGAUGCUUUGCAAUAUGAAUAGUUAGGGAUCUACCUUUAGGCCACCAAAGCUCCUUUCAAAACUGCACACUAAAAUACUGAUUUACACAGAAAUAAAAAAUAACCUUCUGUUUCAUAGUGCCUUUUAUUACAAUCCGUUUUAGAUAACUGAUAUUAUUAGUUUUUGUGUAAUACCCCUUAAUUGAGUGACACAAUUAUUAAUUAGUAUCCUUGCUUUAAUAGCCAACACUCGUUGACAUAUAGUCAUAUACUGCUGAUGUAAAAACUUUACAUUCCUAGCUUCCAUAGGAACAACACUGAUGUGAUGAUAUAGCUCAGCAGUGCUAUAUAGAAAAUGAAAUGGUUAUUGUAUAUAGCAAAGCCACUUCCUUAUCUGGUGAGAGCUCCUUUCAGAGGAUGCAUUAAGCUGGGAAUUAUCUUGAAAAGCAAGUAUUUCAAAUGUAAAUGUCUUGUCAUUUAUUUUUUAUGUUUAUUAUUUUAAUGUAUUCAUUUAGUAUACAUCUUGAUGUAUUACAAAAAGGAAAGAAAAAAAAGAAAAAGAAUGUUUGCGACUGGGUGAUUAGCGAGUCAUUUGAAUUCCAUAAAUCAGAAUCACCACAUGGCCGAAUCACGAAACAAACAAAACGGACAGUGGUCGAACAGUGUAGGUUGAUUUGUGAUUCAGAGUUUAAACUGUGGCCCCCCAAAAAAAGAGAUGAAUGAGGGGAAAAAAAGAUGAUGGUAGGGGAUAGCCACUAAAUGUUGAUGAUAUAACAGAUCAAGCGAGUGACCAAUAAAGGGAAAAAAGGAGAACAGUUAAAAAAAAUAUCUAGAUUUAUACAUUUAUAUAUGUAAUAAAUAUAUAAUAUAUAAAUAUAUUAAUAACGUUUUUGUUCCCUCUAUUAGUCCCUUCUACUCACUUGAUCUGUAAAACAAACAGCAGGAAAAUGCACCUAUCAGUGUUCUGCAAAAUAUAAACAUAAUUUUUAUAUUAUGUAUAUAUUUUGCAGCACACUGAUUUGCCUAUUUUCACCCUUGCAUGGGGAUCAUGUGAACAAACUAAUUUUAGACCAAAUAAAUUAUUUUAUUUUUUUCCGUUCAAAACAAUUUGAUUGGAACAAUUUGUUUCACUGUGCACAAGUCUAGUUUGUAAGAGAAAUAAUUAACUAUGCUGAAAGUAUAGAGGAUAUGGAAAAUGUUUCAAGGAUAUUUUGCCUUUAAAUUUGAAAUUUUGUAUUCCUGACAAUUCUCACUUUAGUGAAUAAAGUCUAUAAAUGCAGUGAAACAAGUCUUCUCACAACCAAUGAUUGUUUAGUGAAUAAACACCGUCACUUAUUUUAUUGCUAAGAAAACAUUGGUUGCCAUUGUUUUUAUGGCAAUACAAUAAGUGCAGAGCUUUAUUCAUGAAACAGUAAUUGGUGGAGAGAAGAUUUAGUUCUUAACGUUUGGUGAAUAAACCCAUAAAUCAACCUCAAUUUCAAAAUGUUCUAAAUUUAUUUAUCCCACUGUAUAAGAUAAGUAUCUGAAGAUUGUAACUGCACGUAACAAAUGGCUAUGGGCAGAAUAAAGCGCACACUAUAUAAAGUGAAUUAUGUCUAAUUUAGUUUUUGUAUCUUGUUUCCUUUAAAUGAAAUAAAUCCUCCUAUUAUAAUGAAAUCUCAGAUUCUGUAAUUCCCUUUAGAACAGACAUUUUGAACACAUUAUAUUAUUUGGCUUUGCAGUGUAACUUUAAAAUGUAGUUGAUUAUAGUUUUGGAGACAUCCCAAUUGUUGAUUGUAUAUUUCAAUUCUUCAAAGUUUUGAGAAUAGACACACAGAAUUCCUUUCAGAAUCAUUGAUGCUGUCAUUCAGUGGAUCUAUGCAAAAGGUCAUUGAUACCCUACUUGGGUCAGCAAAAUCAAUAUUUAUUUCUUCCUGGUUAGAAAGCUGAUAAAUGAGUGGCUUCCUUCAGCAUCAAGGAUUUUGAAAGCAGUUAAACCUGUUUUUUUUAACUCUCUCGCUACACAUUCCCCUUACAUUUAAACAAUGACAGACUCUGUAGCAAAGUUAUUGAGCAAGACAAAAACAAAGCAUAAUUUCUCAUAAGUGCAUACAUUUACAUUAGUUUAUAUAUUUCACCACAAAGUGAAUAUACAACCAACUCUGUAAUAUUAAUGGUCUUAAUAUGUUUUAGUAUCAUUGCAAUGGACACUAAAGUGUAACGUCUAUAGUCAACAUCAUAUCCUAUGCUAAAAACCAUCCUUCUGCUUUCGGCAAGUUGAAUAUCAGCAAUGCAAAAUCUCAUAUUUUUGUCAUUUUUGUUGAUACAUAAAGGUCAAUACUAUAGCCAUUGCUGCCACUCAAGAGCAGUGGGAAUUCAAGCAGGAAGGGCUGUCUACGUUUGGCCAAGGGGCAACUACAACUACAAAUUGAGACCAGCACAUUUUCCCACCAAACUUGACUCCCUUUUUAGUUUGUUGAUUAUUUUUAUUAGUAUACUAAUGCUCCAAUGAUACAAACACAGUUCUAACACAAUACAAUUACCUAAUAUAUUUUGUUAAUGUGUUGUGUUUGGCAGCAGCUCACAAUCCUCUACAUUAGUGGCACAGGGUGCAAUUGCCUCUCUUUCCCCCUUGCCAGCCCUCUGUUUGCUCAGAGCUAAUUUAUGUUUUGAUCUUUAUAUGCGUAUAACUGUUCAUUUGAAUUGCCAUUUAGCUAAAAUGUCUAGUAUUUUUUACUGUAUCAUAUACAGUAGUUUGCUGGCCUACUAAGAGUUAAAUUGAAAAAUAAAUAAAGAGCUUAUAAGUUAAACUUAUAAACUGCAUUUUAAUCCUUUACAUGGAAGAUAAAAACUAUUAAAAAAAAAAGCUUUUUUUUUUAAAUUUUAUUUUAAGGAAAAAUCUUCAAAUGUCCACUAUACACAAACAAGAAAACACUAACCUGUUGGUAAAUAGCACAUAGAAAUGCUCCCAGUGCACAAAAUGAAAAAUAGGCAGGUUAAUGGUUACAAAAGCUUUUACCAAAAACUGACUGUUUCAAAACAGAAAACUGGUCCAUUGUGUUGAUGUAUGUGGCUCAUUGUUCCCCUACGCAGCCAAUACUUAAGCUCUAUUUAUCAGUCUCUCACCUGUUAAUAUUUUAUUUCUUUUUAUACUAGCGUACGUAUUGAAACAUGGGGAAACAUGGGCACGUUGAUGGAAAUAUUGCCAAAAUAAGAACCACUUCUGUUUUGCUGUUUUGUUAAAGUGAGGAUAGGCAGAGGGAUAUUUCAGACAGGAAGGAGGUAAGAGACAGGACUGGUCAGGUAUGAAGGUUGGGAAGGAAAAAUAGAUCUGAAUCUGAAACAAUGUUCUACUUUAAGCCAUGAGAGGAAAUAGAGUUAUCUAAUACGUGGUAUAAUGGUAAAAGAAGAGAGGACCAGGAACUGAGCACACAGGAAGAAGAGUGGGCUAGGUGGAUGACCUAUGCUCGAACAAUGUUUUUUAGCGGGCACAAUGAUUUCUGCUGAAUGCAUUACACCUGAGGAUUAACUUAGUAAUAACCUAGUAUGACUCUGUGUUCUUUAGCCUUGAAAUAUAUGGGCUGAGCAGGAUAAACCUUUACGUUAUUUUAGGUGAGUGCCUAUAGCUCAGACGUGAAAUAGGGACCAAUGAUGGAUCAUUUCCAGUAAGCAGAUAUGGGUUUACUGGCAUCCCUGGUGCAUUUGUCUCUAUUCAUCCUAUCACACGUCAAGUGCCUGUAGGCACAACAUUCUAAGAAGCCCACUGCCCCACAAUAUACAUAACCUGCAGAAAAAGUGAGUUUUAUGAAUUUAUUAACUGGACAUUGCAGAUAUAAAAAGAUCUAGAAAUCAUAUAUUGGUAUUUGAGAAUUGUAUCGUAUAUAUGUAUAUACGUGCAUCCUUGUAAUGUGUUGUGUUUGAGGCUUAGUAUAGGGAGUAUAUGCAGCUGUCCAAAUGCAUGCAGAAAAGGUGUUAGAAGUUGUUAUGGUAAAGGAGGUUUUAAGGUUUGCAAGGGAUCAAUGUCAGAGUUAGAUUACAUAGAGCGUUUUGAGAGGAGUUGUAGUUGUGGUAUAUAGGGUGUUAUAAUUGGGUUUAAACUUAGUAUUGAAGUGGUCUGGGUGUCAGGUCCAGCUAGGUUUAACCCUUUUUUCUAUAAACAUAGCAGUUUCAGAGAAACUGCUAUGUUUACAUUAGGGUUAAAUCAGCCUCUAGUGGCCAUCUCAUUGACAGCCGCUAGAGGGUUUCCGCGCUUCUCACUGUGAUUUUCACAGUGAGAAGAUGCCAGCGUCCAUAGGAAAGCAUUGUGAAUGCUUUCCUAUGGACUAGCUGAAUGCGCACGCGGCUCCUGCCGCGCAUGCGCAUUCAGCCGAUGACGUCACUAUGGAGGAGAGUCCCCCGCCCAGCGCUGGAGAAAGAGGUAAGUUUAACCCCUUCCUCCCCCCAGAGCCGGGCGGGAGGGGGACCCUGAGGGUGGGGGCACCCUCAGGGCACUCUAGUGCCAGGAAAACGAGUAUGUUUUCCUGGCACUAUAGUGGUCCUUUAAGAGUAGUUAAGGUGAAGAUAUUUUCAGGUUCAUACUUUGAAGAAAAGCGUUUGUUUAUGUUUUGGAAGGAGUUACAUUUAGGAUAAGAAAAAAAAAAGGGUGUUAAGGAGAUGUGCAGUGUGAAGGAUUAUUGGCAAAGUACUCAUCCUCUUAUGUUUUCUAUGUUUCUGUCAGCAUUCUAUGAUUGACAACAGAGACACAAGGCCUGCCUCACUCACUUCUGUCCCUGCUCCACCUACAAGGCACUUCCUGUCUGAGAAGCUGUUAGAGGGCAGAUGGGAACUGAUUCCUUCCUCUUCCUGUCCAACCUCACACACACAGACACUGGAUGAUCUGGGGUAGCACUGAGUUUUACACCCUCUAUGACAGUUCCUGCAGCUCUGCUGUCAAACAGACAAGGCUGCCUGGACUACAGAGGACACUGACCAAGACACUGGUAAAUAUCUCUCCCUAGCUGCUCACUCGAGCUCCAAAAAGGCACAUUACAACUGCUGAAAACAGGCACUCCCCCUACAAGACUGGAGAGUGAAGGCAGGUCCCUACUCUGCCUAUUGGGGAAGCACUGUAAAGACAAACAUUAUUAAAACACCAAUGUAGAUUCCCCCUUUGUAAGCUAUUGAGACCAUAGACUAUAUUUGAAUGUGAUGGAUGGCUGCUGUCUACUAACACUCUCUAUCAUGCCUCACAAGUGGCAUCCCUAUUUUGGAGGGAUAGUCCCAGUUUUGGGCUCAAAUUCCUCUGUUCCUCUCUGUAUAGGAGCUGCAUAUUGUUCGUAUGUUUGAUUGUGUCUUUAAACUACAAAUAUGUUUAGAAAUCAGUCUGUACAAAUAUGAUACAUUGUUCUUGUUCUAUUUUAUUUGCAUAAAUUGCUUUCAGUAAGUCACAUAAAAUAGAACACCCCCCACUCACAGCCCUAAAAUUGAAAUGCUCCUCUUUGUCCAUUUAAAAUGUAAAAAAAUAUAAACUAUGAAGAGAGCAUGUCAGUUACUCAAGAUCUCCACGCAUUAAAAAGAAGAGAAUACAGCUUGGAUUUUAUGUAUUGUGGUAAGGAAAACAUUUUACAUCUGUGAUCAAAAAAAGAACGGAAAUCUCACAUUUAUGCCGUACUAUUCUUUUAACAACUGAGAGGACUACUCACGUAAUUCCCAAUUUUACCUGAAUUAAAUCUAUAUUACAAACUUCAGGCUAAACCAGCCCAUAGCUCAUAGAAUUUUUUCCAAAUCAGCAAUUUUAGACUGAAAUUUGCACUUGGCUUUUACAUAUCAUAAAAUUUGAAGAAUAACCGUGGCACUCACAUAAAAAAAAAAAAAUAGUAAUGAAAUUGCUCUUGAAUUCAUUUAGGAAAUAAUUUGUUAUUUAAUAACAUGGGGCAGGGUAGGAAUUGAAAAAAUUCUCGUUGUUUAUUCAGCUCCAUAUAUUAAAACAAGGGGUGUCUAGAAUAAAAUAUAUCUAAAAUUACAGCAAUUAUUGUGUUCAACAUUGGAUCCUUUUUUUAGAGGCCAGCAGAGAGUACCUGCCUGAGCAUGCUGACAUCGUAGGAUAUCACUGCUGGGACCAUGUUUCACUUAAAUAAAAUCACAGGAAACCCAGUGGCAUUCAUAAUUGACAGGUACCCUGUUGUCCAUGGUUUCUGGAUGCAGUGACCUCACUUUAGUCUUCCCCCGCCUUCUUUGUUAUUCUGUAGGUUUGUAACACGGCCCAUUAUAGACAUUCUUUAAUGAGUGUAGGCCAGGAUUGUCCUGUGGCCAUUGUUGGGAAGACAGUAGGGACCAGUUGUUUAUUUGGGUCUCCAUGUUGCUAUGCCAGGUGGUUGUAUUGCUUCCUUGGCUAAAAGUUGCCAGCCUGCAAUGUCUUUAAACCAUCAACAUUCUAAAGAUACAGAAGUGCAUGCUGCUAAGAGAGCCGAGAGGGCAAAAAAUAAACUGCCUAAUCCCUUCAGGAAUUACAUACGUCAAUAAUUUGUGUUUCUUUUCAAUGUAUUGAAGUUUAGUGUUUCACAAUACUUACACCUUGCUUUUCCAAGAUUUCCCAUAUAUAAAUACCUUUAACUCAAUGGGCUUCUAAGAAUCUGCGAGUGUUUGUGUAUGGAGAGCCCUAGAAGCAAACAGAAACAGGGAGGGAAAAAUGGUGGCUUUAAAAUCCUAUUAAGGUCUGUAAGGCAGGGCUUUUAACAAAAAAAAAAAUGUCAAGCUUACUUCAUGCAGGAUAAAAAAGAGAAAUGUAAGAAGGAAACUGUAGUUAGAUCAAUACAAUUCUCAACAAAGCUUUUCAGAGACUCGGAAAGGCCGGAGCCCUUUGACAUGCAUUGCAAAUUAAUUGGGCACUGUACAGAGCAGAGUGGGGGAUUCAAGUUAAUUAGUCUCGAAAUGAAUAAAAACCAAACAUUAUACGAAUUGUCUAUGGUGACUGGUUUGUUAGUGGGGGAUUUGGUCGAUCAGCUUUUGUCUGGGGUAAAUUGGAUUUGAGUGGGGCGGCACAGUGUCUCUCCACACUGGAUACAAGUUUGGUGCAUGGGAAAAACAGAGAGAACCGUAGCAAAGGAGCCUGUUGUGCCCUCAUUAUCUCAUGUCUGAUCUUGUGGAUGGAAGGAGGAGACUUAAUUCACGAAGUGGAAGGUUCUGAAUUCUCUCUUCUAUUAAACCCACCUCUAUUGGCCUUACUCUGAGCAGCAUGCACAAGGUUAAAAUUGAAACCAGUACCAGUUCUGUUAUUUGGGAAGGAGAUUUGGAAGGUGGCAUAGCAACACUAAUAUUGUAAGUCCUUUCUUCACUAUAAGUAUUACAGAGUAUGUGGUAUGUAGUAAGAAACUGGAGAACAAGAAUUGUUAUACUGCAGAAUUUAUUCAGCAUCUUAUAUGUAUAUAACACUGUUAUAACACUGUUAUUAUUAUUUAUAUUGUUGUCCAUAGCCUACAUAGGAUUCAAUUUGCUAGAUGAGUAGAAAGCAGCAGUCAAAAUAAAUAAAUAAAAGCAUUUUACAAGCAUGGCUUCUCUGAUGAGUGUAUCUUGCCACUUCUAGCAUGUGAUUUUUGCAGGAGAAAGUGCAAGGUUUGCAUGAUACUGGGAAAUAUAUCGUAGAAGUGGCAAAUCCCACCUGUAAACAACAAGGCAUUGUUACUGACUGCAGCCAUAGACCAUUAUCCUAGCAUUAACUAAUGCAAAACUUGUCCAUCAAGGUUAACUGAGAAGGGCUCAGUCACUAACACUUCUUCCACCACAUGCAUGGCAGGGAGAAUAGUAAUCAGUACUAGGCCUGGGCUGCCAAAUUACUCCUACCCUUUCAUCCACACCUUGUUAUGUUAGGUGUAGAGCAUAUAUAUAUAUAUAUAUAUAUAUAUAUAUAUUUAUAUAUAUAUAUAUAUAUAUAUUGAGAAAGGAUCAAGAACAGAUCUGAAACGUUGAUGCUAAUUUUUUCACUAAAUAAGACCUGUGAGUGCCUGCUUUUCUUUGCUGAAAUAUUUUGAUAUAUAUUGGUUCCAGCGUGGCGUGGUGCACCAAGACAUUACAACAUUCCUUUUGGAAAAUCAAUUGGAGAACAGUCAAACAAUUAUAUCUUGACAAUUUUUUAAUUUUUUAAAUUAAAUUUUUACUGUGGUGAAACAUACAGUGAAACAUAGUUUUACUACAAUGGCUACGUAUAAAUUGUCAAAAUACCCUUAGGUAAAUACCCCUGGAUGUCUAAUAAAUAUAUAAUUUUGUGGGGCAAUUAUUUUUCAUUUUGUUUUUGUGAUGACUCUAUUAAAUUAGAAGACCAAAUACGAAAUUCUCAUCUAAUAUAAUUAUUAAUAUUUUGUGUAAUAUAGAAUAACAGUUAACAUAAUAAUGACAUAUAUAUAUAUAUAUAUAUAUACACAAAUUUAUGAAUCGUUGUCGAAUAAACCACAUAAAAAUAUACAUACAAAUUAUAAUUUCCUAUAUACAUGAGACAAGUAAAAUAUGUACAGAAGUAAAAAUAAAUUAGUUAUAUCCUAGUACUAAACAAAAAAAAAAAACAAUAAUUGAACAAGUAUUCAGUCAGGUGGGAACAUGGUUAAAGUCUGUAUUCUUUUUUUCACAUCAUCUUCCCACAAGGACCAUUCAUGCUGCAGUAUAGAUGUGAAUGUAGAUGGUUCACAGAAAGCUAGUUCACACCUUUUACUUUCAAAUACUGCAGAUAAAACUUCACCCACAGUUGGAAUAGUGGGUGAUUUCCAGUGUCGGGAGAUGAUGGAAUUUUCUGAGAUCAAAAGAUGGUCUAGCAUAGUUUGUUUAUACUUAGGCAUGUUAGAUGGAAUUUGUUUAAAGAGACAAAGACACAGGGAUAAAACUACAUUGAAUUCUAAAAUUUGAUUAAUAAAUUUAAGUAUGUUCAGCCAAUAAGAUUUGAUUUCGGGGCAUGAAUAGAAGAUGUGGAACAAUAUACCAAUGUGACCACAGUUUCUCCAACAUUUAUUGUUUUCACUGAGGUUUAAUGGGACGCUAUAGUCACCAGAAAAACUACAGCUUAAUGUAGUUCUUCUGGUGAGUAUAAUCAUUAUAUGCAGGCAUUUACAUGCAAACACACUGUUUACAUUGCCCCUAGGGACACCUCCAAGUGGCCACUCCGCAGAUGGCCACUGGAGGUGCUUCCUGGCUCAGUGCUGCAAGUGCCGGCAGACCCGUGCGUUGCAGGAAAUAAGAUGAGUUUUAUUAACUUUUAGGGGGGGGGGGGGCAGAAGCCACCUAUAUGGUAGGUUUAGCACUACAGGGUCAAGGGUUUGUGUUCCUGACCCUAUAGUGUUCCUUUAUUUAAAAAGUUUGGAAGGUGUUAGGUACCAUCUAUAAAUUAAUUUGUAGUGGGAUUCCAAAUACAAGUUACAAAAUCAUACUGCAAUGUGGAAUGAUGUUAGAAUUUGGUAUUUGGAUUAUCACUAUUCCAUCUGUAGCAAUAUUAAAUCAACAGCCAUACACAACCUCUUCAUCUCUAAUUCCCUCACACUGUUAGCACUAACUGAGACCUGGCUUUCCUCCCUCUGAUACCGCUACACCAGCUUCUUUAUGUUUUGAUGGACUACAAUUCUCUCACACUCCCAGACUCAACUGUAAAGGUGGCGGUGUAAGCAUCCUUUGCUCCCCUCAAUGUACCUUUCAACCUAUCCGCCCUACCCCUGCCCUAUCCUAUCCUUUACUUCCUUUGAAGUUAACACUGUCCACAUAUAGUGUCCCUUUAAGUAUUCAUGGUCCUCGAUGCUGCCUAAAGGUACUCAGUUCAUUUCAGUGUAUCUACAAACAAUGAGAAUUAAAGUUUAUGUCCACGGCAAGUUUCAAGAAAACAUAUUUUUUUUUUUUGUAAAUAAAUUUUUAUUGAGUUGUUUUGUUUUUCCCCAUAAAGGAAUGAAACAACAUUGAAACAGCAGUAAGUAUGCAUUCCAGAGACUCGCAGGUCUCAAAGAUUUUAGAAGGCAGCGUCACUUUAUAGGACACGCAGGUCCCAUUACACACACAUAAUUAAGAUACAGUCAUGUGAUGGUUAAUCAAGUGGGGUUGCCAUCUCGUUUCUCAUAUAUCAAUAUUUUUUUCUUUGUAAAUAUCUUCCAUUAAAGAGAUUCUUUCCUUUUCCUGGCUUUCCCCUUAUUUAUUUCUUUUUUUCCCCUUUUCUUCCCUUCUCUCUGCUUCCAACCAGAACAGAUAAUACAGAAAAAAAAAAUACUAAAACUGUAGAUUCCAAUUGUUUGAGAUAAGAAACAUGAAGAUGAGAUACGCAGAUCUCCAAAUAUUCAUUAAGAGGCAAUACAUGAAUGAGUCAAGUUUAGAAGUAAUCAGAGAACUCAUCAAUACGUAUCUGUAUGAUAUUGUUACACAAUCAGCAGAACAUUCAAGGUAGGCUAUAGUUAACGAUGGAUAACUUUUUCCCUUCUCCCAUGCUCAUCCCCUUAGUCCCCACCCUCCCCUAUCCCCCCCUUUCUUGUGAAUGAAGCCCUAUUUCUGCCCCAAUAUUGGUACAUAGCUGAAGCAGAGUCUCAAGGUUAUGUAUCAUGGAUCUCGCAAUUAGAAUACAGUUAGUGUAGGUGCUUUCACUUUCAGGUCUAUCCUCUAAUCCAAUGCGUGUUUGACUUUGCUUAGACUUUGUUAAGUUACCCUUGAAGCUAGGGCCCCAGUACCUCUAUUCCCGUAGUAGGGAGGGAGUUGAUUGCGCAUCACAUCGGGAUCAGAUGCCCUCUUAGUAGUGUUUCUUGUGUGUAAAGUUGAAGUCCAGUUUAAGAGAAGAGAGGGGAAAAGGUGCACAGACGGUGUGGGGAUCAAAGUUGUGUGUCAGAGUGCCAAGGGCACCCCCCCACACACAUAGCCACCUCUCAACCCCCACCAGACCCCACCCCUUCUCUGGCAGUCUAUUCUAUCCAUGGUCUCUACAGUUCGUCCCAUCACUGAUGCCCUGAUGGCCUCAGCUGAAUAAAUCUCUUUGAUCCGCUUGUACCAUUGUUCGAGCUAUGGAGUCUGGGAUUGUUUCCAGAGAGCGGGCACUAGUGCUUUUGCUGCAUCAAUCAAGUGUCUCAGGAUGGAUUUUUUGUUUUGCGAAAUCGGGGCUGGUGUUGAAUGUAGCAAGAUUUCUUCCAUAGUUAAGGGCAAUGUAUUGCACAGGAUUUCUACUAUUUUGGUAUUUAACAUGUCCCACAAUGGUGUUAUGCCAGGGCAAUCCCACCAAAUGUAUCUGACAGUCCCUUCACCCAUGUCACAUCUCCAGCAGGUAGCUGGGAUGUUUGGGAAUAUCUUGUGUAGGAGAGCUGGAGCUUUGUACCACUAUGACAAAAGCUUAUAGUUAACUUUUUGGUAACGAGUGCUUACUGAGGAUUUGUGAUGUAAGAUAAGUAUCUUUUCCCAUUGGGUGUUAGUGAAUGUUACUCAUGAGUUACAGUCAGGUCCAUAAAUAUUGGGACAUCGACACAAUUCUAAUCUUUUUGGCUCUAUACACUAACACAAUGGAUUGAAAUGAAACAAACAAUAUGUGCUUUAACUGCAGACUUUCAGCUUUAAUUUGAGGGUAUUUACAUCCAAAUCAGGUAAACGGUGUAGGAAUUACAAUAGUUUUUAUAUGUGCAUCCCACUUUUUAACCCCUUAAGGACACAUGACAUGUGUGACAUGUCAUGAUUACCUUUUAUUCCAGAAGUUUGGUCCUUAAGGGGUUAAGGGACCAAAAGUAAUGGGACAGAUUAACAGUCAUAAAUCAAACUUUCACUUUUUAAUACAUGGUUGCAAAUCCUUUGCAGUCAAUUACAGCCUGAAGUCUGGAAUGCAUAGACAGUGGUGUAUCCUGGUUUUGUGCUACCCUAGGCAGGACAAAACUCAGGCGCUCACCUCCCUCCGCGCCACCCCCACCCAACCCUUCCCUCCUGCCCCACCUUCUAAAUACACACACACACAGUCAGACACAAACACACACACAGUCAGACACAAACACACACACACACAGUCAGACACAAACACACACACACAAAGUCAGACACAUACACACACACACAGUCAGACACAUACACAGACACAAACACAGUCAGACACAAACACACACACAGUCACAAACACACACACACACAGUCAGACACACACACACAGUCAGACACAACACACACACACACACACACACAAACACACAGUCAGACACAAACACACACACAGUCAGGCACAAACACACACACACACACACGUCAGACACAUACACAGUCACACAGUCAGACACAAACACACACACACAGUCACAAACACACACGUCACACAAACACACACAGUCAGACAAAACACACACACACACACAGUCAGACACAAACACACACACAGUCAGACACACACACACACACACACACAGUCAGACACAAACACACACAGUCAGACACAAACACAUACACACAGUCAGACACAAACACACACACACACAGUCAGACACACACAAUCACUCACAUUAACUUUUUUUUUAAUUUAACCCCCCCCAACCUCCUUACCUUUGGGAGUGCUGGGGGGGGAGGGUCUGUAGCGGAGUAGUAGUAUUAUCCACGGUAGACAGAAUCAAGCAGGCACAAAGCAGGUAAAAUCCAGGUAGCGUAGUUACAAUCCCUUCCUCCCAAGAACUAGACGACACAUAGCUUGGAGGUCAACUGAGGUUUUAUUUUCAGGUCACUGUAUUUAUGGGAUUCCCCAUGCAAGGGUUUCCCUACUGACAUUUCAGGGGUUGUACAGUAGGGGACUACAUGGGGAACUCACCAACACGUACAUUUUUCCCAUCACGCACUGCUGGACGAGAGGGAAACUCCCACUGGAAUAUACCGUUAAUGGGAUUAUCCCUCCAUGCAGCAGAACUUACAUUUUACUUUAAAAAGUAUAACUUUACUAAUAUUCACUUGUUUUACACGAAUGGACGUUCGGUAGUUAGCUGGAGGCUGAGCACAUAGUUCGUGAGAAUACCGCUCAGCUCCCAGUCUAACUAACCGAACGCCGCACGAAAUACACAUUAUUUCUAACAUAGGUUUAAGAUACCGAUUAGGAUAAGGGGAACAAACUACCGAACGGCCGGGGUUCCCGAACGGCCUGGAAGUCCAGCUGUGUUCGCGCCGUCGAGUAGCCGUUUUUAGUUCCAGGCGCUCGACGGCAAAACACCGCUGGGUUAACAAAAGAAUCAAGAUGGCCGACCGCUGUGUGGUCGGUAGUCGAACGACGGUCACCUAGAAACACACUUAAUUACCGAUUGCAACAAUGUUGCAAUCGGUUAAUGGGCGCCACACGACCCCCUGUGUGUGGUCGUGCAUUCGGUAUGUUAUUCGUUUCACGAACAGUGUUUAAACUCACUGUUCGUGAAACUACAGUAUGAAUGCUGGGGUUUUCCUACUGCCAGCAUACGAAUGCCCUCAUUCGCCUGAAAUAUAAAUAGAAACCUGCACUGAUCUUUAUGGCUUAGCAAGCAUACAAACAUACUUAUACAUUAAUAGUCUCUGGUGGCUAGUUUUGCCACAGGGUCUCUCUCUCCCUGGUGGUCCAGUGGCUGCCGGUCGGGCUGGGCGGCGCUGGCUGCUGUGCGGGCGGCUGGCGAGGGAGCUCUUCCUCUGAGCGGUCUGCUCAGCUCUCUCGCGCGCCGCAGAGUGACACUGGGAGCCAGAAUAUGACUGGAGAUAGAUGGACGGAGCUAUCAAGCGGGGUAACGUGGUGUCCAUAUGUCAGCGAACAUAUAUGAGUCCCGAGUUGCCUCCUCUAAUGCGAUCCAUUGCAUAUGUUGUGGUCAGGAAUGCCACUCCAAAAUGCAUUGUAGGGUAGAUGCAUGGUAGUAUUUUUAAAAGUCCGGAAUUGGCAAUCCCUACUGACGUGGCAAGCAUAGUAUCUCAUGUCUGAGCUGCGGUCUUCUGUCGCGCCACACAUAUCUUAUAACUGCAGCUCUCAAAGAAGAGAAAAAUGUUGUGGGUAGUGACAUCGGCAGCGUUUGAAAGAGAUAGAGGAAUCUGGGUAAGAUCUUCAUCUUUAUAACAGCUAUGCGACCCAUCCAAGCGAUAUGUUGGUAGUUCCAGGUGCGUAGGUCCUGUAGUAUUUUAGUGAGAAGUGGUGUAAAAUUGGCCUGAUAGAUCGCACGGCUCUAUUGUGAUCCAUAUUCCCAGGUAUUUCAUUUUGGAUUUUCACCAAUGGAAUGGGAAUUGUGUUCAAAGUAAGUUGCACUCUCUGCUUGGGACCGUAAGGUUGAGGACCUCGCAUUUGGACAGGUUCAGCUUGAGGCCAGAGAGUUGACCAUAGAUCUUAAAUUCUUGCAUCAGGCAUGGCAAUGUAAUUCUCGGUUGUGUGAUGAAGAACAGCAUUUCUUUCUUCAGGUUAAAGCCCAUGACAUCAUUAUUAUGUCUUAUUGCUUCGAGUAGUGAUUCCAAGGACAGGGCGAAUAACAGUGGGGACAGUAGGUAUCCCUGUCUAGUCCUGUUCUGAAUUGGGAAUGCAUCAUUGAGAGCUCCAUUUACCUGGACUUGUGCAUUAGGCGAAACUGUAGAUGGCAUCGAUCCAGGGUAAUAGCUCAAAGACAAAUUCUAUACCCUGAAGCGUCUCCGUUAGGAAUGUGCAGUCCACCCGGUCAAAUGCUUUUUCUGCAUCAGUUGAAAGUACGAGCCUAUGUUCCCCCCUUUUUUGUGCGCGGUGUUGUAUGGAGAAUGUGCUAUCCCUGGUCUCUCUUCCCGGAAUAAAUCCAGUUUGAUCCUGGUGGACCAGCCUUGGGAGCAUUGUAUUCAAUCUAGCAGCUAUGACUUUGGUGAAUAAUUUAAUAUAAAAAAAUUUGAGUGAAAUUGGCCUAUAGCUGUCAGGAUUACAGAAUGAUCCAGCACGUAGAACUGUGUAACACAGAGGACUGAUAGGUAACGUAUACCAGACCUUAGAAUGGCCGGACUAACGUACCAAAGAAUAGUCAGGAAUAGCCGAGGUCAAGGGAAACAGAAAGAGACACAACGAUAAGGAAAAGCCAGGAGUUAGGGAUGCCAGAAAACAGGGAAGUCAAAAACAAUGCCAAAGUCAAGUAACCAGAAUAACCAGAAUCAAUAACACGCUCUCGGACAACCACAAGGGAAUGACAGGGCACUGAGCAGGAUGAGAACUGGGCCUAAAUACCCCUCCUCUAGGUCUGAUAGGCUGUAACCGGCCUUUGACCCCAAAGGCAGUUACCAGAUCUCAUUUGCAUAAUUGCUGCUCAGCAUUAACCCUUCUGUGGAUUUGGUUGUUGCUCGGCACAACUUUUCCUGUGUGGACAGUAAAUGUCAUUAACCACAUUUGUGUAAGCGGAUGAAUACGUGACAAUAGCUGCUACAGAGUUCUGUAUCCUGUAUCCUUAUUUGGACAGGAUGAAAAUUGUGACUGCCAGUAUUUUAUUAUGGAAUUUGCUCCCCAACGUGAGUGCAUUUAGCGCUUUAGUGAGUUUAGGGAUGAGUACAUCUCUGAACUUCUUAUAAUAAUCUAAGGAGAACCCAUCCGGUCCCAGCGCCCUGCCCGUUUUUGCAGUUUUAAUUGCAGUCUCAAGUUCUUCUGUGAUUGAUGUGUCGAGCAGGUCAACUUCGUCCAAGGUCACAGAUUUUUAUAAGAAGUUUGUUAGGUAUUGUUGGGUUGCCUCUAUCUUAUUGACUGUGGUUUCAGCUGAGGAAUGUUGUCGUGGGUUAUAUAAAUUUCAGUAAAAAGGUUUGGAAUUCUGUCGCUAUGAGUUCAGGGUGUUGAGUGGUCUUUCCCACUGGUAAUUUCUGCUUGUGUACCUGUGCGUGAAUUUGCUGUCCUCUGAGCAUUCUAGCUAGAAGUUUGCCCCUCUUGUUCGCAUGUGUGUAAAAAUAACCCUUGGAUCUUUGUAUGUAUCGAUAGUGUUUCUUUACAAGUAUAAUGUGUAGUUGUCAACUGGAUUCUAUCAGUUUCAUAUAGUCAUCUUCUAGUAGGGAUCUUUUGUGCCUUGAUUCAAUGUCUCCUAUUUUGGCGAUUAGUUCUAACAUCUGCCGUUGGGCUUCUUUUUUUUUUACGAGCUGCUAUCUGGAUGAUGUGGCCUCUCAUCACGCUUUUAUGUGCUUCCCAUAUGGUAGUGUCUGAGAUCUCUCUCUGGACAUUGUCCGGGAAGUAGGACGUCAAUGUUUGUCCUAGUAGUUCCCGGGUCUCAAUAUCCGUCAAUAAGGAUUCAUUGAGUCUCUAACUCAUGGUUUUAGGCCGCGAGAUUGGUGAGUCCAUCUCCAUUAGUACCAGUAGUGACUCCAAUGGUUGCCUUCUGCAGUUUGGAGAGCAGUUCCUGUUGCAGAAAUAUGAAGUCAUUUCUCGAAUAUCACUGAUAUAGUCCCGAGUAGUGCGUAUAAUCCUUUUCCACAGGGUGCAACACUCUGCAGCAGUCAACAAGUCGUAUUCUUCUAAUUUCCCUUUGUGGAAUGCUACUAUGUCCCGAGGAGGAAUCCAUUUUUGGAUCCAAUGGGACAUUCAAAUCGCCUCUGAGGAUUAAGGUACCCUCUGUGAACUCAGAUAAGUUAGUUAAAACUCGACAAAUGUUUUGGGACUGAUUCUGGUUGGGAGCAUAGAUAGAGGCUAAUGUAUAAGUAUGAUGAGAAAUUGUACCCUUUAUGAAGAUGUGCCUGCCCUCUGUAUCAACUACCCUAUCUAUUUCUUGAUAUUCUAAUCUUGUAGCCAGUAGAAUGGCUACUCCUGCUUUUUUAGAGAUAGUGUGAUUGCUAAAGAAAGUAUAUGGGUAGGUUCUGUCUUUCAGUGUAGGGGACCAUCCCUUUCAGGAAGUGUGUCUCCUAAAGGAAUGCGAUCGAGACAUGUUUUUGUUGCAUUUCCUUGAGUAGGUGUGACCUGCGUUCCGGGACAUUCAAUCCCUUGCAAUUUUGGGUGAAGAUCAUCAGUGGACUGGGACAGUAAUACAUUGUUGCCACUUGUGAGACCAGGGUAGAUAUAUGUUUUGGAGUUGUGUCACAGAACCGCUUUCUGCCAGAUCUAUGGACAGGAGGAAUCAAGAAAACAUUUUGAUUAAUGUUGUUGAUUAAUAUUUAAUUGUCAUAGUUUUCCUACAUAGUAUACAGCUCAUUACAGACACAGAUAUUUCAAGCACUUCUUAAGGAAUCUGCAGUCAGACCUCUCUACUCCCUCUAGAAUCCACUCCAAACCCUGCACCUAAUUACAGACUAAUCUUCAACCUCACUUUUUCUAGGAAGGCCAUUGAGAAUGAUGUGUGCAAUGAUAAAGAAAUCUGGUAGUCCAACAACACCUACGACACAUUGCGGUCAGGAUUUCAGAGAACAUAUAGUGCUAAGGACAUUGCUAUGUGUGCCAAAUGACCUGUGGGUAGUAGGAAACAGGAGUGGGUUUUCAUAAAACUAGGAGAACAUUUAUAUAAAUUAGUAUUAUUAUUUUUUCAUUAUUAAUAAAUUACCACCCAAGUUAUUCCUACUAUUUAAUUUGUCUUUAAAUGACACUGCACCAUUAAUAUUGAAGUCUCUCAACCCAAUUUGCAUUGCAAUUAAACUAAAGCAAACUGCAUUCUCUGCCAAGGAGUUUGGCAGGCUGGCCCUCCAGUAGAUAGGGAAUAAUAUAUUUGAUUGACACCCUUGCUGCGGCUGUGGAUCUGUAAGUCUGGUCUAAUUCCUGUGUUGGCUCUGUGUGAUCCUAAGCAAGUUAUAUAGACUAAAAAGCAAUUUCUUUAUUUUAAGCACAAAUCGUGUUUUGUAGCAUAGGAAAUGUUGACACUCAUACAUACUUACGGAACUUAGCUCAGAAUCACUUACAAGUCAAUGUGUUACUUACAAUGAUUUAUGGACAAUGAUAUUUUACAGUAUCAAAGUAAGUUUACUGAAAUUAAAGAGAAACAAAGUAGAAAAAUAAUUAAUAGUAAUUAGUAUUAAAUUAAUGUAUUAUCUAUUUUAAAAACAACUUAACAAUUAUAUAUUUAAUUGCCUGUGCGUAUGUUAAAAAUACUUAAUUGUAAAGAUAAAUUAAACAAGAAUAAGCUUUUCAUAAUCACAGAAUAGUUAUUUUAUAGGCAAAAAAUAUUAAAUAAUAAUAAUUAUAGUUUAAGUACUAUUGAUUAUUUAUGAAACACUAAUUGAGACAUCAUAAACCAUCAUAUCUAUAUAGUUCAUUAUCACUGAACAGAAAAUAAUUUCAAUAUUAUACUACCCAACUUUCAUUAGGGUCAGGGUUGAAUGUCUGGAUUCAUGACCCCCUUAGAAAAUAGGCCAACAUGCCACCCAUCUUAAGCUAAAUCAACAAUCCUCAAAUAUUAAUGGGGCAGUAUUAUGCGAUUUUGAACUGGUUUUGGCACCCACCGAACAGUUAAUUUGCAAAUUUGAAGACAAAUAAAAACAUACUUUUGUAUAUCGGUGGUUGAUGUUAACUACUAUGCACGUUUUCUCAUCUGAAUCAUGUUUUGCCUGAACUAGAUCACAUUUUCAGCAGAAGACUCUAUUGUAGUUAUUUCAGGUAUACAGUCAAUAUCUCAAAGCCUUCUUCCUAUGUAGGAGGGCCCCAAAUAGAAAUACUUAAUCAAAUAAAAUGACUGUAAAAUCUGAAGUUAUCCAUUCCAUACUAUGUGACUUCACCAAGCAUUGGUAAAACAUGACAUAAGAUCAUUAUCAAGACAAUGUGUAAGGAACAAGUUAGAAGAUGUAUACUGAAUGAACCAAUACCAUCUUUUAUUAUUGGAGCAUUGAAGAAAAAAAAUAUAUGAUAUAAUAGCACAUAUUUUGUAUGAUAUUGAUUGUAAGGUGUUCAGAUGAUUGAGGACCUGGUUGGCAGUGAAAAAUGUUUAGUUUGUUCCACCAUGGAUUGUUGAAAAAACAAAAAAGGCAUUUUAUGGCCAUAAAAGAAAAAAAAAGAAGCAGAUACCUGGAUAUACUGUCUUCAUAGCUGAUUUUCUAACAUGGUUUCUCUUUGAAAUGUGUCUGUAAGUCGGUGCUGGCUUUCGAGGCCACAUGAUCUAGCAUUAUUAAAGACGGUGUAAACACAUUUUGAAAGUACUAGUUGAUAUAUUAUUAAAUCCAGUUUGGUGUAUAUAAAGGAAGAACAAUUCAUUUGUAGACAAUAAACCUCAAGAUAGUAAAUUCUAACAAAGAAACAACAUACUGUCAUUUUUAGAACUGCAAAUAACUAUUGUACUUAUUGUGAAGGCGCUGGUGAUUGUAGAUUCUGGAUUUACAUCAGACAGGAUGAGACAGAGUAGAUCAAAGAGAUUUUAUCAUCGGUCACAGUGACAUUGUUUUAAGCUACAGAACAAUGUGUUGUUACAGAUCAUGGUGAUGAAGAUUAAUGUUCUGAUGAAAUCUUAUUUAAAUGAAAAGAUAGAAAUUUUCAUUACUGAGGUGAGACAGUGUAAAUGUAAUGCCUCAUCACAUGUGCUUCACAUAAUAUAUUUGUAGUAAUCCUGUGUCACACUAAUCAUUUAUGAUUAUAUAAUUGUGAGACUUGACCAUGGGAACAGAGAAGGCUGGGUGAUAACUAUGGCUAUGUACCAGGAAUAAUCUUCCUUCUACCAUCCUUCUACCAUCAUCAGCUUAAUGAAGUGGUCUGGGUGCCAGGUCCAGCAAGAUUAACCAUUUUUUCUAUAAACAUAGUAGUUUCAGAGAAACUGCUAUGUUUACAGAUGGGUUAAUCCAGCCUCUAGUGGCUGUCUCAUUGACAGCCGCUAGAGGCGCUUCCGCGCUUCUCACUGUGAUUUCCACAGUGAGAAGACGCCAGCGUCCAUAGGAAAGCAUUGUGAAUGCUUUCCUAUGGACUGGCUGAAUGCGCGCGCGGCUCCUUCCGUGCAUGCGCAUUCAGCCGAUGAUGACGAGAAGGAGGAGGAGAGGAGGAGAGUCCCUCGCCCGGCGCUGGAGAAAGAGGUAAAUUUAAUCCCUUCCACCCCCUAGAGCCCGACGGGAGGGGGGCCCUGAGGGUAUGUUUUCCUGGCACUAUAGUGGUCCUUUAAGAACAUGCCUUAGAAAAGCUCUAAAACUUUGAUAUAAAGUGUCUAAAAUUAUGACAUCUGUAAGGUGUGUCAUAUGGCUGCAUGUUUAAAGGACCACUGUAGUGCCAAGAAAACAUACUCUCUGAAACUGCUAUGUUUAUAAAAAAAAAUGGGUUAACCCUAGCUGGACCUGGCACCCAAACCACUUCAUUAAGCUGAAGUGGUCUGGGUGCCUAGAGUGGUCCUUUAAGAAUCUGCAAACCUAGCAUUUUAUUACAAUAAUUAAUUUUUUUUAAAAAGAAUACAAAUCACAGAAGUAAAAUAAGACCUAUAAAUUCUUAAAGAAGCAAAUUGUUUUGCUCAAUGUUAUUGGUUACACUUGCAGAUAGACAUAUCAUUUUACUCCACAGGUGUUUAGUUUGUUCCACCAUGGAUUGUUGAAAAAAACAAAAAAGGCAUUUUAAGGCCAUAAAAGAUACCUGGAUAUACUGUUUAGAAGUAUAGAACUUUUGUGUAAAUGAAAAGUGAAUCAAAAUUGUAAUUUUAUUCACGAAGUAUUGUUUCCUAAAUCAUAAGAGUCACUAUAAUAGAAUUUUCUUCCUGCCUCAAUAUUUAGUGUAAAAUAGUAGCCUAUUAUAGAAUUUUGUGGGGGUUCAGCUCAUCUGAAUAUUGUCCAUACAAAUGAUUCAGUAAAACCUUUAAACAAACCAAGGUGGUGCAAAAAAGAGCCUAUCAGUGUACUGCAAAAUACAUACAGUCAUGGGAAAAAGAAAGUAACACCCUCUUUGAAUUAUAUGGUUUUAAAUAUCAGGACACAAUAAUAAUCAUCUGUUCCUUAGCAUAAUUAGGUAAAUACAACAUCAGAUGGACAACACGUGAUAUAUUACACAGUGUCAUGAUUUAUUUAAAAAACAUAAAGACAAAAUGGAGAAGCCAUGUGUGAAACACGAAGUAUACCUUAUGAUACAAUAGCAUGUAGAACCAGCUUUAGAAGCAAUAACUUGAAGUCAUCAUUUUCUGUAUGACUUUAUCAUUCUCUCACAUUCUUGUGGAUCAAUUUUGACCUACUCUUCUUUACAACGUUGCUUCAGUUCAUUGAAGUUUGCUGACAUUUCUUUUGCCAUGGCAUUUCAAUCAGGUUGAGGUUUAGACUUUGACUCGGCCAUUGCACCUUGACUAAUUUUAUUUUGUUUCAGCCAUUCAGUUGCAGAUUUACUGGUGUGCCUGGGAUCAUUGUCCUGUUGCCUGUCCAACUUUUGGCCAAGCUUCAGCUGUCAGACAAAUGGUCUCACAACUGACUCUAGAAUACUUUGGUAUACAGAGGAGUUCAUGGUCAACUCAAUAACUGCAUGUAUUUCCCAGGUUCUUUAGCAGCGAAACAAGCCCAAAUCAUCACCCCUCCACCACCGUGCUUGAUAAUUGGUAUGAGGUGUUUGUGUAAAUAUGCUGCGUUUGGUUUUCGCCAAACGUUGCACUCUGUGUUAUGGACAAAUAUCUCCACUUUGGUCUUGUCUGUCCAAAGGACAUUGUUCCAGAAGUCUUGUGAUUUGUUCAGAUGCAACUUAGCAAACCUAAGCUGUGCUGCCAUGUUCUCUUUAGAGAGAAGAAACUUUCUCCUGGCAACCCUUCCAACAAACCAUACUUGCUCAGUCUUUUUCUAAUUGAACUGUCAUGAACUUUAACAUUUAACAUGCUAACUGAAGCCUGUAGUGUCUGAAAUGUAACUUGUUUUUUUUCUCCAAUUUCUCUGAGCUUUGCAUGGUCUGACAUUGGUGUGAAUUUGCAGGGACAUCCACAUCUGCUGAUAUACAGUCAUGGGAAACAGAAAGCGCACCCUCUUUGAAUUCUAUGGUUUUACAUAUGAGGACAUAUUAACAAUCAUCUCUUCCUUAGAAGGUCUUAAAAUUAGGCAAAUACAGCCUCAAAUGGACACCAACACGUGACAUAUUACACCAUGUUAUCAUUCAGUUAACAAAAAUAAAGCUAAAACAGAGAAGCCAUGUGUGUAAAAACACUAAGUACACCUUAUGAUUUAAUAGCUUGUAGAACCCUCUUGUCACGCGUAUCGCUACUGCGGUAUUCCCACAAACUAGGGGGAAUACUGCCAAACACUCACCGGAGGUGACCUCUUCUCUCUCAGCAGCCGGGUCUGUAUCAAUAAUAAUUUAAAGGUUUCCUGUUUAAAUCUUAAAGAGCCAGAUCAAUUAAUUUAAUAUGGGUGUGUUACACACAUAAGCUUGAUCACAUGUUUGCCUACAGCCUAUCAGGAAACACAUUUAGCUAUUUAAACCUAGUUUGUCCAUUUCUUAGUGCCCUGUCGUGGUUUCCAGUUGGUUAUCCGAGAGCGCAUUCCUUGUAUUGAUUUCUUGUGUAUCUGACCUUGGCUUCCCUUAUUUACUAUCCGAUCUCUGUAUCCCUUGACUUUUGGCUUGGCUCCUGACUAUUCUGAUAUCUCCAUUCCUUGACAUUUGGCUUGUUUAUCGUUUGCGGUAUACCUUUGUCUUGGCUUUUCCCUGUCUUGUGUCUUUUUGCCUUUUUACGUUAAAUCCGGCCAUUCUAAGGCCAGGUAAUAUGUCUUAGGUAUUUACUUUAUAUCUACUUAAGUUCUGCGUGUUUGGCAUCUACAGUAAUCCUGACACCUCUUCAGCAGCAAAAACUUGACCUAACUAUGUAAUAAAACAUAAAACAAAAAAGAGAUAGUUGUCCAGGAAAGAUGUUAAACUCUGAUGUGGGCUGUUAAGUGUCACCUAAUCAGAUGUAGGUGUGGGAUGCAGUGUAGUGCCAUUGAGGUCAGGAAUGCUAGAUGCAGGCCAGUAUGUGGAGUUCUAGUUUGCGGCAUUACUGUGGGAAAUCACGGUAAUCACAGUGCUCAAUAUUGUCUUGGGUAUACGGUUAGGGGCUUACAUUAAGUACUCGGAGGACGAGGAGCUGAAACGCCAGGCAGCGCACCUUCUUGGGUCUAGGCUGCAUGGUGAACAGUUCCCUGAUGCUCUGGUUUCCUUCUCCAGAUUGAGUUUUUAGGUUUUUUUUGGAGCGCUUCCCCGUGUCUUCCGGAUAUCAGGUACUUUGUCUAGGGCGGAUUUCUGAGGUGCAGGUAGUAUCAUUGAUUGUGUAAGCUGAUGGAUUGACCGAGCUCAGCGAGCAUGUGAUUGCUCUCGGUUUCUUUCAAGCAACACUCCCAGUGCCUCUGUUUUUUUACCCCUUUGUCCAUAACUUUCCACCAGCCCCUACUCACCAUCCUUUUCAGGCAUUCCUUUUUCUCUUUUUCUUUGAUGUCCCAGUAAGCUUAUCACACUCUCCCUAAUUCCCUUUCCAUGAUUUUCUUCCUCCGAUGCUCCUUUAGUUCUAUUCUGUGCUCUGUUCCUUAUAUUGUUUUUCUUUUCUUAGCCAUGGCAAGCCUUGCCUCUUUUCUGUUUUUCUAUUGCUUUCACCAACUUACAUUCUCUCCCACUUUUCUGCUUUUCUCUACCUACCUCUCUUCAUGCUCCAUGUUGUGUGUGCCAGGCUGCUGCUCCCUCACCCCAGUGUUUGGUGUAUGUAUGAUACUUCCUAUCCCCAUCUCUCCCCAUCACAGAGCACUGCUUGUUACAGAAAAGAGGAAACCCGAAAGGGAGAGCAGAUAAUGAUGCCAGGGCUCCACUUUUUAAUUGAAUUAGUUGUUUUGAAAUGGUUUCUUUGCUCACGAGGGACUGUCUUUCUGUAAAGGAAAAUAUGAAGACAAUGCACACACACACAAUGGAAUCAACCAGCUAUAUAUUUCCUGCAACUGUGUCUUUUAUCCUGAUACAUAUAUCCUGAAAUAUAUAAUGGACUGUCCUUUUAAAAAUCUGAUAUGUGCCAAUCAUUAACAUAAUGAUAAUAAUUACUUCUCUGUCCAAAGAAAAAAAAAACUUUAAGACAAUGCAAGAUAACAAAGUAAAUACACUAAUGUAAUGAGAUAUCAGUUUACUAUUAUUAAAAUAAAGUAAUCCGCAGUGAAAAAGCAGAAUACUUGCAAUAAACACAUAAGUGCUAGAAAUAUUUAAUUAAUAUUAGCAGUUAAAGUAAUUGAGGGUAGCAAUGGUCCUCAUAUGGAAAGGGGACUUCAAAUAAGAAAAUGUUGGCAUGGUAAGUUAUAAGUAGAGGGAUCAAAAAGCAGAUGUGGAUUGAAACUCGUGAUGAGCUGACAGUUUGGAUCCAGCCAUCGGUGAAUGCACAUUUUGAGUUGUGGAGACCAAGCUUAACAUGUUAGGUUUCAAAUUCUGGCUAUCCUUGUUGUCUGCCAAGCAAGUGAAAGGCAACAAAAGAUCAAUGUGCUUGGUUUCAUCAGUAGUCUUUCACUUCCUCAUUUUAAUUUUUUAAUAAUUUUAUUAUCAUCUCAAUAAAACAAAGGCAAAAAACCCCACUCGGACAAAUUGGGAUCCUUGCUAAUUUGCAGUCCUUCAGUAGUCAUAUACUUAAAGAUAUAUUAACACAACAAGCUACAAACAACCCAAAUGGAAAGAUAAAGCUGAAAGAAAAGGUAACAAAUGUGCCACUUGAUUUCUGCUGAAGAUUGGACACCUGGUUUCUGAAAUGUUAACUGUCAUUCAGCUAACCAUUCCACUCAUUCUAUUUAGCAAAUCCUAACUAACCAUUCUAAACAUUCUAUUUAAUACACCUUGAACAUUCUGAACAUUUCACAAUUAUUCUACUUAUUUUUUUACUUUCUAAUUACUUCAACAUGAACAUUCCAAACAAUGUAACCAUUUUACUUUGCACACCGGGGUAGCAUUAUGGAGCAACAUAUAUUAUAAAAUAAUCAAAUACAGCUUUAGAACCAUACCGUCUUGCUCAUUAUAACUCUUUCACAUUCUGUAGAAUAUACAGUUGAGAUCUACACUCCAAUUCUAAGUAUGGAACAAAUUACAGUAUUUAUCUUUAAAAUCCUAAAAGAAAAGAUUUUGAGAAAACCUUUAUAGGGACUUAAAGGGUGUCAGUGCCAAAAACCACUUACCCUGCUAUGCUCACUGGGCGAACAGAAGCUUAAAAAUAAAUAAGGAAAUGAACAAAAAUAAAAUAAUUUACAAAUUAGUGAAAAUAUUCUAAAUAAAAAAUGAAUACAACUCCCAGGUCCUACAAUUACUAUUAUAUAUAUACCAUAACCUUUUUGGUUAUUGCUUCCCAAGCGCUACCAAGCCUCAAUAGCAAACCAGUAACCAACCUCAUUCUGAUGAUUUGCAUUAUCAAUGAAGCAACUGUCCAUGAGUGGUUCACUGACUUUGCAUCUUUUCCUAAAUUGUGUUUCAAAGCUGUUGUAUACUGCAAACACAGACUCAAAGGAAUCCAUAUUUAAGAUGGAAUGAGGCAAAAAUGUGAUUCUUUGUUAAACUAAUUUGCAUAUGCCCACCCAUAAUCCUUUGCGGUAGUAACAUCACUGUCAAUUUGUGAUUUCUGUAGGAAAAACAAGUCUUAUGGUUUGACUGGUGUGCAAAUUUUUGUUUAACAUUGUAUUAAAUAUUUUUAUAUAUAUAUAUAUAUAUAUAUAUAUGUGUAUAUAUAUAUAUAUAUAUAUAUAUAUAUAUAUAUAUAUAUAUAUAUAUAUAGGUGGUAGAACUUGUAUUCAUUUUUGAUUAAAAAUAUUUUCACUAAUUUUUAAUUUGUAAAUUCUAUCUCUAUCUAUCUAUCUAUCUAUCUAUCUAUCUAUCUCUGUCUGCCUAUUACAUACCAUGAAUAAAUAAAUAGGAUAUCAUUGUAAUCACUCAUUGGUUUAUAUAAAGAAAUAAAGAUAUUUAUUUCUAUAUAACAAUCACCAUAACCAUAUUACAGCAUGACUCCAAAUUAUGACUCCGAUAAUUCUUAUUGAAAAAUAAAUACAAAAGAUCUGUCAAUCAAUACGCAAUAAAUAAAUCAAAACAAGAAAAAGGGACAAUUGAAUAAUUUUAUCCAUUUAAUUUUGAUCAACUUCUUUACUAGAAGAUCUUUAACAAAAAGGAAAAUCACUGCUUACAAAGCUUUUGCGCAAACAGUGUGUCAGUUUCUUAGUGGAACAGAAAAUAGUUUUAGUCAAUGACUGUCUUAUGUGGUGACAAGUAUUAGUUAUUUUAUUGUUGAUAGUGACUCUCUCUAUAUAUUGUUGUUUGUGAUGACAACCCAAAUAAUUAUUGGCAAAAUUAUCAUUUUCAUUAUGUCUAUACUUAUAUAAUUGUUUUUGGUUUAUGGAUCGUGGCUUGGACCGAGUCAAAGUAAUUUUGUUAUAAAGAAAACAGAAAGAUGACUAACUGAGAAAAAGGUGUCUUUGUGAUGCAACACAUCCAAACAGAAUCCACAUAGUGCUGUAUAUUUAACACAGUAAGUACUAAGGAUUACUAAGUACUAAGUACUUAGAAUUUGAGGGAUACUACUAGGUAACCUGAAUGUUCCAAAGAUACAGUUUUUGAUGUGCUGGAACAUAUUUGUGGAUUAAGACCCAUGUUGACUAGCGUGUGGCACUUGUCAGACAAAGAAGUAACACAGCAGGGACUAUAAUUAGACUUUUGUAGAAGGUGACAGUGGCAGAGAGAUGUUUACUAUGUAUUUAUUGGUAAGGUAGCACUCAGUUCAGUAUGAUUUAAUUCAGUAUGAUUUUAAUGGAGGGGAGAGCUGCUUCAGGCCAGUGGCAGACACGUUUUCGGUGUGCCAUUGCAUCUUGAUUAAUGCUAUGUGUAUUAGUAUCCAAAUACUUACUUAAAUGAGGAAUUUUAGUGUUUGUUUGGUAAUUAGCUGCAUUGGCUUGGCAGCUGUAUGGGAUCUGCAUACACAACCUCUGCAAUAUAUUAGCAAACCCCAAACUGGAGCUUUCACAUUACAGCUAUGUUUAAAUGCCAUUUUUUGUUAGUGUAUCUCUUUGUACCUAUGCAGUGCUCUGCAUCAGUGUAGUUUGUGUCAUCACUUUAAAUAUGUGUUAUAGUAUUGCUCUUGAACAAAUUACUUCUUAAAUAUUUGCAAGUGUCUUUGCAUUUCAUGAAAAUGGCAGUAAAGUAGAAAACUUGUAUUAAAUCAAUGACAAGUGGAGUUACAGUAGAAUGUGUGGAGGAUAUGCUAAAACUUGACAGUUGUGAAGUUCAUUUGUUGUUUUAUGGAGCUUAUGCUUUAGUAUGUAUAGAGUUUCUUUAAAACUCAUAUAAUAACUUAGCUUUUCACAAAACGUGGAAUCAGGAUGAGUUCACUAACCGUAAAUUAACUGCUUUUGAACUUUCACAAGUGAUGUCCUGAAGGAACUGGCUCAGUUGUCCCAGUCAACCUGUUAAUUCCCAUUUUCGUUCACUGACAGAAUAAGUGAGCAUACACUGUUUUAUGAAACCCAAAUGGGUUCAUGUGUGCUCAUACUAUUCAUACAUGGUCCAUGCAGUCUCAAUUUUAGAAACAUUUAAGCAAUGCUUAUUCUCUUUUGUUAUGUUAUGAUUUUGGAACAUUUUUGAAGAAAAAAAACUCCCACCCAUUUUUUGGAUAUAGACUCCUAACAAAGGAUUUGCGUGGGCCAUGAGCUUCUGGUUGCCAUAAAAAAUAGGCCUGUGUAUUAUCCUGUCUAUUAGGGUUUUCAAUGGGUAACAACAUCAGCAGGUAGACCCUAACCUGUUUCAAGUUGCUGUUCAUUGAGUCAGGUGUUACAUAUAAUUGAGCAGGAAAAGUCCACCAAGUCAGGGAGCAGUGCCCCACAUCCAUUAAACUUCACCUGCCUCAAGUGACUGUAUAUCUAGCUAAAUGCAAAAAAAUCAGGAAAUUUACACGUCUGUUUUCAUUAUGAAGCAUUGCUUGCGCUUUUGUACCUCAUGUGUCCCUUUAAGGUAAGGGUGGGGAACCUUCGGCCCUCCAGAUGUUGUGGUCUGCAUCUCCCUUGAUGCUUUGCCAGCAUUUUGGCUUUAAGAGCUUUAUGGGAAAUGUAGUGCAUAACAUCUGGAGGGCAGAAGGUUCCCCACCCUUGCUUUGAGACAUACCACAACAUAGAACAUUGGGUUAAACAAAAUUCUUUUUUUUUUGUGUUGCUGAGAAAAUUGUCUACUUUAUGGAAAUAGAAAAUAAUAUCUGGCAUGUGAUUUCUUGUUGGUAUUUUCCUCCAAAGUCUGAUACAUUGUGCUUUCUUUAAACCAGGUCCAAUCUACAUAAAUUACCAUUCGGACAAUAAAGAUUUACUUCUGCGGCAUGCAUCAGUGGUUUUGUCCUCCAAAGACAAAUUUGCAGUUAUAGAUGAUUAUGGCAUAUUGAAACAUAUUGAUUGAAGAAGAGCUAAAGAUUGGAUAGCAAGAUCUGACAGCUAUUAUCAUUCAAAGACAAGUUGGUGAAUGGGCACAUUAUAUUUAGCGCAUACUAUAUUCUUUUCACUAGAUUAAAGGAAAGUGAAACCUGAGGUUAUGGAUGAUUGGAAUAUCAUAAGUUGUUAUUAUAAGCAUGUAAUAUAUUGUAUAGUACUGUAUAUAAUGCUUGUACCUAUAGGAUUUUUUUUCAUAUUUUUUUGUUACUAUGAUACAAAGUACUAUGUUCUUAGUCUUCCCACUUUGAAAAAUGAUUAAAACGUGUCUCAGUUCUCAACCUAUCUAUCUCAACAUUCAAUCUUCAACCUAUCGCUCCUGUAAUUGUCCUAUUUAUAGUUAAAUCCCUUAUAAUUGUAAAGCUCUACGGAAUCUGUUGGCGUUAUAUUAAUGGCAAUAAUAAUAACAAGAGCAAUUUAUUGAAAAGUGUUACUGAAAAUUAUCAUGAAAAAAAACAAUAUUGCCAUGUUAUAUAUAAUACCUUAACAAAAUGUUGCUAAUUGUGAGCUACAUGACUGGCCGGUCAAACAUUCUGCUGAAAAGUUUAAAUGAUCAGCAAAAUUCAGUUCCUUGUUUGACCUUUAAAUCUUCCUCUAUGGAAUGGCUUGCUAGAUAAAUGGAUUUGCUAUGUAUUUUGGCAUAUGUGUGAAGCCUGAAAGACACAAUUGUGCUUAGGGUAACAGUUAAUGGUCUAAACAAGUGGCAAGUAAUCAAACCCCAACCCAAAAUAAAAAAGACUGCAGUCAAUAUGCAAUAAGUGUAGAUACUAUCAGAUAGGGGAGGCCUUGCUUGAUUCAUUUGUAAAGAACGUUUUGUAGUUUAAUUUUUUUCUCCGUGGUUUGAAAUGCUUACCAACUUUACUGAAACUAUCAAUAAACCCUUCUGCACAGGCAGAGGACAAAGUAGUCCAACCUGUGAGUGAUAGGUCCCCGUGUCAUAUGAUCACAGUUUAGCAAUUAGCAGGACAGGAAAAAAUAUACAAAAUGACAGAAAAAACAGCUGCCCAUGGUUUGGGCAUUGUUUAGGGAUAGGAAUUCAAAUAAAAUUGUAUUAAUGUUUCAAAUACUUUUUAUAUAUCUAUAACAUGUUCUAUUCAGCGUAGUAGGCAGAACAUUUCGCUCCAGUUCAAAAAUAGUCACUUCUGGACAACUGAUGCACUGCAGCAAUGAUGUAAGUCUCAGAGCUAAUGUGAGUCCACCCUGACUCUCUACAUGCGGCAAGAUAGUAUUAUUAUUAUUAUUAUUACUGGUAUUUGUAUAGCACCAGCAUAUUCCGUAUUGCUUUACAAUAUUAUCAAAGGGGGAGAUUUAACAAUAAAUAAGAUGAUUACAAAAACUUACAGGAAUAAUAGGUUGAAGAGGACCUUGUAAAACAUAUUAGGACAGGAAAUAGCAAUCAAAUAGGGUGGGAGUAAAGCAGAGCUGGAGGAGAGAGUAUAGUGCUGCCCUUUAGGAGAGAGCAAGGGAUAGGUAUGUGAGGUAGAGGUUACUCUGGGAGGCCAUAAGCUUUCAUAAAAAGAUGGGGUUUGAGGCACUUUUUAAAUGAUUGAAGACUAGGGGAGCUAACAGCUGUACAGCAUAGUUCUCUGUGUCUGUGCACUCUGCUACUGCCUGGAAGCCUCUUAGAGAGCCCCUCAGAAUGUAAAAGAGAAGAGACACAGAACACAGAGCCAGGCCCUGUGCACUAAACUGCCAAAGGGCCAGGGGAUCAAAGAAAGGGGUGAGGGCUCAGUUAAAUUUUGUAUUUUUACAUUUAAUUACUUUUAUAUUAAUGUGUUUGCAUUGUGAUUGUUUCUGUGAAAUGAGAGUGAUAGUACAUUUUGUAUCUGUAACAGUCUAUAUGCACAAAAAUGCAUGUAAGAGUGUUUUUGAAGACUGAAUAUGUACUUUUGGGAAAUUGGGAAUGUCUGUAAGAGUGUCUUUGUAGAGUGUCUAAAUGUUUCUGUUUUUGUAAGAGUGUCUGAGUGUGUCUCUGAUCGUCAUUGUGCGUACAGAGAAAAGGCAGUGUUUACAUUGCCCCUAGGAACACCUCCAAGUGGCCACUCCUCAGAUGGCCACUGGAGGGGCUUCCUGGCUCAGGGCUGCACAGUAGGCAGCACUGCCAUUCAGCGUCCUCACGCUGUUCAUGGAGACGCUGAAUUUUCCUCAUAGAAAUGCAUUGAUUCCAUGCAUCUCUAUGAGGAGGUGCUGAUUGGUCAAAAUAGUGUUGCUGAUUUUAGCCAAUCCAAUGCUGUCCCUUUGGGAAGCUGGAAAUAAGGUGAGUUUUAACCCAUUCUAAGGGGACUAAGGAGGGUCAAGCCACCUAAAUGGUGUGUUUUCACUGUUUGUGUUCCUGACCCUAUAGUGAUCCUUUAAUAUUGUGGCUAAUACUGUUUCAAUAUAGUUUUAUUUGUCCUCACAUAAAUACUGAUUAAAAUUUUCUUUUAAUGUUUAUUCGAAGAGCCACUUAUUUUUUAGUUUUAAAUAGUUUUUUAUUCGCAAGCAUGUACCAAGAAAACAAGUGCAGUAUGGUUACAUUGGAUUGAGAUGAAAUUUUACACAGACAGGCACAAUGAAGAUACAACAGUACAUCGCUUUUUGUCACAUGGUGUCUUUAAACAGGUUCUGCAUGAGUUGUUGCUGUCAUCACAUGCUGCAAAGGUUUUUUUUCUUCAUAUAUAACAAACAGUGGGAGGGGGGGGAGAAGGUGGGGGAGAGGGGGUGUACAGUGCCAUGGGGGGGGUGGACAGUCAUUCAACCUUUCAUGUUCUGGUGCCACUAACGUAGUGCCUGCCUAUAUGAUAUAUUCCUUCCUACCUCAACUCCAAGAGGUACUGUGUUGUUAGUAUUGAUGGUAGAGUAAGUUUACACGUAGCGUGACCCAGAGUUAAGUAUAGAUAAAUAAAAAGAGAGCUUUGGGAUGCCAGUCGGUUGUGUGAAUAUUAACGCGAUAUACCUUGGGUGUCACCUGGUUAGUCCCAUAACUUUAAAUAUGGGCACAGCUGUUCGACUCUUCCUCGGCUUAGAUAGUUUUUGCGUGUGUCCUAAGGCUUUCUGUUGCCUUAUUCCAGUUCUCCUAAGCUAUCUUCCAUAUUUAGUUUUUUUGGUUGGGUGCCUGUAUGGCUGCGCAUUCGUAUGUUUUAUUUUGGUCUAUCAGUUGGAUGCAUUCUUGAAGUGUUGGGGUUGUCUUGGUGGCCCAUCUCCUACUGAGUAGUGUCAAUGCUGCUAUGGUAAUCUGAAAAAUAAGAUAUGCCAUGUUCGGCUUAAUUAUGGGGGGGUACUUGUGCAGGAGAUAUGUUUCUGGGGUAUCUGGGAGAUUCAUGCCGGUAACUGAUGCUACUAGACUAAUCACAUCUUUCCAAUAUUUGGAUAAUCGUGGGCAGUUCCACCAAAUGUGGAACAUAUCUCCUUUGGCUUCUAGGCACCUCCAACAGCGGUCAGACACUGUGGGGAACAUUUUCUGUAAUUUUGUUGGUACUAAGUACCAUUUAUACAGGAUUUUUCUGGUUAGUUCUAUAUGGGAGGAACAUACAGAGUUUGGCUCUAUGGGUUUCCCAUAUGUGUUUUGUUAGGGCAAUGGUAGGUAGCAUCUUUAAGUCUCUAGGUUUGAGAUGGGGUGGGAUCCACAUAAUUGAUAGGAAUUGGAGUGGUUGCUGAUUCUAGUGUUACCCAUUGUGGUUUAUUUUCUUGGGUUUGUGCUAUAACAAUGGGGUUGAUGUUGGCUGCAUGGUAAUAAUGUCGUAUGUUAGGAAGGCUCAUGCCUCCUUUUGUGUGGUGCCUGUACAUUGUGGAGGGGGCCAGUCAUGGUUUCUUGUUUGCCCAAAUAAAUUUGUUUAGUAGGUGCUGAAUCUCUUUACAGAAGGAGGGUGGUAAUCGGAUUGGCAGGGUCCGAAAGAGGUAUUCAUAUUUGGGAAGAAUAACCAUUUUUACAGUGGCCACUCGGCCUGUCCAGGAGAUGUACUUUUUGUGCCACCCCUGGAGGAGUGAUUGCACUUGUGUUUGUAGUUUUGUGUAGUUAGCUUUAAAGAGUUGAUGCAUCAAUGGUGUCAAUUGUAUCCCUAAGAAGGUAAGAUGGUCUGUUCACCAGUCAUAUUGGAAUUCUGAUUGUAGUGCUUUUGUACAUUCGUGUCACGUGUGGCGGUACGGAAACCGGGACCCCUGAGUGCCUGAUGAGAAGUGGGAGUCUUAGCAUGGUAAUGGACUAUCAGGGCCUGGUGCAGGGUAACCACACGCCCCCUGGUGUUGAGCACCAGCGUUUGCGUGGCCACAUACCAGAACCCUGAUGCAACUACAGCGGAUCUCAGGAACUAGGAGCUUGAUAUGCAGACCUCCCAGGAACUGGAUAGGGGGGCUCUGGAGCAGACAUGUAUCCAGUACAGAAACAAGGCAAGGCUAGGAUAGUCACCAAACAAGAAAACAAGACAGAACUAGAAGAACCGAGAACCAGAGAAGGAUAGGAAGCUAAAUCCAGAACAUGUACACAAUACAUAAGGGAACAUUAACUAAACAGGGGCAGGACAGGACUGUACAUGGACUGGGAAUACAAACUAAAACAAGACAAGAUAUGAUAGGCAAAACAAGAGGAGACAUAACUAAGCACUAUGAAAAGUAUGGGGAUUUAGUUACAUUAUUUGAUCAUACAUUGCAUAAGCCUGCCACAACACCAAUAUACCCCAUAUUCGGCAGGUCCUACACUGCCUAAUGUUCGCUAAAAGAACCAUACUAAACCACAAUAGCACUUACCUGCAAGAAAGGGCAGAGACUUGAAACACUGCUGCAGGUCCAGACUGAAACAAAAGGAAAAUGGAAAACAAAUGAGUGUGGCAACAUAAAACAAACAUUUAAAGGAAACCUGGACAGUGGGAAUUCCAGGGACAGAUUACAGGAAUGAACCCAGAAAACCCAGCAUAAGGAAAAUCAGACAUGGAAUAGAAAACCAAAAAAACAAGAAAAACUAAACAAGAAUUGUAAAAAGAGUACUGGAUACCAGAAGCUAUCACCAGACUGAUCCGCAGAACAAGGCAUGAUGUGACAAUUCGCCUGGGAGGUUAAUGCUCAUGGCUUGUGUCUGGGACACAUUUAGUUUGUAAUAGGAACAUUUGCUAUAGUCUGCUAGCGUAGUCGUGAACGUUUGUAAGGAAAGUUUGGGGUUUGUCAGGGUAAGUAGGAUGUCGUCUGCAAACAGUGUGAGUUUAUAUUCUUUUUGUUGGACUCGUAUGCCUUGUAUAUAUGGGUGGUAGCGGAUUAGGGUGGUGAGUGGUUCUAGUGCUAGAAUGUAUAGUAGGGGUUACAAGGGGCAGCCCUGCCGUGAUCCGUUGGUUAUGUUAAAUGGUUGGGAGAGGAACCUGCUUGUAACUACUUUUGCGGAGGGGUUGCUAUCAAGUGUUUUCACUGCAUUUAAGAAUUGUGUUGGGAAGCGGAAUUUGUGCAGCACCCUGAGGAGGAAGGACCAGUUCAGCGUAUCGAACGCCUUUUCUGCGUCUAGGGACAGGAAUACACUGUCCCCCCCUCCCCGGAGGCGAAGAACCGCUUAUGACAUAAACAUAUUUACAGCCACACCUGGCACUAUUAAAAUUAAUAUGUCCAUAAGAAUGCUAUUGUCAUCAGGUGCUUUUACAAAAUAUAUAGAUAUAAAACAAUACUGGAAAAUUUUAUCUUUGAUAUUAAAUAAUGAUAAUAUACUGAUGGAUGGUUACUUCACAGAGAGAAACAGAUAAGGGGAGAUCAGCUACUGGAAAGUCUCCUGUGUCAAAAAGUGAAAGUAUUUUUUUGACCCCAAGCAGUGAUCUAAUCCCUUAGCUAUUGCUGGCUUAAACAUGUAUUCUUCCACAUACCAUCCUUUCAUGCUACCUGACGGGGUGUGACUACACGUGGAAUAUUUUUCAUAAUUUAUGUGAGGAAUCAGUUAGGAUAACUGUUAUAAUUUUUUUUUAUCAAUUCUUUAUUUUUGCAUUGACAGACAUUAAAAGUGAGAGCAUUUUUGGCUUACGCAGAAGCCCAUCUUUCAAAUGUGCUUUAGUCAUGUUACAGAAAGAAAAUCUGGGUUGUUAAUAUACAUAAUAUAUGUUUUAGACAUGUUGCAUGUGGGUUGCGCAAAGGCUGUUGUCAUAAUUUUAAGGCCAUAUUUAAAUGUAUAUUCUUGAGAUUAUGUGCCUAUAAACCAAGGCAAUUUAGAAGUAGGAGGGUUCUUUUCAGCUAUCGCUGUCAAUAUAUAAAAACUGCAUAUAGAAUCAACAGCAAGGAACAUUUAAUUACUGUACACAACAUGCCCGGGUAUUGACAUUUAGAAUUAGGGGCACGUUCUGUAUUUUUAUUCCAACAUUUUUGCUCCAUAGCCCUUUCAUCUUGCCUUUCCAUCAAGCCAAUGUCUUAUAAGAUAGCAUUUCUUCAGGUACCAAGCAAUCACGACUAGAUGAAAGGGCUAUGGAGCAAAAAUGUAGGAAUAAAAAUACAGAACGUGCUACAGAAUGUCUAGUGCAUGAAGUAUAGUAAUUCCAUUCCACAUGAAUGUGAAGUAUAAAUGCUCCAGUAUUACACUCUAGUGCUAAAAUACAUAAAUGUCAUUGAAAUGAUGAAGUAAUCAAGUUUAUUGCACCUCCUUUACUUUCCUGACUAUAAUCCACCAAUAUGGGGUAAUGUAUACUUUAUUUAGGUGGCUCUGAGCAACAGCGGAAGUAUCUGCCCAUUUAUUGCAUAACUACCUCUUUUUCACACGUGGAAGCACCAGCUACUCCCCGUUUUUUCCUUACAUGACAUAAACCUCUCUGACAUAGCACAGUACGGACAGUGAGUAUAAGGCAAUGCAAGGGGUCUCGUGUUUUUUAAUGCGCAAAUAAUCUUGGUUGCCAACACAAUCCUGUAGGUUGGCACUUCGACAGAUCUGACCUAAUACAUGAAGGCUUCUCUGUGGAAGUUUUAUUUACUAUGCUAUAAAUCAAAUAUAAUAACCUUAACUAGCAUACUCCUAGCCAAGUAGGAGAAUCAAAAAUACUAGGAGAAUAAUGGUUUUCAGAAUGUUAACAUUUAACGUAGUGUCAUCUUGGAUGUCAGUAUCCAUAAUAUUCUAGAGCACAAUUUUUGGCUAAAGCCUGACAUUUUUGCAAGCGCUCUCCGUGUUUCAUGCCAUAAUGAUUAGCCUCGCCAUAAGUCAUAAAUCCCAAACUGAGUAGGUUUAAAUUUUAUGUUUUACUACAUCUGGUUUCAAAACCCAUUACUUAUCCUGUUUUAUGACCUCAUUUUGGAAGCAAAAAGAGUCACUUCAAAGGGGAAAUAUAUGGAGUUAUUUAUAUGGAAAACACAACAGCCUUCCGUAUAAAACUGGCUUUAAAACACAGCUCGCAAAUAGCAACUGCAAAAAAAAAGAAAGGACUUUAUAAAUCGCGCUGCUGCCAGCAACAUAUUCCUAUACCAUUUUGGCUGUGAAAAAAAAUAAAAUAAGAAUUGCUGGCUUUUGGUGUUUGUUUAGACACCCAAAACUGCAUGGAACCUGUAAUAAGAAGAUAUUUGAUUUGAAGAUAAUUGCCAAAUGAAAGGAAGCUGUGGAAAAAAAAGAAUAUUAAGGAUUUCUAAAAAUAGUAAAUUAACGUUUCAUACUCAAUAUUUUUAGGAAAUUCAGAAUUAAUUUCAAAUUUCAGUUCAAAAUAGCUAAAAAUAGAAACAUUUCCAAAAUCGGCUUUGCUUUCACUUUCAAUUCAUUUUUAACUCACAGCAAUUCACACAGUAGUAAAUAACUCUGAAAGACAUAUUGUAAGGUCACAUCUAUGAUUUGAUGAAAAACAGAUCUAUGCCAUCACUGAAAUGCAGACACCACAUCUGCAGCCUACUUUGUUGACUCCAUUUAUUUGAGAAACCUUCAGAACUGAUAGGGUCACAAAUGCUAGAAAAAUUAAGCACCUGAGAUUAAAAAUGUCAAUCUGUCGGAGUUUUAAUAUUUCUUAGGAUGUCGGCUGGAAUUCCAAUAAAAUGUUACCAAUUAUCAUGCUCUGUGUUCUUUAAUCAAUAAUUACUGUCAUUCUUUCACUUUCUGAAAUGUGCAAUAUCAUUUCUAUGCAGAUGACACGCAAAUCUACCUGUCCUCUCCUGAUCUCUCCCCGUCCCUCUUGACUAGUGUCUCUGACUGCCUCUCUGCUGUUUCUAAUUGGAUGGCUGCCCACUUCCUUAAACUAAACUUGACCAAAACUGAAAUUCUGGUCUUUCCUCCCUCAAGUGUUGUUACUCCUGUGUCUAUCUCCCUCCAAGUCAACGGUGCUACCAUCAGCUCCACCAUGCAGGCUCGCUGCCUAGGUGUUCUCUUUGACUCCGACCUCUCCUUCAAGCCUCAUGUUCAAUCUAUCGCCAAAUCCUGUCAUUUCCAUCUCAAAAACAUUGCGCGCAUCCGCCCCUACUUAACGCCAGAUGCGACUAAGGGGUUGGUCCAUUCCACUGUCCUUUCUCACCUUGACUACUGUAAUCCACUUCUCAGUGGUCUUACGUGCUCCCAACAUGCGCUGUUACAGUCCAUAAUGAAUACGGCGGCGAGGCCCAUCUUCCUGUCCACCCGCACCUCCCAUGCCUCACCCUUCUGUCAGUCCCUACAUUGGCUUCCUAUAAAAUAUAGAGCUCAAUUUAAAAUUCUGGUUCUUGCUUUCAAAUCUCUACAUAAUGCUGCUCCCACCUAUCUAUCCUCCCUUAUACACAAGUAUGUCCCGUCUAGGCCAUUACGAUCUGCUGAAGACUUACGUCUAUCUUCUGUCCAUACUCCCACCUCUGAUGCUCGCCUUCAAGAUUUCUCGAGGGCUGCACCGUUCCUGUGGAACUCGCUUCCCUCCUCUGUUAGAUGCUCACCCAGUCUCCACUCCUUCAAAAAAUCGUUAAAAACCCACUUCUUCAUAAAAGCAUAUCAAUUAAACUGUUAAUAGCUCCUGACUGAUUCCUCUUCUGCAGCUGUCACUAGUCUAAUACUAUCCUUACCUUUUUGUGUCAUUUUACCCCACUCCCUCUAGCAUGUAAGCUCAUUGAGCAGGGCCCUCAACCCCUCUGUUCCUGUGUGUCCAACUUGUCUGGUUACAACUACAUGUCUGUUCGUCCACCCAUUGUAAAGCGCUGCGGAAUUUGACGGCGCUCUAUAAAUAUAAUAAUAAUAAUAAUGUGCCCUAUGUCAAAUAUUAGGAAACAAACAAUAUUAUAAUACACAUCUUGGAAUUUUGCAAGAUAUUUAGUUUCUUGGGUGAUGCUGCUUAACAUAGGGUACCCGAACAAUAUUAAUCCUCCCAACAGUGAAAGUGCAAUACAAGUAAUUCACAGAUCAUCUGGGUUCAACCAGGAUGCAGGGUAGCCCAGCCUAAUGCCCAAUGUAUAUUAUAGUUAGUACUCCCUAAUCGGCUGCAAAUGUAACCUAUAAACGGGUUGCUCUUCAAAAUAGCCUUUUCCCAUUAUACUGAUUAUAUUACACAUUAUAUAUAUAUCUACCUCAAAGUUUGUUUAAUUACUGAUGACCUAUUCCCUUUUUAAUGGACGGUUUUGUUGAUGCUCAUACAUUACAGAUUUUUUUCACCCAUGUAUCUUGUUUUUUGUACUAUAUACUGUACUCUUUCACAUAUGUUUAUACCUUAAUAAACAUAGAUUUAAAAAACAUCUUGAGAAAGAUAGAACCAGCGUAAAAAUAAAUUGCGACUAACUAGUCCAGAAACCUCUUGUGGCCACUGCAGCAACUGCACACAAAAAGUACUGUCAAAUUUCAUGAAAUCAGAGAAGCCUCUGGCAUUUUUCCUAUGAAUAGUGCUGGAUUAUUCUGUCUAUAACAUACUAUAGAAGAAGCUAUCAACUAAUAAUGCUCCAACAGUGCAUUGUAAAGCGGUGUGCUAAAACUAAACCUAUUUUCACAUUUUUAAUUGUCUCUCAAUUAAACUGACACUUCCAUUAAAAACAAUGAAAUACUUCUUUUCUUGCUACUACAUGACAAGGCUUGUGAAUUGCUCUAAAAGUAAAGAUAUAUCACUUUUGGUAUAACUGGUUUUGCAGCUCAGACAAAACUGGCCUUGAUCAUAAGCAACAUUACUACAACAAUGAAAAACAAAGUGGCGAUCUGUCACUCAACAGGGGAAACCAAAACUGAAAGUAGUACAUAAAAUCUGAUUGGUAUAAAAUGUGUUAAAUAGUUAAGUAAAUUAAAGGCAAUUUUUUUCCUGGGCUGUCCCUCUGAUGUCUGCAAUAAGAUGCUUGCUUGGAUUUAUAUCUUAGAGUCCUCAAGUUACUACACCCUCAAAGCAGGACAUUUGCCUUUCUGGAUCUUUUGUAAAGAAUAAACAACCCAACAAGACUAUCUGCCCUAUCACCAGUGGUGUACACACAACACAUGGGGCCCCGGUGCGAAAACUGAUCCGUGGGCCCCCCAAUGCGCGCUUACUCUGCGCGGGCUGGGGCCGCAACACAUGGCAGGGCUGCGACCCCUGCGACCGCGGUAUGUACGCCAGUGCAUGCAGAUACACAUACACUUAAAGGACCACUACAGACACCCAGAUCACAUCAGCUCAAUGAAGUGGUCUGGGUGCCAGGUCCCUCUAGUUUUAACACUUCAGCUGAAAACACAGCAGUUUCAGAGAGACUGCUAUGUUUCAUUGAGGGUUAAUCCAGCCUCUAGUGGCUGUCUCAUUGACAGCCGACUAGAGGAGCUUCUGUGAUUCUCACUGUGAAAAUCACAGUGAGAAGACGCUGAACGUCUAUAGGAAAGCAUUGAGUAAUGCGUCCUAUGGGCAGUUUGAAUGCGCGCGUGGCUCUUGCCACGCAUGGGCAUUCGGAGCUGGGUGGCGGAUCGGGGCGGAAAGAUCCCCAGCGCCAAGGGAGUCCGGCGCUGGAGAAAGGUAAGUGCUUAAGACACACACACUCUCAUGAACAGACGCAUACACACUAGCUAACAGACACACACAUUUACUGACAGACACACACUCAGUGACAGACAUACACACUCACUGACAGAAAGACACACUCACUCACUUACAAAACACACACUCACUAACAGACGCACACAAAAUAACACACUCAGUAACAGACACACACAGUAACACACUCACUGACACACUCUAACACUAACGCACUCUCUAACACACUAACACACACUCUAACACACACACACACACACACUAACACACACACACUCUAACACUAACACACACACUCUGACACUAACACACACACUAACACUAACACACACUCUAACACUAACAUACACACACACACUCUAACACUAACACACACACUAACACACACACACUCUAACACUAACACACACACUGACACUAACACACACACUAACACACACUCUAACACUAACACACACACUCUAACACUAAAACACAAACACACACUAACACACACACACUCACACACUAACACACACACACUAAAACACUCACACACACUAACACACACACACACGUUUUAAAAAAACAUUUAAUCCCCCCAGCCUCCCUACCUUUGGGAGAGCUGAGGGGAUUCCACUGUCUAUGACUGUCCUGUAAAUCAGACGGGACAAGAAAUCUCCAGGCAAUUGGUUCAUGGCUACCCAAGAUUUAAACUAGGUCAUAAUCUAAUCCUGACCAGACUGACUGUAGAUGAAUGUAGUUUAGUCCAAUUUGUUAACUUUAACCUCCUUUAAAAAUCCUCCUUUAAUUUUUUUUAUAUACAUUGCUGUGCAUGACAAUAUAUAUAAAAAGCUGGUAAGUUUCAGACUUGUGCAUAGUGAGAAAAUUAGAUUUGGCUGAACCAUUUCCCCCAAAAAUAGAAAAUGUUUCAGGACAAACAAAUUUUACCUGUAGGUCGGUUUGGCUUGGCAGAAUUUCAGUACUGAAAAACUGAUUGGGGAACAGUAUCAGAUGAAUCAAAAGGGCACAUAAUUGGGCCAAUCAGUGUACUGCAACUAUAUAUGAAACUAUAAUAAUAAUAAUUAUUAUUAUUGGUAUUUAUAUAGCGCCAGCUUAUUCCACAGCACUUUACAAAGAGAGGGGAAUUUACCAAAUGAGACAAUAACAAAAUUUAACAGGAACAAUAGGUAGUUGAGGACCCUGCUCAAACGCGCUUACAGUCUAGAGGAGGUGGGGUAUAAAAACACAAUAGGAAGGGUAUUGAGGUAGACAGCAAAUAGACAUGGUGGGAAAGUAUCAAAACUGGAGGUGGGAGUGGAGAGUGGCCCUUUAGGAGAGAGCAAGAGGAAGGAUUGAGAGUUACUCUUGGAGGCCAUAAGCAAUCCUGAAAAGAUGGGGUUUGAGGGACUUCUUAAAAGAUUGAAGACUAGGGGAGAGUCUGACAGGGGUAGGCAGGCUGUUAUUAGGAGAGAAUUACAGUAAUCCAUGCAAGAUAUUACUAGAGCGUGAACAAGCUCCUUGGUAGCAUCUUGAUUAAGAAAGGGGCAUAUGCGGGCAAUGUUUGUAAGCUGGAAUCCACAGGUUUUAGCAACAGACUGGACAUGAGGCGCAAAGGUGAGGCCAGGAUCAAAAAUGACACCAAGACACGAGCUUGAAAGGAUGAGAUGAGGCAGGUACUGUCAACCUACAGGGUGAGUGAAGGAGUGUUAUGAGGAGGAAAAAUAAGAAACUCAGUUUUCGAGAGAUUGAGUUUCAGAAAGCGGGAGGACAUUCAAUCAGAGAUAGGCACUUGGUGACACGUUCUAGGACAGCAGGGAGAGGUCAGGGAAGGAGAGGUAUAUCUGGGUGUCGUCAGUGUUAUGGUGGUAGUGGAAUCCAAGUGAAUUAAUGAGUUAGCCAAGAGAGGCAGUAUAGGGAAAGAACAAAAGGGGACCAAGAACGUAAUCUUGAGGGGCUCCGACUGGGACAGUAUGAGGAGAGGAAGUGUAGUUGGAAAAAAAGAAACUGAAGGAGCGUUGGGAGAGAUAGGAGGAGAACCAUGAGAGGGCUGUAACACAGAGACCAUGAGAUUGAAGGGUUAGGAGAAGAAGCCAUGAUCAACAGUGUCAAAGGCAGCAGAGAGGUCAAGAAGAAUCAGUAUGGAGUAGUGGCUUUCAGAUCCCCUGCCCCUGUGCUGCUCGUGGUGUCCUUGCUUACCUCAUCACAGCGAGCGGCAUCAUCUGGUCCCUGUCUUUAGACUGGCAGUGUGUCUGACGCUGAACGCUCCAGAGCAGCUUCCUUAUAUGUGUGUUGCACCUGGUCAUGUGACCCGGCACACAGUGAUGGCCUCAGAGACCACAAGGGAGGGAAGAAACUGACUUUUGCAUAACACGACCAUUAUAAGGAUCGGUAUUGCAAUUCUCUCUACUCUGUCCUGUCUGCAUGUUAGGGUUCCCUAGUGAACGUUACAGUGGCCUUUGGAUUUAGCUGCAAUUAGAUAAUUUGUAACGCUAGUCAGAGCAGUCUCUGUUGUGUGGAGAGGGCGAAAUCCAGACUGAAGAAGGUCAAGGAGAGAGUUAGAAUUGAGGAAGCAAGUCAGAUGGGUAAAGACAAAUCUUUCCAAAAGCUUUGAGGAGAAAGGGAGCAGGGACAUGGGAUGAUAGUUGGAAGGGGAGGUAGGGUCAAGAGAUGGCUUUAUGAGGACAGGUACAGCAGUAACAUGUUUAAGGGGAGCUGGGACAACACCAGAAGAAAGAGAGGAGUUGAAGAUGUGCGUUAAUGACUGCACCAGACAAGGGGCGAGAGAUCUGAUGAGGUGGGAUAGGAUUGGAUCAAAUGGAAACGUGGUGGGACGAGAGGAAAGGAGAAGCGCAGCCACCUCCUAUUUAGUAGCUGGAGAGAAGUCUUGGAGGGUAGGGAUGGUAUGGUCCAAGUGAGUUUGAGAUAGAGAGGGGAUAAUGAGGAAGAAUGCAUUCCUCAACUGUUUAAUCUUGUCAGUAAAGUAACAUGAAAAGCUAUCAGCUGAAAGAUUAGUUUGUGGGGUGACCACAGCAGGGCAAAAAAGAGAGUUAAAAGUAUUAAAGAUAUGACUAGGAGUGUGUAAGGGGGGCUGUGGGGGCAGUGUGUUUGGUGGGGGAGUGUGUAAGGGGGGCUGUGGGGGCAGUUUGUUUGGUGGGGAAGUGUGUAUGGGGGGCUGUGGGGGCAGUUUGUUUGGUGGGGGAGUUUGCAUGGGGGGCUGUGUAAAACAAAUUAUUUUUUUAAUAAAUUAUUAUUUAUAAUCCCCCCUCCCUUCCUACCUUUGCCCAGGGAGGGGGGAUAUCGCUUGUAAUCCCUGGUGGUCCAGUGGAAUCCCUGGCGUUCUAGUGGGGAGUGAACUCUAGCCUGCACCUCCUGAGGCUAGAGUUCACUCUCGCGCGAACAGAGCGUUGCCGUGGUAACCGCGGCAACGCUCCGUGCUUGCGAGAGGAGACCUGGCGGAGCUGCAAACUAGAGCUCCUCCCGGGUCUCCUCUUUUCCGUGCCGGCCGCCCAGCAAUAUGCCUGCGGACCGGUGAGGGAGAUCUCUGAUCUCCCCUCCGGUCCGUGAAGGCACUUAGCAGGGCCGGCCCUUGGAUAGCACCGGCCCUGCAGAAGACAGCAUCGGAUCUCGGGGGGGGCAAUUGCCCCCUCCCCUGAUCCGCCACUGCCUGGAGUGGGGCUGCAGCAUCUAGGGCAAAGGUCUGGGUAGUAUUAUAUGAGGAGAUAGUCAGAGAGGGACAGGAGAGGGUAGGGAUGAGAGUUCAGAAUGGAUGUCAGUCGAAAGCUGCUGGAGAUCAAGAGAAUUCAAAUUCCUCCUGAGUUGAGGGGGAUUAGGUUGAGGAUAUUGGGUGUGGGGGCACUCAAGAACAAAUGAUAGGAGGUGGCAGUCUGAUAAAGGAAAUGGAGUAUUACAGAGAUUGGAGACUGAGUACUCAUUUGAAAAAAUUAGAUCUAGGGUAUUGCCAGCUACAAUUAGAGAUGGGAUAUUUCUUGAAAGGAAGUAAGGAAGCCAGGCAGCAAAAUGGUCAAGGAAGAGACGAGGAGAACCAGGGGGCCUAUACAUAACUGCAAUGUUUGCAGAUAUUGGUUUGAAUAAGCGAAUUCAGUGAAUUUCAAACGAGGAGAAAGAGAGGGAAGAGGGGUGGGUAGAGGUUUGAAGGAGCGGUGGGGUGAAAGCAGAAACCUUACACCGCCACCUUUACUGUCAGACUGUCUUGGGUUGUGAGUUAACUGUAGACCACCAUAGGAUAAUGAGGCAGGGGUUGCUGUGUCAGAAGGAGAGAGCCAAGUUUCAGUUAAAGCAAGUAAGUGAAGGGAGCGUGAGAUGAAUAAGUCAUGGAUGGAAGUAUAUUUAGUUAUGUUGCACACAGAGCGUGCAUUCCAGAAGGCAGAAUGGAAGGAGGGCUUAGAUGGAGAGUUACAUGGGAUGGAUAUAAGAUUAAAGAGGUUUUUUAGGGUGGACACAAGGUAGGUAGGUAGAGACCAGGGUUUGGAGAGACAUCGCCAGCUGUGAAUGGGUAUGAGUAUAGUGUGUGGGAUGAACAGAGAGAGGAGGUAAGAAAACCAGAAGCAAUGAAGAUGGUGUCAGUAUGGACUGGUAAGCAGAAAGAUAGAGAGAUUUCAGUAAUGAGAGAAGUGAGGGUGAAACAGAAAAAUAGUAGAGUAAACAUUGUUAAGUAGUGUUUUGUUAUAGAUGGGGAAAUUAUAAGGGCAGCUAGGACCAUAGGAGAGCUUGGAGGGGUCAACGGUUAACUGGUCUGUGGCGUAGGAAUGGAGGUAUUACAGGUGAGAAGAUGAUAGACAUGAUUGGUGUGUUUGAAAAAACAGGUGAUUUGAACUAUCUAUAAAUGUAGUAACUAGGUGGGUGGGAAUUUUUUUCCAGAGAUGCUACCAAAGUCCAGCGGCACGCGUUCUAGUCUAAUACGGCCCCAGAGGUAAUUUGGCUAAUCUAUCUGUUGUGGCCCCCAGUAAAUCCCAGAGCGCCAUUUAGGAUCCCUGGAUCUUUGAACGCUGCAGGCCUGAGUGGCAUGCAGGGAUUCACUGGAGGCCAAGAGAUCGCGAGAACGCAGACGGUUGUGCAGUCACUGCUCGUCCUCGGUCUGUGUUCUCGCGAUCUCUUGGACGUCAGGGUAUCUCUUGGAUAUCGACGACGUGGGAUUUGAUUCCUACUCCCUGGAGGGACAGAAUGAAAAGGGACAGAAUCAAGAGAGACAGAAUAAAGAGAGACAGAAUGAAGGGACAGAAUAAAGAGAGACAUAAUGAAGGGAAACAGAAUGAAGGGACAGAAUUAAGAGAUGAAAUAAAAAGUAUGCCGUUUGUCAGGCAGCAAAAACUUUGCAUAAAAUAGUUAAUUUGCAUUUAAUUUUAAUGGUUCAAAGAACAUCAGGCAAAAUGAUCGGCCCUCACGCAUGUUCACUUCAUCAAAUCUGACCCUCUUUGAAAAACGUUUUGACACCCCUGGCAUAAGGCUUUGGAGCUGCAAGACUUCCAAGCUGUGAGUUCUGGGAGCAAUCUUUAAGUUUGUUUGUUGAGGUUCAGACUGAAAUAGAAAGUCUGGGUUUGGAUAAAAUACAUCAUUUAUGGGUGGAGAGAGACAUGAAGACAUUGAAGUGAGAAAGGGCAAUUAAGGGAAGAAAGCAGAGGAGAGGACAUUUGAGAUUUAAAGGAGGGCAUGGUAAAGAUCAGAUAGGUGAAAGUAAUACAAUUUGAAAUUGACAGGACUAUGAGUGCAAUAACUAACUAAAACAAAGAUUUUUUAAAUGAUCAAUUAAGCAGAUAAACUAUAGGGGAGGAGGGCAAAUAGGAAAGCAAAAGUAAAUUAAAGGGACACUAUAGUCACCAGAACAACAACAGCUUAUUGAAUUUGUUCUGGUGAAUAGAAUCAUUACCUUCAGGCUUUUUGCUGUAAACACUGUCUUUUCAGAGAAAAUGCAGUGUUUUCAUUACAGCCUAGUGAUAACUUCACUGGCCACUCCUCAGAUAGCUGUUAGAGAUCCUUCCUGGGUCAUGGCUGCCUAAAAUGCAUCCAAACAUUCGGUAUCUCCUCCCUCUGCCUGCAGACACUGAACUUUCCUCAUAGAGAUUCAUUGAUUCAAUUCAUCUAUACGAGGAGAUGCUGAUUGGCAGGGCUGUGUUUGAAAUGUGCUGGCUCUGCCCCUGAUCUGCCUCUUUGUCAGUCUCAGCCAAUCCUAUGGGGAAGCAGGCAGUGGGCAGGUCUAAAGGAAACAGAGCCAGAGCUGACAGCUCCAGACUUGAAUACAAGUAAGAUUUUACAUUUUUUAGGGAGGCAUGAGGGGACCAGGGUGGCUAGAUGGUGGUUUUAACCCUAUAGGGUCAGGAAUACAUGUUUGUGUUCCUGACCCUACACUCUGUUCCAAAUUAUGAUGCAAAUGAUAUUUUUCUCAUUUACCUAAAUAAUUGAUGUAAAUAACAGUCAGCAUAAUUCUCAUGUUAUCAACUAUUAAGAGUACAAUUCAAAUUUUAUUGAACAAACCUCCUAAUGAUAAAGGUAUUUUUUUAAACAUAAAAAACUUACAAUGCACUGUUCCAAAUUAUUACGCACAGUAAGUUUCAAAACACCUUAUAGGUGGUAAAGAACGGAAAAUUGUCAUUUGCUGUGUUUGCAGCAUAUUUACUGAAAUCAAAAGCUAUUUCAAUCAAAUACUGUCCAACAUUUUAACUUUUUAAAUAUUUUAACAGGUCACGUUACAUUUUAACAUAGGACCCCUUAUUUGAUAGCAGCUUCACAAGUCUUGCAUCCAAUGAACUUGUGAGUUUUUGGACAGUUUCUGCUUGAAUUUGUUUGCAAGAUGUCAUAAUAGCCUCCCAGAGCUGCUGUUUGGAUGUAAACUGCCUCUAUCCCUCAUAGAUCUUUUGCUUGAAGAUGCUCCAAAGGUUCAUUGAGGUCAUGGGAGGAUGGAGGCCACACCAUGACUUUCUCUCCUUUUAUCCCCAUAGCAGCCAUUGAUGCAGAGGUAUGCAUUGUCAUGCAUGAAGAGCAUUUUUCUUCUUUCUGUACCAGGGAAGGAAGUGGUCAGUCAGAAACUCCACAUACUUUGAAGAGGUAAUCUUUACACCUUCGGGGACCCUAAAGGGGCCGACCAGCUCUCUUCCCAUGAUUCCGGCCCAAAACAUGACUCCACCACCGCCUUGCUGACGUCGCAGCCUUGUUGGAACAGGGUGGCCAUCCACUAACCAUCCAGUACUCCAUCCAUCUGGACCAUCCAGGGUUGCACGGCACUCAUCAGUGAACAGGACUGUUUGAAAAUUAGUCUUCAUGUAUUUUUCUGCCCAAUGCAGCUGUUUCUGCUUAUGAGCAUUGGUUAGUGGUGGCCGAAUAGAAGGUUUAUGCACAGUUUCAAGACUCUGGAGGACUCUACACCGGACGUUGGGACUCCAGAGGCACCAGCAGCUUCAAAUAUCUGUUUGCUGCUAUUUAAUGGUAUUUUAGCAGCUGCUCUCUUGAUCCAAUGCAUGGAUCUGGCAGAAAUCUUCCUCAAUGUGACUUUAUCUGCACAAACCUGUCUGUGCUCUGAAUCAGCCACAAAUCUCUUAAUAAUGUGAUGAUCACGCUUAAGUUUUCGUGAAAUAUCUAAUGUUUUCAUACCUCGUCCAAGGCAUUGAACUAUUUCACUCUUUUCGUCAGCAGAUAGAUCCUUUUUCUUCCCCAUAUUGCAUGAAAAUGGUGCUCUGCUUAAUAAUGUGGAACACCCUCCUUUAGUAGUUUUUCCUUAAAUUGGGCUCACCUGGCAAUCUAAUUAUCACAGGUGUCCGAGAUUGUUUUCAGUGAUCAAAAGAGCCCUGAGACACAAUGCCAUCCAUGAGUUAAACUGAAAAACAAAAGAUUUAAUCUUUGUGGCACUUAAAUAGAAUUUGCAUAAUAAUUUGGAACAGGGUGUAGUGCCCAAUUAAAUCAAAUAAUUUUGUACCUCUGCGCCAUGCACAUUUUUUUAGUUUCAAAAAGCUUUAUUAGUACAAAAUAUAUGGUUACAGUAAACAGUAAAGGAGAUAAUGUGUAUGUGAGACUCGCAGGUCUCUAUUCUGUCAAUCGAGUUACAGUAUCGUGAAGAAUAACAGAAAGUAGCCAUAGUUUCAUACAUAUAUUAUAAUCAGUUAGCUAUUCUAAGAUUUGUAUGAAAGGAUAACAAAUCCGUGUAGGACCAGCCAUGUGCGUAGCCUGCUCGAAGAGCACUUAAUGUGUGUUCCGUGUUCCGUCGGGCGGAUCUGAUUAGGUAGGUGAUAGUUAGCCUGUAUCUGGUGAAUCUGAACUGUGAGCCACAUAGGCUUGUGGGGUUCUGAUUUAUUUUUUUGUUAUAUUGGAGGAUGGAAGCGUUUCAGGGUAGGAGGUACUGGUUGUGCCUUAGGAACAUCAUGAUUGUAUACGUGUGUAACUUUCCUCAACUCCCAACGAACCUGUUGCGCUAUGGGGGGACGACUCUCGGAUUUGGGCUGGAAUGUUGCUUAGCUCAGUAAUGGCAUCUCGCUUCCUGGGUUCCCCCUCUAGUUAGUGGGCACACCUUGGCUGGUGCCCGUGGGGUACAUAAAGUAGUGAAAGGAGUAGAAUGAAAGAGGGAGCAAGUGGUAGUCUGAUGGUCAAUUAGAGGCAGACAUGGGAAAACGUGAUGCUGAGAACCUCAUGGCCGAACGCAAGGCACAUCCCCUAUUCAGCCCCCUGCGGGUCAGCCCCUGCGCCCCCGACGCGCACAACAGCCGCACGCGCCACGUAUGCAACCAGGGUCCCUCCCUCCCCCCCAACAAGUGUGCUAUUGCCCCAUUGCCAGCCCUCAUGUUGGUCCAACCUCUCCCGACCACCAGUCAGCUAUGCGCAUCCCCUUCUACCAUCAUAAUAUCGCUGUAGCUACCUAUGCUUGCGUAACCAUGUCGUGUGCACGUGGUCACCUGUGGCAUCCCCAACCCCACCAGCCAAUCCCAACAACACCCCCCCCCACCUUCCCCACCACCCCAGAAUGAUAGUAAGUACAUCACAUAAGAUCCCUGGUCCUUUCAGUGAACAUGAGCGCUACCAGUCCAUCAGCAGGGGGUACCCGCUGCUCAAUAUAUUAACUGAGAAAGGCAGUAUGGUGAUGUCCCCAGGGUACCCCAAUUCUCUCGACCCCCUCCCACAACACAGGAGCCCCAACAUUGGUUGCUUAACUGACCGAUGUUGGUGGGAAAAAGGUGGCACAGCGUGAGGAUCAAAACUUUCUAAUGUGACUCUUUCUAAUAAAUAAAUCUUCAAAAUUUCUUUUAUCAGAAUGCCUAUAUGUGUUACUCCCCUUCACAUUCAUAAUUUCAUGAUAAUGAUAUUCUGCUCUCCAAUCAUACAAAAUCUUGGCUGUUGCAAAUAGACUUUUCAGUUGUAAAUCGACUUUUAAUUUAGAGUCCAGUUAUUCUAAAAGCCUUUUCUGUUCUGCUCAUGCCUAUAGGUUUACAUUCAAGGGUCUUUGUUUUGCCUUUGGAGCAGGAUACUGCCUGCUUCUUUGAACCUAUGUAUCUGACCUACCACAUACAAACAACGACCUCUCCAAAACUAUUGUAAAACCAGUAAUCUGGGCCGUCAUAAAUAUUCCGAUAUAAAAGAAGGACCUAAGCAUCAAAUACCCUUUUAUUAAGUGGUCCUCCUAAUAACAUUUAUUUGUUUUGGCAGGGUUACAUAAAAAAUGAAUCAGUGCAUCUGGAACAAUAUUAGCUUGCUCAUCACUCAAAAUAAUUAUGUUUUUUUGUUUUCCUAAAUUUAUUUUCCAAUAUAUAAAUUUCAAUAUCUCCCCUUCAGCGUUGCAGUGUAUACUAUACUCUACAAGUUUUUCUAAUUAAUUAUUAAAUAAAACAGUCAUUAUAAACUCUUGUAGAACAAAGCCCUAUUUGCAGCCUGGGAGGAUGUGUAUAGAGUAUAUUCGUAAUUUUGUUUACUCCUGCGUGCUGAGUAUUUAGGAGGUAUUUUAAUAAAUAAUAAUGCUUGUUAAUAGGCAUCCAUGUAAUUAUCUUUCUCGCCUCAUUCUCUAUAAAUAUUAAGGCCAUAUGACACAGGAAAUCUCCAUUCAAUACACAGGAGCAAGUGAAGGAACAGCAUAGAUCUCUGAAUAUCAAAUAACCAAAUAUGGAAUUUAAAUGUUUAGGCCGAAAAUAGCAGAAUUUAAAAAAAAUCCAUUACUUUGUAUUUUGAUUUAUUAUUUUUAAGUGAAGAACCCUGCAUAUCGGCAAUAUGUAAAAACUAUUCAUUGGUCCUUCCUUGGUAUUACUUGUAAAAACCCUGACCGUGAACAAAAAUUUACAAUAUAUCUAUGGCUUUUAUAUUUCAUUUCAGUCACUGCAACAUCAUUGCUGACAGAACUGAUAGCUCAUGUAUGGGGUAAACAUUUAUUAAAUACUUUGUUAUUGGUAUUUACUAUAGUGUAAUAUCUUACAGGACACCAGGAAAAGGAAUUUAAUGAGCAAUUCUUCUGUGGGUUUCAGGUGCACCAUUCUUAUUCACGGCAUACCUGAGCGUGAGUUUUAAUCCUUCUUUCUCAGGCAGCAUUCCAAAGAUUCAGACACUUCACCAGUUGUAAAACAAAAACCCAUGCUUGUAUUCAGAGGAGCAAUGUCAUAGUAAUUCAGGCCUCUAACCGUUCGAGUCUGCAUAGCAGAACAAUGGAGGUGCUGUUCUUUGAGGAGGGACUGAGGGUGUUUUAGCAAACAUGCAAGGUUAUUAUAAUCACACCUACACACAACAUAGUCUGCCAAACUCAAUUAUUUUAAUAGCAUUUAAUAGUCCUUUCCUUCAUAUACACAUUCUGCUAAGGAACUCUGUAGCUGUAUUUAAGCCACAUAAACGUUCUUGGCAUAAUAAGAGUAUGAACCAGUCCAUUGGGUAACGUGAAUAGUGAAGAGGUUAACAGUAGUUUUUCUGUGCAAUGUUUCGGCUGAUGCAAUAUUGUCCAGGCUUUUUGAAUAUUGGGGCACUUAACAUUGCAGAUGCCAUACAGGACAAAAUGUCAAAACAGGUGGCAUCAUUUUUGCUUAACAUAUCGCAAUAUAACAUGCAGUGCACAAUUACAGGAGUAUGGCCAUAUCAUUCCUUCAGUUACUAAGAUACUAAAAUAAAAAUGAUGGUUUUAGUUUUAGUUUGGUUUUACUACAGAAAAUCAGAAAUGAUAAUUUUUCAAGUUUCCCGUACAUGCAGGUUGUAUAUAGCUGUAUGUUGGACGUUGAGUGUGUAGAGUAGUUUAAAAUAUGUGAGCCAAUACUUUUUUCAAUGCAUCUGCUGAUAUUAGUUGGAGUAGUAGCGUAGGUGAUCUACAAUACAAUUACAAAUGACAAUUAACAGAAUAUAUGUUGUAACAUAUAUUUUAGUAAAUAUAUUCUGUGAACUAAAAACAGACAUUGGUACUGAUAGAUGUUAAUAGAGUUGGACCUGGUCAUAUCUUGUUUUUGUAUGCAAACAGUACAGAAAUGCAGACUUCUUAAUACCUUAUUAAUAUUUUAAAAAAAUAUCAAAGAUAAAAUAAGCUGUUCAUUUACAAAAUUAAUUUUGCACUCCACAAAGAAUAAUUACUUAGUUGAGCAGAUUCAAUUAAAAGUAUUACUAUAUCGAAACUUAUUGACGUGUUCUUUCUCUAUUUCCUGUUUACAAUAGUGAUAGGCAUGGCUUCCAGUCAGAGUUUUUUGCAUUUAAUUGAAAUGUCAGGAAAGGUCUUAUUCAGCUGAAGGCCUUGUACCACCAACACUGUGGUGGUCCUUUUGUUUUUAAUCUGCAUUAAUAUUGCUUUGUAAUCAGUAACUGGUUUAGUUGAAUCCUUUAGGAAAGUGGUGUAAUUUCUUCCCCCUCUGUUAGUCAAUGUCAUUCUGAGGUCACGCCCAGGAAAUUCUAAUAAACUAUUACACACUCAAUGAAUUUUUGUAGGAAUAAUAGAUACUCUAAAGGGGGUAUAACCUGCUGGCUCUAAAUUCACAUCUGUCAGAUAUUUUGAAGGUUUUUAAUAAUCUUGGCAGUGUUUCAAGGAAAAUGGCAGCAACUUUUGUAGAGUAACAAUUCUUCCUAUAAUUUCAAAAUAAUAUUUGAAUAAAAUAAAAAUAAUAUAAUAUCAAAUCCUCCCUCUCAUCUUUAAUAGACAUUUGUAACCUAAGAGAGUUAAAAAUCAGAUAUGGUUAUUCACCAAACCAGGAUUUAUUGGUAAAUUUAAAUCUAAGCCUAAAAUAGCACGAUUGAAACAAUACCCAAACUCAACUACUUUACUAGAUGGGGUAUUUUGGCCUUUAAAUUACCAAGUCAAUUCCUGACUGUUCUUAAUUUAGUCAAUAAAUGAAUAAACAAGUGUACAAAUAACUGCGUAUAUUUAAAAAAUAACAGCAAAUAUGUGAUUUUUGGAUGUUGCUUUUAUAAUUUUCAAGUGAAAGACUCUAGCGUGCAAAUUCUGUUAGAAGCAUUAAAAAUCAUAUUUUAAUCUAUACAAAAUUCUAAAAUGCACCUUAAUUAUGGAAACCCUGUUAAUGUUGCUUUUGGAAAUAUGGUUCAUUGUCAUAUUUUUUUGUCAUUGCUCCACGAAUUAUGAUUCCAUAGGUGAUUAUUUGCUUACCUGGUAGCCUUGUCCCCAGAUCUGUCCUUAAUUAAUCCAAUUAUUUGUAAUGAUCUCUACAGAUCUGAACAGUAACUUGUCUACUGACUACUAAAUUGCAUUACAAAAUAAUAAAAUAAAACAAAAUAAAAAGAAGAAUGCACUCCAUUAAAAAGGAACAGUAUACAGUUGUGCUCAAAAGUUUGCAUACCCUGGCAUAAAUUGUGAAAUCUUGCCAUUGGUUUUGAAAAUAUGACUGAUCAUGAAAAGUUGCUUAUUAAAGGAUAGUGAUCAUAUGAAGCCAUUUAUUAUCACAUAGUUGUUUGGCUCCUUUUAAAAUGAUAAUAAUAACAGAAAUCAGCCAAAUGGCCAUGCUCAAAAGUUUACAUACCCUAAAAUGUUUGGCCUUGUUACAGACACAAAAGGUGACACACACAGGUUAAAAUAGCAAUUAAAGGUUAAUUUCUCAUACCUGUUGCUUUUUAAAUUGCAAUUCGUGUCCGUGUAUAAAUAGUCAAUGAGUUUGUUAGCUCUCAUGUGGAUGUACUGAGCAGGCUAGAUACUGAACCAGGGGAAGCAGAAAAGAACUGUCAAAACAAGUUAAUACAACUGUAUAAUGAUGGGAAAGGAUAUAAAAAGAUAUACAAAGCCUCAAAUGCCACUCAGUACUGUUUCUCAGUACUCAGUACUCAGAAAGAAAAGAAUAACAUACAAAGAAUCUUGACACAAGUUAUUAACUCCUUAAGGAAGGUGAUUGUGUUAUGCCGUCCUUAAGGAGGCAAUCCUUAACACAGCCGGUAGGACGUCUUAGCUGUCCUCGAAGCCCACGUGACUUCCAGCAUUACCCCACUGGAGAUCGGGAUCACAUGUCCAGGGGACUGCCUGUGUUGUCAAGCUGAAAUUAAAGUUCCAAAUUGCAAUUAAAGCAUUUAAUCAAUAUAGUAUACAUACAUUAUAUAUGUACACUAUAUUAUAAAAGAAAGCAUUUUAUUAAUAUCUUAUACAUACAUUAUACAUAUGUAUACAAUUGAAUUGAUACUGUACUUUUAUAAUAUUAAACGUCACUCUAUGCCCAUUAUAGGUGCAGGGUCUGUAUAUUGUAUUUGUGUAUUGUUCAAUGUUUUGUGUGCUGUCCUGUCCUGCUGAUGCUUACUACCAACUUUGUGGAUUUGGCUAUGGAGCCUGUAUAGCACCCUCUCUUGGUAGGAACAGCUAUAUGCACUACCUGAAUAGCAAGGCUUGUUAAUUUGCAUAUUCAGGUAGAUUUGCAGAUUGGUCAUUCUGUAGGCAGGAGAGAUAUUUUGUGUUAAUUAUUGUCUUCCCCACCCCUUCAUAAACUUGACAUUAUGUUAUUAUAAGUACCUGUAAAUUGUCUGAUAUGAUUUGGUUAUUUGUAUUUUAUUGAAGUUGUCGCAAUAAUCUAAAUGUAAUAAGCCUGUGGGCUAGUCCUGAGUAAAAAUAAAGCUGUCUUUGAACCGGUUGGCUGGCUGCAUGAUCCCUCUAGCCCAAAUAAAAUUUCAUGUGAGAACCUGUUUGCAAGUGAAAGGGAUAUAUCAGUGCAGGGUAAACAUUGUAAUGAUGCAAAAGCACCUACAUGUUGAUCUCACAUUCAAAUUAGUAGAUUAUCUGAAUUGGAGGAUUAUGCUAAAUAUGCAUACACUAAACAUGUAGUUUUCUAUAGGCAAAAUUACAUAUUAGCACUAGAGCAGUGGUGACCAAAAGUCAGAUCCCAGAUGUGAACAUUUGAUUCCUGCAUGAGCAACACAUGACAAAGAACCAUAAGAGCUUUUAAAACAUCUGGUGAUCUACAUUUUGAGCACCCAAGCACUAGAAGGUAGUUGAAUGGGAUAGGCAUCUCUUUUGUUGUUUUACCUAGCUUGUUCCUUGUUAUCUACCUGCAGACUUUUUUCUUUAAUUGUGUGGGUAUAGCUAUAUAGCAUUUGUCUUUCAAAGGAAUCAAGGUACUUAAACCUCUAUUCAGGGGAACAAGAAAAAAAUAACUUUGGUACUUUGUUUUAGGUAUACAUUUUGAAUGUCUAUUAUAAAUCACUAUUUUCCAUGUUUGUUUAAAUUGAAGAAAUGAUCUAAAUACAAGUAAAAAAAAUAGUUUUUCCAUUACUAUACCAUAAUUACAAUCAACGGGCAGCAUUCUAUUAGAAGAUAUACACUUAAUUUGAGUAGCUGAACAGCAGUUUUCCCAUUGAGAGCUACAGGUAAACUAUACUAGAAUACAAACCAAAAGUGAAACAAAUUCAAAUGUUUAGAUGAUAAACCGCAAAAUCAUUCAAUUUUGUUAAGUGCAGCACUUAAAAUACACCCUCAUGCAAGUGUAUAAGGGCUUACCUGUAUGUUUUUAAUGGAUGAUUUUCCACAUAAAAAGGGAAAAAUAAAAGAGAAGUACAAUAGUGUGGUAAAAGAUGGAUAUACAGGAUAUAUAAAAGAUGAUAAUGGAUGCUCACAAUUGUAAUGCCUUUUGAACACUAUGGCUCUGAAUGUGCACGUUUUCUGUGCCUUUAGGUGGUAACACAAGCUCUUCAAUGGGUCAUUAGACAUACUCCAAUGUGAUGUAUGUAUAAAACAAAGGAUACAAAAAUGGCAGAUAGAAUAGUCUCUUAAUGACACAUAGGUAGCAUAUAAAUGUGUUAGUUUUGCUUACCUUUACUAGUAGCCCAUAGUGUGCUGGCUCCAAGUUUUUUCACAUUACAAGAAAAGAGUCUUCUGGCCUGGAUUCUACAAUUUCUGUGUUGGAUAUCCACAGAGGGAGUUUGUAACUUCUUACUUGACAAUCUGUGGAAAAAAAACAGAGAACAAUAAGAGUGUUUGAGCUAGUGUGCUGUCUGUCUAGUGUAAUCUAAUAUCUGGAACCCCCAGGCAAACAUCCAAUGGAUGUAAUUGACAUAUUGCCUGAGACACUGUAGGUGGAGUGUUUCUCAAAAUGUAUCUUGUGAAGUUGUCCUGGAAUUUUCUAAUAAAGCAGGCUGACAAUGCUAUGGGGUUGGUUCUGAAAAGAUAUAGGAAACUUAGGGUACUGAGUUAAUUCUGCAAACCAGGAAACCUCAAUUUUGGACUAGUUCUCUGCUGAUUUGUUGAGUUGGUUGAUGAGUUUUGUGUGGUUCAUGAUGAUAAGGGCCUGAUGUGUCAGUGUGAGUUGUAUGCCUAGAUAGGCAAUAGCUUUGUUUUUGAAAUCUCUGUAGGAAAAAUUUUAAAUCAUGGGGCACAUUUACUCGGAGGUCGUCAGUCUUUUCCAUGUUGUUUUCAUGGUAGGAAACUUUGUAUUAGUUGUAUUAGUGAGAGAAUAGAUGUCGGGGGACUGCUGUGGGAUAGUAAGAUGUCAGCGAAAAGUGCUUUUUCUUGACGGCUUAAGGUGUGGGUAUUCUUGUUAGGUUCAGGUAUUUUUUUUAUUUUAUAGACCAAAGGCUCAAGGACUAAAUAAAGAUUAGAGGUGACGAUGGGCACCCUUGAUGGGUGCCAUUUGUGAUCAUAAAAGGAAAGAGAAAGAUCUGGAGUUCAUAACCCUGACGGAAAGAAUUGAGUAAAAGCAUGAACCCAGUUAGUCCUUGGGAAAUAAUUUUAGGAAGGAUGCUUCCAUUCUGAGAGCUUAAAUUUUAACAUAGAGCUUGGUGUCAGAAUUUAAAAGCAAAAAUGGAUGGGUGGUGGAGCAUUUUGUAGGGGUCUUACCCAGUUUGGGCAGUGUUAUAAUAGUAACUCUAGCACUUCUUUAGGAAUAGUGCCAGUAUCUUUUAGAUGAUUAAAUAAGACUGUUAAAUGCAGGACAGGGAUAGGGGAAAUUAGUAAUUAGGGAAAACGUUGGGGCCUAGUGCUUUAUUCUUGGGUAGGGAAUUGAUUGCCUUAAAGAUUUUCAAUUCAGUAAAAGGUUCAUCAAGAAGGUCCUUUUGGUCUUGGGGCAUAGUAGGAAGGGGUAUGUCCUCUAAAAAGUAUUUUAUACUUUGGAGUGUUGGCUGAAUUAUAGACCCAUCUUGAUUUAGAUUACAGAGUGAACUGUAGUACAAACUGUAAAUAUUUUGUGAUAUGUGAGGGUUUAUGAUUUUUUUUUCUCCUUUUCAUUUAUGCUAUGGGAAAUACUUGUCUGCGAUUAUUAAGUUUUGAGUUUCUGUGCUAAAAGUUUACAUCCCUUACUCCCUUGAUAGUAAUGUAAUGUGUGUAACCUUGUUUCUUUAGAUGGUGUUCAGUAGUCUGGAGAUGUGUGGCAUGAAGUUUCUCCAUAAGUUUAGCUAUUUGUGCAGUUGUGGUUUCAGAUGGUUUUAAUUUGUUUGCCUGAUCUAGGUGUAAGGUGUAUUUAGAAUAUCUUCAUGUAGUCUUAUAGAUUUCUGUUUUUUUAGUUCUCCUUGUUGUAAAAAACUUCCACAACCCCCUGUUUUUAGUAGGUGAAGAGAGUUGCAGUGUGAAACUAACCAGGGCACAGAGGCCAUAUGUCAUACAAGUCAUGGUAUUAGGAGUAUUUUGGUGACUUGCUUGCUUGAACUCCUGCUGGUUUUAGAGGGGAAUUUGCAGAGGGCAAUUUGUGUGUCUACAGCGGUAUGCAGUACACAGUUACAAAAUCACCACAUAUUAUUCGCUGCCCCUGUUGAAUUGACUUAUUUAGCUAAAAACUGUAGUUGGUUCUUGUUUCAUGAAUAAAUAUUCACUGUGGUUAAAGGCUUGUCAUUAGGUAGACCCACUGCAAUACGUAUCCUCCCAGCUGAAUCCCUGUAUUGGGUAUUAAGUGUAAAAGAGAUGUCCCUGUUUGGAAGGAUGAAUACCCCCUUGGAUUUGGUUUUUGCAUAUGCGUAAAAUGUCUUGAGAAUAUGUGGAGGAGUGCAUUUCGAGGGUGGGGUUUCUUGUGCAAAAGUGGGUCUCCUGAAGAAAGACCAUCAUUGGGUUUAGGCGGUAGAAAUCAGAGGAGGCCAAUUAUCAUUUGUUUGGUGUGUUGAGAUCUUUGGCAUUAAGGGAUAAAACUAGUACGUCAUGAGUCUUUAUAGUGUACUUGUAAAAAGGUGUACCUGGUCAAGUUGGUAUCUUCGAAUUGUGUUCUUAGGCUGCUGAUCUAGUUUGAUGGAGGCAGGAAGAGAGAUGCUUGAGGACUGUGGCAUCGUCUGUGGGUCUAAUGGUGAAAGGUGCUGAGCCUGGCGCUCCAAGGAAUAAUGGGUAGGGUAAUUUAGGCAGAAAACAAAGAAACAGUGAACAAAAAAACAACAUACGGUUGUUGAUGAUGAUGAUCAGAUCACAUUUUAUGACCAAUUUGUGCAGAAAUCCAUAUCAUUCCAAAGGGUUCACAUACUUUUUCUUGCAACUGUAUAAAACACUAUUUCAUGUUGUAGCUUAGAAGAAAUAGCAACUGUGGUUGCUCAACUAAGUGAACUUUCGGCUUUAGCCAAAAUACUGGUGUCUCUCACCCAUAGUUGUGCAUAAUGGGGUUAGUCAUAACAAAGUGAAGCUCUCCAUAAGCAUCACAGUGGUAGGUUUGAAGCACUACGACUGCUGGCUUUGGCCAGUUUAGUUUCACUAGUGGAAAACUCACAACAAUUGUUUUUUGUGUGUGUUUUUUUUUUUUUGUUGUUGUAAGUUUUGUCUGAAUUUUAAUUUUUAAAAAAAUAUAUAUUGUAAAUCUUUUUGUGAGCAUGAACCAUCUUUGAUUUAACAAUCAUAAACUUAUAAAAGUGGGAAUUAAUGGAUAGUCAGAAUGACAGUGGUUAAGAUGACAGACUCCAGUAUUGUAGGAUUUUGAGGCUUUCGAGAGGAGUGUGGAAUACUUUGAUCACUGCAUUCCUCCAUACCAAUAAUUUAAUGGGGUAGUCCAUCUGUAUGAUCAUCUAAUCAUGUCUGAUGUCCGAGCAACUUUUUGACAUUGGCAAAUAUUCCCUCCUGGCCAUUGUGGAAGCUGAAAGGUCUGCAUAGAUUGCCAGGUUUCAGCUUUCUAGCAGCUGCUGGAAGAGCAUUUUUAGUGUGGUAAUAAUGUAGUCUUUUUAUAACAUUUCUAGGUGAUUUCACUGGGAUACUCCUAGGCUUUGGCAGUCUGUGAACCCUGUCUAAUAGCCACUCGUUUUCAGGUGUAGUAGGGACCAGGGCCUUGAAGAAGGAGCAUAAAAAUCUGGACAGUUCAUCCAAAGUUAUAUCUUAUGGAAUCCCUCUAAUUCUAAUGUUAUUUCCCCUGACUCUUCAACGUCAGCUAGCUUUUUUUUUUUUUUGUAAAUCUUUCUUUUAUUGAGGCAUAGGAAGAAUGGGUACAGAAAAUAAAAGGGAGGUAUACGAAAUGAUCAUACAUCAGAAGUUCAGUGACAGGUACAUUGAUGCAUACUCCGUGAUAUGACUGCCUCAUUUUAAUUUUAUAUUAUACAUGCUAAACUAACACAUUGCAGCAAUAGAGCAGUGUUGGUAUGGAAAGGUUGUGUGUUAGAUGUGUUUUGAAAGGAACAUGGUGGGUAGUGAGUUUGUUGCUAACUAUGGUGAGAAGCUUAUCAAUUCCACCUAGAGUAAACAUUUAAUAAAGUAAGCUUAACUAUGCACGACAAGACAACUUAUUAAAACAUGCUAGGUUAUUACAUCUUUGUUGUGUGUAUUUGAGUGCGAGUAAGGUUAAACAGGCAAGUAGAAUGCUGCAUAUUCGUUUGUUUAGUUAGGAUAUGCUCCACGUUGUGGGCUAUUAAGCUGGGUCCAGAUAAUAGACAUAUCAGGCGCAACAUUUUUUUUACAUGAGUAUAUCAUACAUGAGUAUGUCACACAGGCUGUCUGGCAUGUCUACCCUAACUUUAAGCAUCAUGGGACCUUGAGAAAAUGUCAACUAGACAUGUGGGCGCCCAACUGUGGGAGCGAGAGCCAUUGGACUGCCAAUCAGGAGAGGGUGGCGGCCCUUGGCUGCGCAUGUUAGCCAACAGGUGAGUUAUCAUCCAGUGUAAAAAUAAAAGCAUAGUAAACAUAAGUGGCAGGUUAGAAUGAUCGUUGGUUUCAAAAUCUAUACGGGACCGGGUAGCCGCCGCAGCAGGCUGGUAAGUCCACGGUAUACAUGGUGAAACUGCCCUGCUACGUAAGUGAACAGUCAGCCUAUGCCCAGGAUCGGGAAGCACAGGACAGGUAGGUGUAAGGUCCAGAUGGUACAGUCUCUGUGGGUUUUGGAGUGUCCCUGCGGUGUUGCUGGGGAUGCUAUUAAAUUGUGCAGUGUCUCUAGCAUGAGUGGUUGCGCAGCGUUCACCUUCGUGAUAUGUGGUAGGCAGACUUGUGAGUGUUCUCGGUGUUGCAAACCAUGCAAGCCUUUACACCUUUGGGUGCCAACCCGCUUUUCCGCCUCUCGGAGGUGUUGCCGGGGUCUCUGCGCUUGCCGGAGCUCCGAUGGGCAGUAGUGGGUGCACUGUCCCGACCGGGUGUGAGUAUGCCUCUCGGGUGCUGUAGCUAGUUGCAGGCACGUAACGUGAUGCUCUGGACUCCUCACUGACCUGUGGUGGCCGAGGUAGCUGGUGCUUGUGCUGUAGUCGAGCCCAAAACUGCUCCCCCAUGACGUGAACCUUGCGUUGGAGGCUACUGCCCAAUCGCUGGGGGUCUGUUGUUGCGCUCAGGCAUUGGUGCCGUCGGCUAUUUUAAUCAGACCUCGUGGCUCUAGCUUGCCAGCUGCGCGCCCUGGUGCAGCGCGUGGCUGGAUGCUCUCUGCUCGGUUGUGUGGACCGGGAUGACCCCCACUGGUCCUGGGGGGGAAGACUUUUCCCGGGGGUUCCAGUCCCUGCUUUUGUGCCCGGGGAGCGGACAUCUCACUGUGGCUCAGUUGUAGGUAGGCUGCAGGCCUCAGUGUGUCCAGUCGGUUCCGCCGGUGCUUGGGAGAGGUACUGUUCAGUGCAGCAGCCUCUCCCGGUUGUGAAUAUCUUGGUCUGCGGCUUGUGAGUAGUAGUAGCUGGGUGUUAUGCCCCGGUUUCUGUCCCCAGACGUGGGAGCUCUUGCCUAGCACGUCUGGGCUGCUCAGUUGCUUGGCUCCGCCACCAACAUAAGCCAGUUUUGUGUGUACCUUGGUGUGAUCUUAUUUUUGAGCAAUGAAUCUAUCUAUGAGCUCGUUAUGAGCUGUGCACAGCUCAUCCAUCUUACCUUCUGUGUGUGGAGAUUUUACUAAAGUCUUCUUGAAGUGAGGAGUGGACAAUCUGCAACACUGCAUGCAUCCUUUUUUCUGAUGUUGAAUAGUAGUUGGAUAGCUCCCCCAGAAGUUAUGAUUCAGACGCAGUGUCCAAUUGUGGAGAGGACGCAUUGUCGUUGGCGCCCUCUUGGAAAUGAUGGAAUGGGCUGUGGAUCAGAGCCCCUCAUUGACUAUAAGAACUUUCCCUGGAGCCAUCUGGGAGGAAUAGUUCUGGAGCAAGUAGGAAGAAUUAUUAUUGUUUUUGCAAUGUCGGUAGCUUUGAGGGCUAGUCAGAAAUUAAAUAGAAUAUUAAAUGAAAAAUCAACUUAUGGACACCUAAAAUAUUAUGCUUCAAAUGAAAUCAGAAAAAAUUCUAGACUUUUUAGACAAGUGAAAAAUGAGUAAAAAAGAUUGGGAAUAUAUAAAGGUUAAUUUUUCAAAAUCACAAUUUUUUUUCUUUUUUGUGGCUAAAAUCGAUAAGGAUAAGGAAUAAGGAAUCUACCAGGGAGACGAAUUAUACCUGUUAUAAAGUCCAUAUUAAAUCUCCAGAGGUUGCUCAAACAAGUUCCCACUUGAUCCUGAAUGUUAGGAUGCUCUCUUACAAACGUUUGUAGCCCAACUGCAUAACCUGUGGCUUGGAAUCAUUUUGUGGCCUGCACUCCUGGUGGGAUCCACUGAACGGAAAAAUGGCUGAUCUCCCAGCUUGGAACUACUGGCAUCUGCGACAACUGUUUUUCAGCCCUGUCCUCCUUCACUCUGGAUCGGUGGGGGAUAUCCCGGACCCCACUGGUGCACUCUUGUGGCCUACUUUACCAAGCAUUGAAAUUGUGGCCUAAUCAUCAAGAUGGCUGCCCCACCAGUGCCUAAGGCGAUAUGCGCCUACUCAUAGCCCCCCAUCCAUGUUGAUCCACUUCUCCAGAUGUUCGACCACAUCUGUGCACAAUUUUGGCUGAGGCGCAGCAACUGGGCACUCACCGCUGCUCCUGUACACCUAGUUAAGCCUGCAAUGCGCAAACUACAAUUACAGAAGAGGCAGCUGGGAAAGAAACCAAAGCGAGUGCCUCGCUGUCAAAGGAACAGCUCUUACCUGACUUGCGACCCGCACGGAGAAGGAAGCAAAUGUGACCGCUGUGGCUGGAGAAAAACCGCCAAAGCUGGGUGAACAGAAGUUACCACAAGCGCAACCUGCAAUCCCAGAAGAUUCCUGCUCAGCAAGGAUUCCUGCGUGCAUUGAGCUGGAUGCGAAGCCCGGUGCUCGUUAUGGAUCACUGCUGGAACCAGAGAGUCAUCACACAGAAUUAUCCCAGCACUUGGAACCAGCGGGGUGAGCAUAUGCAGCUAGGACUCUCAAACCCCUGGGUCGGUAGCCUCCCACCCAAGGGCAUCGGCUGACCGGUGGUAUGACAAGACCGCAGAAUCCCCACAGCUGUGCUUAGUCUCUGUUUUAUUUUUCCAUAUGUAAUUAAUUUUUUGCACUUUUAGUCUCAUGUGCAGAAGGCUAAUAUGAUAAUUUAACACUAAGCACCUCUUUAUAAGCCACAAGCUGUUUUUAGUAGCUCUGUUAUAGUGCCCUACUUAAUCAUCUGAAAUAGUUAAACUUAAUAAUCCAGUGGUAAUACAUUUUGUUAAGCUAGUUUGUUAGCAUGGUAAGUAGAAGUCACACUUCACAAAUUAAUGUCUGACUGAUUUUACAAGUCAUCCAGCUUAACUUUGUUGCUUAUGAAAUUAAAUGUAACAUGCUGACUGGUGUCUCAAUGUCCUCUUCCCUCAUAGUUAGACAUGACAGAAUAGCCUGAACAAUAUUAUUCUCAAAAAAAAUAUACCAUUUUACUAAAAGCCAUGUUGUUGUCUUAUGAUAUCUGUUACUAUAACGCUUGUACGAGCUGUCGUGGCUUGAUUGUAAUCUUGCGCACAAUAAAAAUAAAGAAUUAAAAAAAAAAAAAUAAGGCAUGGAAUGUGCCCCAAUAUUGGGAGAAGAUAAUAUAGACUUAAUGACACCAGGUAUUUGAAUGUGAUAAUACAGGGCAUAUAAACUGACUGAGGAAGCCUCAGUUGUAGGUGGAAUGCAUUUUAGAGAGGAUAGACCCUAUUUCUAAUGCUUUUUAUUUUUUGUAUAUUGUUUUAUGUACUGCUGUUCUUUUCACUUAAAAUAAAGUAAAUCUACCACUGAACCAUCAAAAAGAUCCUGAGUUGAUUUGACACUAGGAGUGGCGUCCGACCAACAGACGCUUAUGUGCAUACGAUGAGCCUGAGAGGGAAAGCUCUGGGGACAUGUGAGUGAGAUCACAUUGAUUUUUUAAAGUAUAUUUGUUUGGAUGUACUACACCAUAUAACCUUUUUUAUUCUGCUCUUAUCUGUGACAAUUACAUGAGGGAGAAGAAGAUCGUAAGAGGGCAGGAGUCCCCUUAUACAAAGCUUAAAAUAUAGUGCAAGAAUUUGGGCGCUAGUCUUUGCACAUCAGUUUUUAUACAACAUUGUUUCGUUAUAUGCACGUUACUGGAUUGCACUUUAUAAACUGUGACAUUAUGUAGAUGUUUUUUACCAUUGCACUUUUACACAUAUUUUAGGCAUAAUAAUAGUUAUACAUCAUUUAUUGUCAAAGCAAUUUAUUCUUCACAGAGUGUGUAUUUAAAAAAAAAAAAAAAUAUUAUUUUUUUCAUUAUUUUCUAUUUAUUGAUAAAGCACGUUUAAAUUUAUUUCACAGUGCGGUUUAUUAGGAAGAAAUAAUUUUCUUAAGUGCUCCAAAAAUCUUUUGUAUAUUCGAUUUCUUUUUUACGAUAAUAAAGUAUACGCUAUCAGUAUGUGAACUUCUAAUUAAGUUUAGUCCAUCAUACCAUAGGAUUAAAGUUUAUAGAUUUUUAAGUGCCUUUAAAUGCAAAAACUAUUUUUAUAAUCCUAAACAUCAUCCUAACUGUAAUCCUAGCCCAGGGGUAAGCAACCUUCGGCACUCCAGAUGCUGUGGACUACAGCCAUAAUUCUGGCAAAGCAUCAUGGGACGUGUAGUCCAAAACAUCUGCAGUGCCGAAGGUUCUCUGUCCCUGUCCUAGCCCUAUCAAUAGUGUUAGAGGGAAUCCCUUGCUGUUUUAAUCUCACUGUGACUUUGGGGUAGUAGGCAUGCACGAUUUAUCAGCAUAACGGAGUCACUUAAAUUAGCUCUAUGGAGAUAACACAGUUAAGCAUAUAGCUUUCUGAUUGAUUUACCAGUGAUGUUAUUCUGCAAUUAUUUAUGGAGAUUUUAGGUAGAAAUCAGCACUUUUAUAAACUGCAAUUAAAAUGCACAUACCCUUACACUUAAAGCACUUUGGCUGCUUUAUGUGUGGGAAUUAUUCCUUUAAGAUCGCAAUGAUAGUGAUAGACAGGAAAUAUAAAACUCUGUUGUUUAACUAGUAUUGCAAUGGAAUAGUGUAUCUGCUUCCUAAGUAUUUUUUUCCCCACGUUUGAAACUGGACACUUGACUAAUGUAACUUGUGUAAAUUGCAAAAGGAACUAAAUUGUAUGUUCCAUAGCACUUAAUUAACUGAUUGCUUUUAGCCCUUUUAGAAUCUGUACCACAAAUAACCAUCAGGGCAGUGAUAUAAGUAGGUGCGGGACAUACCUCUGAAAUUUUAAUUCAGAAUAGCCUGUUUAUAGUUGAUAGAUACCUUCUAUUACUGUCAUAGAUACGUUACUUGUUGGUAAGCCAAUAAGACAGGGCUAUGUUCGUUAACGUAUUCUUUAGUUGAUUUAAUAAAUUACAAUUAAUUAAAUAAUUUAAAGAGGCAUGUUGCUCUCACUCUAAGCACCAAACAACUUUAGCUUAAAUCUUAAAGGGACACUCGACUGCCCAAAAAAACAAAACCAAAAAUAAAAAUCACUAUAUAGUAUAUAUACACCCAAUGCAAACAUGUAUGUAUUUAAUUAUGCAUUUUUCAUUAUGAACACAGCUAGCAAAAUUUGUAGAUCUCUGGUCUGAAGCCUUUCCAGGCCCUCCUCUUCUAACCCAGCCCAGACUUUCUGUAACUGUCCAAUCAUAUACUUCCCAAUGCAGCUAAAUGAUAAGUAUUUGCAAGGCAGAAGCUCUGAGCAAUUGCCUGUCUCUUGAGUUUAGCUCAAUUGAGCUAAACAACCAGGAAGUAACAGGACUGGAUGUCAUGGGGUGUAAAAAAGUAUAUUUAUAAUUUCUAUUGAAAUCUGCAGUUUUUGUACAAUGAAAAAAGGACAUACUUUUUACACAUAAAGCACUUCAGCAAGCUGAAGUACUUUAAGGGUCUGGAGUGUUCUUUAAACUUUAAAACAACUGUAAAGUGGCUCUGUUAUUUAAAAAGCAUUUGUUGAGCAUUUCAUAAAGAUAACAUCUUUAUGAAAUACUCAUAAAAACUGUUUGAACUUCAUUGAAAUCCUAACAUAGUCAAAAGAUAUCAUAAGACAAAGUAUGGACUAGUUUGUCUCAUGAUAAAAGUGUAUGUUUGCAAAACUUGAAAAUAGGCAGAGCUACCACCAUCCAGUUUUACAACUUGAAGCAGCCAUUGCUAGCACAGGGUGUUUACUGUGGAAGUUAUUAUCUCCUGCUCUGUCAAUGAAACUCUUAUCACACACAGGAAGUUGCUGCAGGUUCUAGCAAGUAAUUAACAAAGCAGGAGAUGAGACAUUCUAAAAUGAACACACUGAGCAAUAACAAUUUACGCUUUUUUUCAGGAAGUGUGUAGUAAGACGGUGUGACUCACAACCAGGAGGAGGCGUGGAUAGGGCUGCAUAAAGUGUUAUAACUCCUAUUAGGCAGACUCGCGAGAAAUAAAACUGUAAGGGCAUAAGAAGUACUGCCCAGGAUGGUCUUGUUUUGCUCUGUAGAGCAACCUGUAUUCUGCCGUGGGAAAAACCUGGAUGCAGAAUACUUACCAAUGGCACCACGAGAGACCUAAGUUAGUUGUAAAACAAAUGGUUUGGCAAAUUACUUUGGGAUGGCACAAGAGGAAUUCUAGCGCCAUAGCUACUACAGCAGACUAUAAUGCUUAUGGUUAUUGAACUGUUCUUUUCGCACUGCAAUGUAUUGCAACGGCUCUUCUAGAACCCUGAAAAUACAUCUUGACAAGUACAGUAUAUUUAUACUGAUACAGAAUGGUAGGUACCAUUAGGACUUCUGCAGCAAUUAGCUUUUGUGCGCUAUUUGUAGUUACAUCAUGAACCCCUUUUACAUUUAUGUCUGAUUAUUUUGAUAACAUUUUGUAAUUCAAGUAACAUCAAAGAAAGUAAAAUCAACAUUAGAAAAUUCACAUAAUCCAGGGAUUGGGGUAGCUGUGUGUUCUCUUGUAUUGGCUCCUCUCUCCAACAUGUUCUGGAAGGGAAUGCAGCACUAAAAAGAAGACAGAAAAAGAAAAGAAAACCACAACAUUUAGAGAUAUGAAAUAAAUUGACUUUUUGUCAAGUGGAGUUGCCUUUGUUUGCUUUUCUUCUACAAACAGCUGACAGCGUUUUUCUUUAAGACCACUAAACUCAGAGCCAAAGAUGUUUAACAGUGUGUUUUUGUGAGGCAGGGCAAUUGUGUUGGCUAUUUGCUUUCUGUGUAAUAAAUGAGAUUGCUUCAGGUGAGGAGUGCUAGGAGGGAGGAAUGUAUGAACAGAUUUACACCUGUCCCACAGCUUAAAUUGACAGCACUAUAGCCUACAGAGAUGGCCAGUGGUGCCAGUCAGUCUGGAAGCCAUCAGGUAAACUCCUGUGCAAUAGAAACAAGAUUACAAACACAUCCAAAACACUAUAGCUUCUUGGAGCCCUACCAGCCUGCCUACUAAAAUCAACCCAUUGUAUUGGCCGUGUUAUUUGUACAGAUGCAACCAUGCAUGUCAAGUUUCAUGGAUAUAUUGUACUGGAAACUAACAGAACUAUGGCUGAGCUCAUUACAAACACAAAAAAUGUCUAAGACAAGAAACGUAUCCAUUAUUACCAAGCUAAAUACACUUCAACUCUGACAGAGGAGCCACAUUUAUCAAAAGAUAGCAUAGCACAAAGCUGCCGAACACUUACAGGACAUAAUAAUUAUUAUACGAACCUCCUUUCUGUCUCCAGUACUAGGCUCUCUCUUUCUAUCUCGUUAUCACGGUGAUCAAUUCUCUCAAUUUUUUUUUUUUUUAGAAUAUAAGGACCUAAUUUAAUUUCACACAAUUUUAUGACCACAAAAACAAUUCCAUGCUUUAUUAAUUUAAAAAAAAUGUUUUUGAAAAUACAAUUUCGGUUUUGAUUUUUACCCUCUGAUAAUAUAAAGUAUUUGGGUGUACUCCCAUUGCUCUUCAGGAAUUCAUGAAAAUAGAUUUUUGGUUGCAUCAUAGAGGUUCUGUUAGUUGUAACAGAAUUCCACGUUAAGCAAGAAAUGUAUUUUAUGCUGUUAGUGUCAUUGAACAAAGAAAUAGAAAUUGUGCUACAUCUAAAUUUUCCUAUAUUUGAAGUAGGCAUUUUGUAUUAAUCCCCUAAAAAUAGCAUAUUUAUAACACCAAUAAUAUAUUCCGCACAUUACCGUUGCCAGAGUUAAUAUAAAUAUUUAGGGGACACUUAGUGCAUCAGGUAUGAAUUCAUGACAGAUGUCACAGAACCUUCACACUUACAUGCCACAGUUCUCACCUUCCUGGCACUCUGUCCUUAAAGGGACAGUUUAAACACUAAAAUCACUUCAUCUUAAUGAUGUGAUUAUAUUGCAUACAUGAUCCCCCUGCACCUUGCUGCUAUAAACUGCAUUUUUCAGUUUACAUGUCUACUAGUGAGAUUUUAAGUUUUUUUUAUGAGACACAGUAAUCUAACAUGAUAAAGGGACACAUGUAACAUAUAUAUAUUUAUAUAGAUAUAGACACAAUACACAAUCCAGCACACUCACUCAUUCACUAAACAGCGACGUCAAGUCUCACCAAUUGUAAAAGUUUUAUUUAAAAACAUCUCAACUAGGCAAAAAACAAUGGAGGUUAAAUUACAGUAUAGCCUAAUGCCUGCUCUUAUAAGAUUAUAUAUAACGUUUGUUUUAUAUAUGUAUUGUUGAUUUUAUGUGAUCACUGUAUUUUCACUAUAAGAAUUCUUGUUAAUCUGAAAUCGAGUUUGAAUCUAUCAGGCACAAAGAUACCUCUUAAAUAUCUGAAAUCUUGAACAGAUACUUUACAAAGUGUUCCAUAUCCUGUUAUCACAAGUAGAUAAAGCAAUAGAACCAGCUGCUGCAGUUUAGUUUGAUCUCCCCUUUACCACAUUUUAAGAAGUCAUCAGCACCUCUGCAGGGAAGUAGAAUUUAACUUCCCCUUGCAGUUUCCUGAGAGACACUGUACAGACACCUCUGGAAUCUAGACUCCAUGUUUUCUUCGCUCUUCACGCAGCAGCAGUGUAGGUCACAUAUCCCCACCAUGUACAGGCCUGUCACCACAUCUUACUGACUGUUGAAAUGACAGUUCCCUCGGACAGCCCACUCAAGAGAGUGGAGCCAGUGGUACUCAGCCCCUGUCUUAACACACACUUAGAUGUCAUUGAGUCCAUUAAGUCUCAGAGACGCUGAGGGUCAUUUGGUGAAGGGAAGUCUGCAGCACUGAAUGGGGAUCUGGGGAAAACCUCUUACACAGCUCUUGUCUCAGAUGCCUUUAUCUCUGGACUGAAACCAAGUCAUGUUUGGCAAUACAACAUCAGCUUUGUUCUGUCAGGGACAAGGUGGCCGACUGGCUUGUGUUUUUAACUCACCAGCUGCUGAUUUUCAAACCUGACAUAAAAAACAAAUUAAGUCCUCAAGUGUGCAGAAGUCUCAUGAAAGGUCUAAAAUUUACAUUGUACCCACUUUCUCCUUCAAGAAGUAGUAGGUGGUUAUUUGGGGUAAAUUUUUUUGCAAUUGCCAACAUCAAAAAGGUUUUUAAGUCAUGCCAAACACCAGGCAAAAUGCUAGCACUGCAUGUGUGGUGUGGAAUAUAUCAAACAGUUAUUUGCUUUGCUCGAGCUAGUUACAUAAUGAAAUUCCAUAUUAGAUUGUUUAGAGUUGUUACUUGUGACAGGUAGAGGCGCCAGGGAACAAUGACCUAGACUAGAAGUGGUAAAACGAAAUCCUCUCCAAAAUCUAUAUGAUUCUGUGGAAUCCAUUUAUCAAGAGAAGAGAUUUACGUGACACUUUGAUGAACGAGCUUUAUAGAAUAACACUUGAUCACGAAAGUGCCUUGUGCCAGAGCUUUUCUUUGUUUUAAUAUGUAAUCAUGCUUUGAUAAAUCUCAUUACAAAUUUUAGGUUCACCCAAAGUGCUGUUUGCUGGAACUGAUACAAAUACUAACAUGAAAUAACUUUAGAAGAAAAUACACGUAUAUUCAGCUUUUAAAGAAUUAUAAAACACUUUCCCCUACUCUUUCAAAAUCACAGAGUCCCUUUUCAUGGCAAACUUCUAAAGACCUGCCUUUCUCCUGGCGUGGUCUACCUAAUAUUUUUCUUAAACGCGAAGAGAUGUGAAACAAAUUGAAUACUUCCUUAACACCAUGUGUUGGUUUUACUUGGAUGAAACCUUCAAUUAUUACAAAUAUAUUAUUUUCCCCAGCAGACACUCAGUGACAGCAAAAUUACAGGUUAGCUUUCUUCACACUGAAUCGUAUCAGAGACAGAAGCAACUGAAAACCAAUAUAGCCUUUCCUUUUCUCAAAAGGCUGUUUAUACAUUAACCCCCACUGGUGUGGAGCGAUGGAGGUGUUGGUGUGCAAAGAAAAGAAACAAUCAAUUUAGUUUAAUGUUAAUUAGCUGAAUUACUUUACCUAAAUAUAAAUAAACAGGGAACAGAUAGCACAUUAUAUUUGCAAGAAUAAGCGGAUAAUUAUUCUCAUACUACCAGUCUUUAAAACACUAGGGAAAUAUUCACUAAACUGACAAUUGUGAAAACGUGACAAGGAUAAUUUUAGGCUAAAAUCCUUUUUUUUUUUUUUUUUUUUAUGUUUGGCUAGAUUUGGCCCAAAAUGUGUAAGUUCUGUCUCAAUUCUUCACAGUUGGUGAAUGAACUCCAUUCUGAUUUAACAUAAUUAUGUGUUUUAAUUAAUUACAAUUUGUGGGACCCGUCUGACAAUUUAGGCAGAAAGUCCAGAGAAUUUAAUUUGCAAGCCCUAUAUUUAAUCCUGUAUGUUUCCAAAAUAAAACCUAUAUGUACUGUUGUACUUGUGAGACUUUUCUGAACACAAAUAUGAUUGUUUUUUAAAACAGUAAAACAUAUCAUGACGAUAAUAUCAACGCAAAAAUAAAUAUGAACUGUAACUUUGGCCACGGUUGGCUACUAAAAAAGGUUGGAUAUACCCCAUUUUGAAUAUCCUGGAUUGUCUACUUUUGCAAAUGAUAUGUCAUGAUGGGGUAGAUCUCAUUCCAGGGCUACCAUACGUUUUAUCAAAAGCAACACAAUCAAACGGGUAAAUUGUGUAAAAACUAAAAUGGGAAAGUGUUAUAUUUGACCCUGUAACUUUCCAAAACACCAUAAAUUCAUGACAUGGAGGCUACUGUUGUACUUGUGGGACAUCGCUUAACACAAAUAUAAGUAUUUUAGAGCAGUAAAAUGUAUACUGCUGAUUAUAUCAUUGGUGAAAGUGCAUUUGUUUUGUAAAAAAAAUGCAAAAGACAAAUAUGAAUGCUAACUUUGACCAAGGUUUGUGACUAAGUGGCUACUAAAAAGACUGGACACACUCCAUUUUGAAUACCCUGGGUUGUCUACUUUUGCAAAUGGUAUGCCAUGAUGGGAUUCAUUUUUAUUUCUGGGCUGACAAAGGCAACAUAGGCCUAGCAAACCAAUCUCAAUGUGUAUAAACUGAAAAGGUGAAAGCCCUAUAUUUGAACUUGUACCUUUCUAAAAUCCCAUAAAGCCUGUACAUGGAGGGUACUGUUGUACUCGUGAGACUUUUCUGAAUACAAAUAUGUGUAUUUUUUGUAGUAAAACGUAGCAGUAUUAUGACAUUUACAGUUAAACUACCAUGCAGAACUAAGAAAAUAAAAAAAGUAUUUUUUUAGAUUUUAUUCAUAUUAAAUUAUGUUUACUAUCUAAAUAUUUGAUGUGAAAUUAAAGCCUUUGUCUCCUAAACAAAAUAAUAUAUAAUAAAAGUGGGUGCACAUAAUAUGAAAGAGGUAAAUUAUAGUUGAACAAACAUAUAGCGUAAAUUCCAGGUUUUAUUUUGAUCGGAACUUGUACAAUUGCCUCCAUACUUAAGGAGUUAAUCAGAAGUUCAAUAUGCUGUAGACAGUAGGCAUUAUUUCAGAGAUUUAAAAAAAAAAAAAAAUUUUUAAAUCAAUUUACAAGUAGCCCUUCAUGGAUUAUUUUCAUGAAGUAGAAUGGAAGCACCUUUAGAGGGACAGUCCGGUAACUAUAACCACUUAAUUUCAUUGAAGUGGUUAUAGUACCUGGAGUCCCCUGGCAUCAUCCCUUUGCUCAGUGUAAAACAGGUUUCAAAGAGUUUCUGUGAGUCAGCUAUGCUUUUAAUUCAGCUACUCUGACAUUAAAUUUGAAAUUCACUUUGAAUUCACCUUCAGUUUUCUCUUUAGUACAUAACACUGUCUGAGAUUUCUCCACCAAUCUAUUAUUUUCGAUGAAACGGCUGCGCGUAUCCCUUAAACUAAUUUUCCUGGAAAACGCAGCUUACCUGCUGUGAGUGCUUUCAUUCAAGAAGUAAAACCGAAUGAUGCCACUCUGUAUUUUAAAAGCAGUGGUCUGGGUUUAUAUUCAUUUGCAGUCAGUAGAAUAGUCACAACUAUUUGAAUAAAUUAUAAUUUUCGCCAUUUUUGUGGAAAUGCAUAACACUAUUUAAGUUUUUGCUAACAAAACGUACUACUAGCAGCUGCCAGUGAGAACCUGCGAUUUCUAUAGUUAAAUUGAUUAUCUCCUGGUGAGUACAGAUGAUUAAAAUGCCCAGUCUACUUACAAAAUGCCCAGAUUUGUAAAAUAUCGACCCACGGUUACAUUUAAAGUGAUAUGCAGUGGUAAAAAUAAGUAUCAAUAAUAUAUGUAAUAUUCAUGUGGAAUAAAAUUUAGUUUUUAGAAGUAUAUCUAUGACAGGAUAGUAAAUAUGUAGACAAUGUGGUCUUCUCACUAAACUCCAGCUUAUAGCAAAUUAAAAUCAGAAUGGUAAAAUUUAGGCAAACAAAUAAUUUGUACAAAUUUCUGCCAUUCAGUUAUAAUCAAAAUGUGUCUAUUUUUGCUUAAACUUUGCCUUUCGGAUUUCCCAUCUCUAUGAUUUUGAGAUUAGUGAAUAAAGCUGUUUGAGAGAAUUGUAUUUUUAGAAUUGAUUUAAAAAACUCACUCACCUUCAAAUCACUGCAAAUUUUAUCAUUUUUAAAAACAAUCCGAUAUGUUUUAUACUGCAAAUACAUUACAUAUGAGAAAAAAAAGAGGUGUUGCAUAUGCAUCAUAAACACCCACCUGUCCCACUUUCUGAUGAAUCUUUGGUCUGUAUUGAAAGAGUACUGGGAGUGACAGACCACUAUAACCACCUCUCAGUGUUUGGCGCCUGGCUCUCUUCUUUGAUACCUGUUUAACACAGGAAGCCAAUGACAUUGCUGCAGAACUAACUCCCUGAUGUAAAGGUUAAUUUUCCUUUCACAAUUGGAUAGCAUGAGCAACUCCUAUUUAAUGCCUCCUGGUACAGGAAACAGAAGUUGAACCCUCAAAUGCAUAUGUUGUUUGCAGUACAAGAGCUAUAUAUGGUUAAUGCAGUGCAUUAUAUCAUUAACAAAAAAAACAAAGAAAACCCCUGUGUUUGUUUAACUCAGAGUAAUGUAUGCAUAGUCUGAACAUGUGUAAAAAUAGUACAUGCACUUUUAUUUUAAAAAGUAAACUAAUAAACAGUUUACAAUUUAGAUGGGUGCUAAUAAAACUUAAUAGGCAAAUAUGCCUUUGUUCCUUAUGCAAAAACCAAAGAGAUCAUCCUUUUUGUGCAGCUGUAACAAUUUAAAAAGUCUAGAAUCUGAGUUAACGUGUUUAACUUUUAACAGUUUUAAGUAUCCCUUGGCAUUUGUAUGUUGGGUGGUAUGCAAUGCACUGUUAACCCCUUCACUAAUUUCUUUUCUUUUAUCCAGAUUAAUGCAAUAUACAGUUGGCAUAAAAAAAAACCUUACAUAAAUAUAUACAUAUAAAUGUAAGAAGAAAUAGUAAUUUUGUUUAUUUUUUAUUUGUUGCUUUUUUACAGAAAUGUUAGAGCAAUAAAAGUAAUAUCUUGCAAUACUGAAGACUGAGUUUAUAAUUUUAGUGCAGAAACCCAAAUAUCAGUUUCGUUAAAGGGACACUAUAGGCAACCAGACCACUUCAGCUCAUUGAAGUGUCUGGGUGCAGUGUAACUGUCCCACUUAGUCCUGCAAUGUGAAUCGUUGCAGUUUUAGAAAAAUUGCAAUAAUUAUAUUGCAGGAUUAAGACUGCCUCUAGUGGCUGUUAAUCAGACAGUCACUUCAGGCACUUCCUGCUUGCUAAGCGACAUUUGGUCAUCUAACUGAUGCUGGACAUCCUUACGCUCUGCAUUAUGAAGCAUUGCAGCAUGCUUUCCUAGGAGGCGGAGCGCCAACCCAGCACAGAGGUAGAAUUGGGUGAGUACACAAAGGUUUUUUUUUUAACCAUUUUCAUGUUGUCAGGGGUGGGGGUGCAAGGUACAGGGCAAAGGGAACUCUAGUGUAAGGAAUACAACUUUGUAAUUCAUUCCACUAUAAAAUCCCUUUAAUUACAAUAGUUGUGAGAAAGAUGUAAAAAUAAUCAUUGUCAAAUACUUUGCUUAUUGCUAUUCAUAAGAAACUUGCUGGCAUUUUUGGGAAUGCAGAUGCCCACAAAUAUCACCAGACUAUAAAAUGAAUGUCUGUAUGCUGGGAAAACACGUGUAUACAAUGAGUAGACUUGCAUUUCUAACAAAAUAAAAGAAAUGUAUACUGCAGAGGAUAAUGAAGGAUGCAUAGAAGAACUGCAAUGUGCCCAACAAUCGCCACAUUGUUUCUAGUGGAGGGCGAAAGCAAUAUUUACAGAAAUUAAUUUUACCUCCAAAUGUACACUAACAUGGAGUGUUAAGACACGAGGACAUUAUUCAUUAGAUUUUUUUGCAAAUAAUAUAUUAAAUUUAAACUUGCAUGUACAUGUUGGUCGGGAAGUUGAUAAUAUUCAUAAUUUUACCAUUUCACUCUCCUUAUGCUUAUACACAUUUCACACACUUAUUUUCUGUUAAAUAUGUUGGCAAGACAAAUUCUAUUUCCAUUGGUAUACUCAAGAUUCAUCAUUGUAACAAAAAAUGAAUAUAUUACAUCCAUGUUUUAAUAUCAAAACAGAAUGCACGUGUUAUGGUUGAUUAUAUAUUUCCUACCUGUUCUAUGUAAAAUUUUGUAUAUAUUGUGUAUUAAUAUUGUUUUUGUAUUUUAUUGUACCCUAUUGUAUCAAUGCAAUGUUUUGUGGACCCAGGACAUACUUGAAAACGAAAGAAAUCUCAAUGUAUCUUUCCUGGUAAAAUAUUUUAUAAAUAAAUAAUUGUAACCAGAAAUUAAUAUAUUACAUCCAUGUUUUACUAGAACCUUGCCCUAUUAUACCAGAUCCGUUAUUGUUGCCUAAAUCUUGCCCUUUGGUUUGCAGCUUACAGUUGGUAUUUUAGUAAAUAGACUCCGUAGUGUUGACGGAGAGAUGGGAUAUUGUCAUUCUAAGGUAAAAUAAUGUAGGAAGGCAUUUAAGGUUUUGGCUAGCAAUAGUAUUCAGACACAUAUGCUUUGAAGAAAAUUUGGUUCGGUGAUUUGAUUUGGCCAAAAUUAAAAAAAAAAUUGUAAGACAGAAUUUUGUUGAUGCUGCAUUUCAAACGAAUCAGGAAAAAUGAUUUGGAUGAGCUAAAUGGAUUAAAAAAUUAGCCUUUCAUUAUACCACAAAAAUAUAUACAUUUUCAUGCCCGAUUACUGAAGAAAAUUCCAGUGGUAAUGGAAUUUUACUAUUAAAAUUAGGUCCACAUUCAGUCAAUAUUCAAAUUUUAAACAAUUGGUUACUUUUAAACAUUUGGUUGCAUAUUUUAAGCUUUCAGCUUGGCUCAAUACUUUCUUUCUUUGUUUUUUCCUUCCUUCUUUCUUUCUUUCUUUCCUUUCUUCAUCUUGCCAAUACUCGACAACAAUAGUUUUGUGUUUUAAAUCAUAGUGUACUGGGUCUCUUAUAUUUCAUAUGGAAUUAAAUAGAUGUCAAGUAGUUGUCCCCUAACUGCUGAACUAUAGAGGAUGGGGUAAAUCGUACCUUUAAUGAGAGAAUUAUGUUACGCAAUGACAUUUUUAUAUUGUAAGUGAUAUUUUUUUUUAUUUAAAAGAACACUUGACUGCCCAAAUAAAUAAAUAAAUAAAUACAUAAAUAAAUCUCUAUUUAGUAGAUACACUCCAACUGAAAAUAAAAUGCAGUGCAUGUAUUUUUUCAUUGGGGGUAUAUCUAAAAUCAGAUCUCUUGUCGGCUGCCUUUUCAAGUCCUCCCCUUUUCCUCAGCCCAGACUUCCUGUGGCUGUCCAAUGGCAGACUUCUCAAUGCAGCUCAAUGAGAAGUCCUUUGCUAGCAGGUAUUCUGGGCAAUUGCUGCCUCUUGAGUUUAGCUCAGCUGAGCUAAACAACCAGGAAGUAACAGAACCAGUGGUCUAAUUGACAGCUGGGCAGUGUAACAAGGUACAUUCACAAAAGGGCCAAUUUCUAAUGAAAUCAGCACUUUUUGUAUAUUGAAAAAUGAGGGCCCUCUCUUCACACAUAAAUCAUUUCAGUAAGCUAAAGUGCUUUAGAAGUGUGUUUCUUUAAACUGUAUAAAGAUUGUUCCUAUGUAUGAGGGGCGGGAUCUUUUUUAGUGGCUCAAAAUAUUUAUUGCUUUGAGUUUUUUAAUUUUAUACUUCAUUUUGCUUUAUUCAAUUCAUCAUGUGGAAUUGCAGUCUGACUUGCUGCUGUUUUAGCUUGUACUAUAUUUCUGUAUCAAUGUAUCUUCAAGUAUUGCAUUAAAAUAUAUCCACUGUCAUAUCAUCAUUUCUACCUAAUUAAGUGUAAUCUUGCAUUGUUGAUUUUCCCUUUUGUAUCCAAUAUUAUAUAAUCUUGAAUUGCACUGUUGUAUCUGAUUCCUUUAUUGCAUUGUUUAACCCAUUGUGAUGCUGUCUUGCAUUGCAUUCCCUUUUAAAUAUCUUAUAUCACAUUGUUGUAUUUACUGUCAUACUAUUCUGUCCUGUGUGGUUAUAUUGAGUGUUACACAAUACGGUAUUGCUCUGCUAUCGGCCAUUACAGAGUACAUUUUGUAUGCCAUUUACGUAAGUGCUGCUAUUAUGUCAUGUAUGGCAUUAUUGUAUGUACUGUGUUAGAAUCUUUUUCUUCCCAUUGUUAUACUGUCUCAUAUUGCAUUUUUGUAGCUCCUGUUAUCCUAUAUAAUAUUGUAAUGUUGUAUCUGCUACUAUAUUAACUUGUGUUGAGUCUGUGUACUGGCUGUUACACUGGUUUGUAGUUUAUUGCCGUUCCUGUUAUAUUAUCUUGUAUUGCAUGGCUGUAUACAUUGAUAUAUGAUCUGAUAUUGUUGUAUCUAUUAUGUUUUAUUUUUGUAUAUGCUUCUAUGUCAGCUGGUAUUGUAUUUGCAUAUCCGCCAUUUUGUAUUGUAUUUCCUCUGUUAAACUAUUAUACAUUGUUUGGCAGCUGACAAUUAUAAACUAGUUUUACUUCUUUCUAGGAUAUAUUUUCACAUUAUCAUACCUUGCUAAUCUUAGCUAUCUCUGCACAUGUCAUAACAGAGAUACGGUUUAGAAGUACAGUACUUUACAUAGCUCAGUGAAAAACAUUACAGCCUCACACUUUACUAAGCUGCAUAGAGAAAAUUAAAACUGUACCUUCCUUAAAUUCUCAACGGCAGGCUUAUGUAGAGUGAUCUUUACUAGUCCAUCCAUUGCCGUGGAGACGCCACUUUAAUUGGCUUUUGAGAAGUGACCUUUAAUGAUUUGGUUAUUGAAAACACCACUGAUAACCAUCAUUUAGAGAGCUGAAGAACAACAAGACUAAUAUGAUUGCUCAACAGUAUUAGAAAAUCUGAUUCUAGAAUAGAGAAAUAUGUUUGUCUAAAACAGUUGUAUAAAGUGAGCAACGUGCACCGUACCUGCAGUUAGAUAGCAUUACCCAUCACCAUUGAUAAAGGAAUUAUUAGAACUGAGGCCCAGCGCGACUGUGGGGCCACACGUUUCAUUAGCACACCAUGUUCACCUGGGGAAGGAGAUGUACAUUAAAUUUUCAGGUUUGAAAGGUGCUGUUUCUUUUAAUCUUUCUUAGACUAAAGAUUGAACAAAACAAACAUAGUCACACUAGUAUUCACUAAAUGGUUGAUUGCCAGGAAUUCAGAGUCCAUUUAAAGUGAAUUUCAAAUAACCAGUUUGUUGUCAGUUUAGCUAUUUUGGCCUAAAAGUUUAAACUGACUCUAUUUUCCCUUUGAAUUCCGGAGAAUUCACAUUUUAGUGUAUAAGCCCGACAGUGACUUGGGGUUUUACAACAGAAGCGCAAGUCACAAGUUAGUUGUGGCCUAAUAACAAACUUGUCUUUCAACCUGCUGCACUCCAAACAUCUGUUCAUUUAUACAAUGGCAUGCUCCAUCUUUAAUUUAUAUGAUGAAAGGACUUUUUAAUCUUUUUAACCCUUGAAUGCAUUGAUUUUAUGUAUAAAAGGGGUUUGUUUAUUAUUCUGCAAAUCGAAUUAUGGGGCACAAUAGAAGUUUUAAAUAAGGGUUAAUCAAACAAGACAUUAGGAGCAGGAAACAUGAUGAGGUGGAAUAAUAGAUAAGGAAUGAAUAACAUAUAUUGUGGUCUUUUAAAACUGUGGACACCUUUGAUCCUAUACUUAUAGCAUUGCUUUGCUGUAACCUAACUACAACAGUGUUGUUUUUGAAAUGAUCAAAUAAACUGUAAGGGGCUUAACAAAGAGUCUAUCCAUUGUACGGGGAUUUCCUCUCCACCGUUAUAGUAAAAGUAAGUUCCUAGCCAUUUCUAAAAUAAAAUUGUCACGUCAAACACCAGUUGAAAUGGUUUUAAUGGGUUAAUCUCAGUGUUGCACCUUUCGCAGGCUCAGCGCAGCAAGAUACAGUGCAGAUCGCAAAAGACUAUAUUCGUCUAGAGCUGUACACAGUUUACUAAUACAAGAUACGUUCAACUAUUUUCGUUCACCAAAAAAUUUAAAAACCUGACGGCAACUCUCUGUCUGCUCUGUCAGUUGCUAAGGGGUUAAAUUUCUUCUGCAAAGCUAAGCAAGCAGAGCUGUUUUAUUUUUUUCCUCUAGUCAAUUUGCAAUAUGAUUGAGUUUGAACAGCAUUAUGGACGGAAGGACAUUAAUAGAAUUCUCAGCAGAACAGGCCAAGGUUCCUGGGAGACAGUAGUACUUGAAAUAAAAAUGACUAAUAAAAUCAUUGAGCUAUAGGCUGGCAUUCUAGCGUCUAAGGGCAUUGUUCUUUUGUCCAGGGCAAAAUGCUAAAAACAUGUGCGUCUUUUAUAACAAAGUUCCAGGAGAAUCUUAUAUCCCAAGCUCUGUGAUAGCUAAUUUUGACUCUAGUUGCCUGUAAACUACAGUUACCAUGAUGCCCAGCCAGACUUCUGUCUGGAUUACAGUUUUAGUAAUGCAGUUCAGAUAUUUCCUGUGAUGUGAAAGUCAGCCAUCAAUGCCCUAUUCUGCAGAUAAUAGUUUUCAAAAAAAUUGGUAAUAUACUAAAAAUAAAAUGUACUAAAAAAAACAAAAAAAACUUUAAAAAAAAGACAACAUUUAUUUUACAUGAUUGAUAAACUCAGAUUAUUAUUUCUGCCUAUUGACACGAUGAAACAACAACAAACAUUUUGACGGUAUUUCAUAUAUAAAGGUAGUAUUUAAACGGAUUUAUAUUUAUAAAAUCAUUAAAUUAAAGGGAAUAAAUUACACACUUCCUAUAUAUGUUUAGUUGGGAUGAAAGUUCCCAUAAAUGUACAUGUAGAUUCUGAAAAACCUCCUGAAUGUGAAUGAAAAUUAUUAACCCUUUCACGUUUGACAAAAUGCACGACUCUCAGGUUGUAAUAUAAUUCAACCUUUUUAAAUUAUUAUUUCUGGGGAAUAAAAAUCAUGCACGUGAGAUUGUAUGAUCAUGCACACCAGGCUAAAACCUUGAUUUUUUAAUCUAUGAGAUUUGGAUUACAUAUAAAAUUAAUCUUAUAUCAAUGCGUUCAGUGGUUCACUAACAGUAAGAAGGAAGAUUAUCUGACAGUUCUAAAUCCAUCUAAAUAGAAAAUAUAUCUUUCAAGCAGUUCCUUUCUCAAUUCUGAAUUUGUUACAAACCUCUUAUCUUGGUUUAAAAAUAUUUUAACGCAUUUGUUUUUCCUCGAAUUAAAAAAAAAAGUUGUUGUUUUUUGUGCUUUUUGGAGGCAAAUAACUUUUGAGUUAUCUUAUAUUUUCAAAGUAAUUACUACAACUAUGUUUAAAAUUUUCUUUACUUAAUAUUUUAUAACCUAUUUGUUUUGUAAAAUUUGUAUAUUACAUCUAUUUUGCCUUUCUGACUAUUAAACAUUACACGUCUAUUUUGUACAAAUAUUUAAAAAGAAAUAAAUAAAAAUAUAGACUAUAUAUACUUGAUAUUUAAAGAUUUGGGGUACAGUAAUAUUCAUCAGUUGCUUUUUUAUGCAUUAGUAUUUUAUAGCUUUUACUGUUUUGAGGGUGAUGGCAUUAACACUACAGGAAUGUAUUUCAGAUCGGGGCUAAAUUACACCUAUCACAGUUUUUAGGAUCAAAUUAUUUUACAGAUUAUGAAAGAUUCUGGCAUAAACAGAGUUGCCCUUCAUCAGGUAUUAGAGAGAUUGUAUUAAAUAUUGUCUUUGUAACCUUAAUUCAUGAAACAAAGCUAAAGAAAUGACACACAGCUAAUUUUAAUUUCAUUUCUAAAUCGACUGCACUCUAAAUAUGGUUAAUCAUACAUUUAGUUGUAUAGUAGAACAUAAGUGGAAGAAAUAAAUUGUAAUGCAAUGCAAACAAGAACAGCCGUCUAUGAAUAAAAGCUUUUAAAUAUAUAUGUAUCUUUUUGUUUCUUUUUCAGUCAUAUCUUUCGGAACAUUGAAUUAUUCCGGCAGAUGUUAUUACAAAGUACAGCAUCAUUUAUACUGCCAAUGCAAUAAUUAGAUUUUUAUUGGUUUCAGUAAUUUUAGAAAAUUGCUUCACUUUGGAUAAUGUGCUUUCAUACAGAAGGCUCUCCAUUGAUCUCACCAAUGACAAUUAUUAGACUUCUGCAAAAUGAAAUGCUUUUUUUUUCCACGUCAAGAAAAAUAAAAAUAAAUAAAUAUAAUAAUUUUGGUAAUUGGAAAUAGUAAAUGCAGUUUAAAAAAAAAUAAUUGCAUCUGGCAAGCUGUUGCCAAAGAUUAAUUAUCUAAAGUCUUUUCUUUAACUCUGAAUACAUUAUUAAUAUUUAUCUGAUUGAAAUCCAAAAAUGUUUAAUUAAUUUCCUAGAUAAUAAGACUGUCUAUAGCUCUUUUCCAAAAAGAUAUUGUGUUUUACAUUAUAACAUUUUUGUUAGAUGUCUCUAUCUAUCUCUCUAUCUCUAUCUAUCUAUCUAUCUAUCUAUCUAUCUAUCUAUCCAUCCAUCCAUCUAUCUCUCUCUCUCUCUAUCUAUCCUUCUGUCUGUCUAUAAAAUCAUUUUAGUAUUAAUUGUGUACUAUUAUUGAAUUAAAUCCAUUUAGUUUUCAGAUGUUUACUCUCAUGCUGUUAUACUAGAUUACACACAUAUCAUCAUAUAUCAGUAAAAUACAAACAACAGUAAAUAAAAUAUAGAUUUAUAUAUUUUUAUUAGGCCAAUAUUUUUUUGCUAUAUGAGUAAAAUUAAAUUAUCUACCUGUUUCAAAGCAAGGAAAACAUCACUAUAGCUGAAAGCCAGCCACAAUAUUUUUAUUUUCAUCAUGUGGAACAAGAAGCUUAAUAAACAUCUGCAUCUUGUAAGUUAAAGGUGGUGAGUUUGUAUAUUCCGACAAGUUAUCAUAAUUUAAAAAAAAAAAAAGGAAAGAAAACUCCAGCUGAUAGAAAAACAUUUUUGUUGAUGAUGUGUGGAUAGAUGGUCUGAGAAAAACUCAUCAGAUAUAAUUUGCAGCAUGGCCGUGCUUUUGACAAAUGAGUAAUUAUUAGGAUGAAGAUGUUUUAGCUCUCAUUUGAAGGGUAUAUUUGACUGUGGGUUCUAGUAACAAGGCGAUGGGGAGGGGGGAGGAGGGAUGAGUGCAAUUUUCCUACAUUUGCUACUAAAAUUGGGGAACCAAUUAGAUGUACUUGUCAGUAGUUCCAUGCAAAGAAAGAGUUCAGAGUAAAUAAAUACAGUAACAAUGGCAUGAAAUAACAGGGUUAUAGGUCAGCAGAGGGAGGGGGGGGGAGAUAGAAUGUUCAGAAACUCAAGUGAGAUGUAAGUCUAAUAUGGAAAAAAGCCUGCACUCAGAUGGGAUAAGUGUGGAUACAGAAAGCUGUGUGUUUCGCUAGAUCUUGCAUCCAAGCUUUUAAUUAUGAUUUCUUAGGUAAAUGAAAUCCUCAGAGGACAUCCAUUUAGAAACCCCUCAGUAGGGCAGGAGGAGGGGAGCAAGAGGCUUUGUUCAGCUGUUGUGUAGAUCAGAGGUUUAAGUGAAUUUGUUUUUCUUUGAGAAAGUUGUCCAAUUAGUCGUACUGCCAUGUGAAGUGUAUUGACAGGCAAUAGAUCUAAUGAGGAAAGGGAGAGAAACACACAUGCGGGUUAAAGAAGCUUUCCCUGUUCAAACUCUUCUCUUUUCUCUAACAGGUGAAAGGAUUUCAGUGAUCCAGGAUACAAUGUCUCCAGCGCGAUUUGGGUAUAUGAAUGAUGAGACAAUACCUGCAUGUUUUAUGACUAUUCACGGCCAAGGUACGCCAUGUAGUGUAGACACAUACAGAAACGAAGCAGCCUCCCAAUAGACUGAUACAGUAACAUAAAUGGAAGAAACUUAGGAGAGACAUUAGGCUCCAGGAAAGGAUAACAAUUAAACAGAUCUGAUCUUUUACAGCAGAUAGAAACAUGGAAGAAUGGGUGGGACGAACAUGUUUUUCUGAUCUCAAAGCCAUGGCGUACAAUAAAACAAAGUGAAGGAGGGAUUUGUGCUACAAAGGAUCCAAGCAUAUAUGCUUCAUUACAGUUCACGUUUUAUUACAGAUUUUUAGAUCUGCAAAUGAUAAUGAAGAGCUUACGGUAACAGGAUGUUACAAGGUAAAAUGCAAUCUGAGCCCCAUUCACAGCAACCACAAAAAUUGAGAGCGAGUGAGAGAAAGAAAUGAAAGAACCAAAUAGUUUUUGUUUUACCAAAAUGCUGCAGAAAAAAAAAUACCUUCCCAUUAGGGUGCAGAGUGUGUGACUUACCUGUACAAGGGAUGGGAAGAACGCUGACAUGCCAGAGUUGUAUGGUUGGUCACAAUCUCUGAUGUAAGAAAAAGAGGUACCUGGUUCCUAGUCUGUAGCCAAAACAUUUCAUUAGAUUAAGAGACUCCAAACAUACCAAAUCGUAAACAAUACGAAAUACAAAACAAAUACAUUUUAACAUCUGUAGUCACUGGGGAAUAAACAUUUUUAUUAAUAUCCAAUUAUAGAGGGUACUAUAUGACAUUGGAUAAUAAUAUCAGAUAGUUGUCCAUUCCCCAUUCUACGCCAAUGCUCCAUUUUCACAGCAUGGUUGAGAUGAUACAUAGGUUUAAUUCUGAUCCCAACCAUCGUAAGAACAGCAAUGGGAACAAGACGGGUUAUGCCUCUUCUAUAUGUACAAACAUAUACAGCGAUCAAGCUUCCUUAAAGGACUGAGUUGUCCUUUAGAACCUUUGCCAUUACAGGAAGUGGUAAUGUAUGAUGGGGAAUGAUGCACAGACCUGGGCAGUAAAAGAUGUUAUCAUGUUAAAAAGAUACUACCCCUUUAAUCCAAUUAAAUCUGUAUUUGUUUCAGAACGGGAGUGUUAGUAUUGUUAUGCAAUAUAUCUGUUAAAUUAAUAUAAAUACGUAAAAAAAUAAAACAAUGUUUAAACAGUUUGUAUCAUUAUUAUUAAUCAGCAGUGGUUAUUCUAUUACAAUUAAAUAUCUCGGACUUAAGGCUUGACAGCAGAACCAAGCAGAUGCAUGCUACGUGGGCUACGUGGAAAUACAGAUAAAAAAGGCAUUUUUCCAUAUCCCAGAAAUCAGAAAAAGAAACCCCCCGAUUCCCACUCAACAUGGGACAAAAGACAAAAAAACAAAGACCGGACAGACCCAAUUGCAUCUGGCAAGCUGUUGCCAGAGAUUCAUUAUCUAAAGUCUUUUCUUUAACUCUGAAUACAUUAUUAAUAAUUAUCUGAUUGAAAUCCACAAAAGUUUAAUUGAUUUCCUAGAUAAUAAGACUGUCUAUAGUUAUUUUCCAAAAAGACAUUGCGUUUUACAUUAUAAAAAUUUUUGUUAGAUGUCUAUCUGUCUGUCAUUCUGUCUGUCUGUCUAUAAAAUCAUUUUAUUAUUAAUUGUGUACUAUUAUUGAAUUAAAUCUAUUUAGUUUUCAGAUGUUUACUUUCAUGCUAUAAUACUAGAUUACACACAUAUCAUUAUAUAUCAGUAAAAUACAAACAACAUGGUCACUCUGACUCCUCAGACAACUUCUUCCCAGCAGAGGCUGUGGGCAACCAACCUCCCGCAAAACCUCAACCAGCACCGGGUUCAAGGGACAUGGAAACUGUGACGGCUACAAUGCUAAAAAACAUGCUGGGGGACUUACAAAAGAUCUUACAGGCAGAUGUAGCCCAGCUACGCGCUGACCUCAUGGACCUGGUAGGCUUCAUCGUUGUGGUGGAGGCGUCCUCUUCACAACACACACAAGAACUCGCUAACAGGAGGUGACAGCACUCCAACUACAGCAAGCCAAGAGCAAGCAACGUUUCGCGGCAAUGGAGGACGCCAGACGUCAAAAUAACCUGAAACUCCGCGAGUUCGUGGAAGACUUACCCACAGAAGAAAUCCUGCACUUCCUAAGAAGACUCUUUGGAGCCCUACUGGCACCCACGCAAGCUAAAAAUGUCAUUGUAGAGGCUGCCUUCUGGGUCCGGAAUGGGCCCCCCGAGACCUAAUAGUAUGAUUCAGAAGUGCGGCAGACAAAACAGCGAUUAUCAAGGCCUUGAAGGGGGCAGCCACCUACAGCUUUGAACAUAUGGACUUGUCAUUUUUUGCAGCUCUAUCGGGUGCUCCCUGCGGCCCCUAACCACACUGUUAAGAAGUCACCACAUUCACUAACGCUGGCACUCACUGAGAACACUUCAAAUCACACAUAAUAACGUGGUCCACUCCAUCAGAAACCUCCACAAAGCCGCCUCUCUGCUGCGUCAACUGGGCCUGCCGACAGAAGCAGUACCGACAUCCACAAUCCCGGAGCAGCCAACAGCGAAUCCAUGUUGGGACCCAGCGAAGAUAGUCCCCUUCAGCCCACAAGACACAGGGAAAACAGCGUACACAGCAGCUACCACCUGAAAGAUGGAUCUCAGCAAUAACUCCUUCUCUCACAAAGGACAAUACACAACCUGCGGUUCGAGGGUGAAGACACUCUCUAUCUGUUGGUGACCUCUUUCUCAGUCGCCCACUGGACUCUAUCAUGCUCUUACCAUCUCUCGGAAUACACAGGACCCCAAAGUGAACCUGCAGCACCUCAAUGCACAAGGCCCUAAGCCACACAUCCAAAGACUCUCUUACCAAGUUCAUGCCUGCAUUUCGAAGCAGCAUAGUUCUCCACACGAAGAAGACAAGACUCUUUAUGUUUAUCCAUUUAUUGAUUUUUAUAUGUUUUUCUAUCCAACUGAUUGAGUUUGAGCAUAUAUGUAUACACAUGCCAUAUAACACCCUACAUGACUGACCAAGCCCCGCUGACACAAGCGGGUAUCCACCUUUCCCCCCCACCUCCAUUACGACAAUAGAGCAUAACCACUAGACAUACAGAAAUGCUAGAGGUUCUCCUUAACUCAAAGUUGACAAUACCGUUUGGACCACACCAGGCUACUCAUGCAGCCACGUUAUGGGCAUACGGAUCACAACUGCAGCCCACCACACAGAGGACGUACACAGCAGGGGCCCAAGCGGUGACCUCCCAACAAAGAGCUGUCUCCUCAUUUGAGCAUACGGGCUCCACAUAACACACGAAUACCACACGUUAGCCCACCUCAGACCAGAUACUAACCCAAGAACCUGACACAGACCAAGCCCCAAAACAUAAAACCCCUUCUCGCACGCAAAACACACUCAAAGCGAAUUGCAGUGAAUCUUCUAUGUAAUGUAUGUACUUAAAUGUUUAUUCACCUUAUUUUAGGACAAUGUCGGCCCUCUCCUGCUUUUGUGUGCGGCACAAAAUAAAGAAUUAAAAAAAAAAAUAUCUCAGCACACAUAAGUUAUAUGAUUAAUUAUCAAAUGAUUUACAAUAAGCUUGUGGGUCCAUAUAGUUGACCCCUCCCUUGCUUAAGGAUGUAUGGAAUGUUGUCAUGGUUAUUCUCUUUUAAAACUUAGCUUUUAUUUUACAUUUAUAUAUAAUUCUUUAUAUUAUUAGUUAUUUCUGUACUACAUGUAUUUUUGCAGCCAUUCCACACAUCUAAAUCUCUUAUCUGUAAAAGGCAGAUCCUAAUGUUACCCCGUUUUUCUUCUCCAUCUUUAAAGCUGUUUAUAUCUACUUAAUGCAAAAGAUGAUUUGUACACCUUGUUAAAAUUAUACAUGUGAACAAUACCCAACAGAGUGAAACCUGAGCGUACGUGACUCAUGUUUAGAGAGAAAUACUCAACCAAUUAAGGUUUGGUUGACUUAGAUAGGUGUUUGUCUCAGAACAUCAACUCCACAACCAACUUAACCUGAGUUGGUAAUGUGUUCACUAAAGUAAACCCGAGUUUUUCUAAACUGGUCUCAAUGUUUCAUGGGUAAAACCUGUAAAACAUUCAUGAGUGUGACUCAAUACAGAGAAGCACUUAUUUUCUCACUUGUACGACAGCACUGGGACAAUCAUGCCCUCUCUGUAUAUAUGAUAUUAAUGAGAAUCACACUCCCUGACAACAGCCAUUAUUUGCUGCUACUGCCCUUCAGUGGGCUCCUCUCUCAUGAUUGACAUGCUAAUAGAGAGGUGCUGGUGAGAAAAACUUACUGUGUGACUACAAAUACAAAUGAUUAGCAUGUUUUUGUGUAUUCAUGCUCUUGUGUGUUUCUGUGUGUGUUUGUGUAAGUAUAGUUAUAAUUGGAUCCCAAAAUGAGUUAUCUUUAGCAGUCAAGAAUUGAACACAUUUAGAGUAUAACCAGUAUCAAUAAACUGUAUGUUUUGUGUUCUUAUAUUUAAAAAUGGUAUAAACAGGAAAAUCCACUAUUUGCAGUUACAGGCAUCACACUACCAAUUGCUAUUUACAGACCACUAACAUGUAUUUUAUUCCACUGUCUGUGUUUUUUUUUUUUUUAAACAGCUAUUGUAUUAUAAUAUAAUAACUAAAAUCAACAAAACAAUAGUUAGGAACAUUGUGUAAACGACCCCAAUGAAAUACGUCUUGAAAGGUGAAAUGAUUUAAUGUUAUUUUAUAGCACUGGUAAGAUAAUCAUAUUAAAUGCACAGUAAAGAUGCACACAAAGAUCACAAUUUUUAAUAAUUGUAAUAUCUGAUUAGACACAGUGUGUAUUGGGCUGCAGGGGAUAUCCUGUGGAUAUAUCCGAGUUGACCACACAUCUUCAAACAGUUGUGUGUCUCUGGAGGCCUCUUUUAAUUCGAUCCAUUGUUUGUGUGGUGGCCGGGAGUGCCACUCCAGGAUGCGCUGUAGUGUGGAGGCGUGGUGUUAUUUCUGUAUGUCUGGGAGAGCAAGACCCCCCCCCACCCCCCCAGUGUCGUGGCAAGCAGAGAGUUUCGUGUCUGAGUUGCGGUCGACUACAAUUCCACACAUAUUUUAUGAUUGCGGAUCUCAGAGAUGAAAAGAAUGCCGUGGGUAAGGACAUAGGCAGUGUUUGAAAAAGAUAAGGAGUCUGGGCAGGAUGUUCAUCUUUAUGACAGCUAUUAGCCCUAUCCACGAGAUAUGUUGGUAGUUCCAUGUGUGAAGAUCCUGCAGUAUCUUAGUCAGGAGCGGUAUCAAGUUGGUUUGAUAAAGGUUGUGUGGGUCCGUUGUGAGCCAGAGUCCGAGGUAUUUCAUCUUGGAUUCGCACCAGUGCAACCGGUACUGUGCACGCAGGGAAUCGUACUCUCUGCUGGGGACCAUAAGGUUUAGGACUUUGCAUUUUGACAGGUUAAGUUUGAGACCCGAGAGUCGACCAUAAGUCAUAAAUUCUUGCAUCAGACACAUGAGAUUCUGGGUUGCGUAACAAAGAACAGCAUGUCAUCCGCGUACACUGCUGUUUUAUGCCUGGUUCCGUUUGAGGUGAAGCCCCUGAUGUCUUAUUGCUUCAAAGAGGGGUUUCAGUGAGAGAGCAAAUGGCAGCAGGGACAGGGGGCAUCCUUGCCUGGUACCGUUCUGGAUUGGAAAAGCAUCAGUGAGUGCUCAGUUUACCCAGACUCGUGCGUUCGGCCGACUGUAUAUGGCGGCAAUCCACUCGAGAAGCUUAGGGCCAAAUCCCGUCCCCCCAGGGCGUCUCCAUUAGGAAUGUCCAGUCCACCCGAUCAAAGGCUUUCUCUCUCGUUUUUCUUGCGAGGUGUUGUAUGGAGAGCACUCAGAGCGUGUUGUCGCGGGGACAUAGAUGCAUGCUAGCAGAUAUGUAUGUUUGCGAUGGUGCCUUUUAUGAAGAUAAAUUUGCCCUCUGGGUCAGCUACCUUGUCUAUUUCUGUAAAGUCUAACCUCAUGGCUAGAAAAAUGGCUACUCCUGACUUUUUUGAGGUAGGGUGGUUGCUGAAAAAGUACAUUCUGUCUUUUAGAGCAGGGGCCAAGCCCUCAAGAAAGUGUGUCUCCUGGAGGAACGCAAUUGAGAUUAAUUUUUGUCAUAGUCCCCUGAGGAGGUGCGUCCUGUAUUCCGGUUGGGUAUCUGAUGUGUGUGCGGUAAGAGUCUCCCAAGACUAGGCAGGCCCCCAGAAAGUACCCAGCCCGAGAUGCGCGGAGGGGAUCACCUUGCGAUCUAUCGGUGCGUUAACAAACUGGGACAGGAAAAGGGAAAGGGACUAAAACAAAGGGGCGAGUAAUCACCCCUGAUAGUAACAAAAGCUUUGGGUUAGCGAGGGGAUCCAUGUAACUGCAGAAGAAACGAGCACAGCACCAUGCCCGGGUCUCCCCUAGCCGGCGAAGCGCUCGCUCUCCACAGUAACAAUUGUUCACACAGAUAGGAUCGGGAAGUGUGACCGAGCGGACGGUAAUACGUUGGAUGUAUUAAUUAGUCUCAGAACAGUGAAGUAAACUGUAGUUCAAACAAAGAUAUAGCAUCAAGUUGGGUCCCCACCACCUUGUGUGGCGAGGAAUGUGUAUGAAAAAAAAAGACUUCACGUUGUCAUACCUAUUUUAUAGAUCACAAUGUAUGUUUUUUUUUAUAAAUAAUAUUAUAAAUAAUAUAUGUUUGAUAUACACACCCAUGGUAUACUGUGGUAUGAUAUGUGAAAUACUUUAGUAAAAUAGUUUACAAAUUUCUAAUUUAUUCUCAUUUUUUACAUAUUGACAAUCAUUUGUGGCGUUCUAUUGAAUUUAAAAUAGUUUUCUUAUAAAGCAUCUUCAAAUAGAAAUUUAUAAUCAAGAAAUUGACUUUUACAACAGUAGAACUCAUGAUUCAAAACAAAUUAAACCCAUGUCUGUGUCUUUUAUCAUAACACUCCUGUAAAAACUUUACGAUAAAGAAACACUAUUCACCCAGAGAAAAGGUUAAGAUUGCAGGUGAAGAGAUAAGAUAGGAAAACAAAAUAUGAGUUUAUGUCUACAGAUUACAAUGCUUCUUAAAAGUUUGCUUUUCUAACUAAACAGAUUAUUUUAUAAUUGGCCACAUACAUAUUUAAUCUAAUAGUAGAAUAUCACAGAAAGUUCAGACAGUUGGAAGAAUUUGUAGAUUUUCUUUUACAAUUCAUGAAAAUAAAAACACAAUGGGAAUGUUUCCAGUUUGAAUUCCUACAUUUUCACAAUCUGAAAUGCAUUUUUUGUAUUAAUUACAGAAGGAAUCUGAAUUUUGUUUAACCACUUAAAGACCAGUGGUUAGGAAAAUGCCUUCAUAAAAUUACAAGCAUGAAGUAGCAUAAGAGUUUUAUGAAUGGUAAAAAACACAGUUUCUCUUUUUUUUGCAAUUUCUUCCUGAUUUUUUUAUUAUAUAGGAUCAAUAUGGCAAUAAUGCAAUACAUCUUUAAAUAUUAUCGCUCAGCUAGUAUCAGUGCUUCAGCAUACCACAUAUGUAAUAUAUUAAUUUAGCACUAUUAAAACAAUUAUAAUUAUGAUCUAAUAUUAGUUUGUUUUCAGACACCACCGAUCACCAGAAGUUAAAAAUAUAAUCUGAUUCCUUUUUGUCAAAUUUUCUAGUUGAAUUCUAACAAAUUCCAAAUUUGUUGGCAAACAAAUGCCACUACUGUCACAGUGUUUGCAUAUUUAGUUCAUUUAUUAUAACUAAGUUUAUGUACAUUCAAGAAAAAAUUUUAUAUUCAAGAAAAAUAACAAUUCUACUUAUAGAUAUGUAGAAAUUCUUCUAUUAUUCAGAUUCGGAGUAAUAGACAAUGUGCCUAAUUGUUCUAUGAAUUCAUUAUAAUGAAUUCUAGGCAAUAUUCAGGAUCAAGAGAAAAUUAUUAAAAUCCCUCAAGGCCCUAGGCAUAUUACCAUUUUAUCCUCCCACCCACCCACAAUUUUUUACAUAGAGAUGUUGAAUGGGGAAAAACAAAUUCAUGGUUCCAUGGUUCUUGUCUAAUAUCUGGGCCCUAGAUGUGCACGUAAGGUCAAUCCUGCUCUGGAGUUUAGUUUGAUGCCACUUAAGGUAUCAAACUAAAUUCUUGAAAAUGAAACCUAAUCUCAUCGGAGCUGUUAACCAGAGAAAAAGCAGGAUAUUUAAAUUUAACGAUUCACAUUAAUAUUUUUCAUAAGAUAAAGUACAUUAUUUUUUAUAUAUUUCAUUAUAAUGAUGAUAUUUUUAUAAGAAAAAAAUUUAAAGGUGUAGUAUUGCAGGAUUUGUACAUGUACUGAUCCAUCACAACCCUCAUCUCAAACUUACACAUUACAACAUCAAAAAACACCAUGACCUUUGGUGUGGUUAGAGGUUAUCUCAUUCAACAAGGGCUAGAUGCAAGGUUUAAGCCAACAAUGUUUAAACUCGCUUCUCACUCAGAUUAAAGAGUCUGAGCGCAAACAUACAUAUCAAAUGAUUCUUAUACUCACCUACUACACCUUGGGUCCCAAGUCACCUUUCUCCUCAAUAUAAAGGCACAAAAUAAAAUCUGUUUUAUAAAUUUUAAAUAAUAUAAAAUCUGUUUUAUAAAUUGGCAAUAAGAGUGGGAAGAUUUUGGCUAGACUUAUUAAAAAAAGCAUGGUCUUUCUUCUGCGUGCCCAAACUUAAAAAGAUGGAUGACUCCCAAACUCACCUGCCAGAUGAGAUGCUCUUGUCAGUGCCCUGUCAGUCUCACUGUUCGAUAUUAUAAAUAUAAUAUAAAUCUGCACCCUCAUGAUAUAAAUGCAACCAUCACAAAAAAACUGUUAAGCACCCUGAGUUUUGACCUAGCUACAUGUUAAUAUUAAUGCUUAAUGCUGAUCCUAAGCUUCUGGCAAAUGUGUUGACAGAUCACCUUAAACAGCACAGGCCUAAUUAAUUUGACUGGAUCAGGUGGAUCCACUAGCCCUGGAGGGGUCCACUAGGGUGCUCAACCUUAUCCACAGAGAGGCUACAUCAGGUUCACCCAAAUAGCUUCUUUCCACAGACAAGGAAAAUAAUCUCGAUAGGAUCUACUGGAUUUUUCUUAUUUGAACUUUAUGCCACAUAGGCGUUUGCCCUAAUAUGCUUAAAUGGGCCAGUUCUUUAUACUCCACUCCUACUACCAGUAUUAAUUUGAGUGGAUCUCUGUCGGAACAUUUCUCAAUUUUUAAUGGUAUGAGGCAGGGGUGUCCCCAUUCCCUUUGCUAUUUGCUUUGACAUUUAGAACAUUUUCCAACAUGCAUUUAUAAAGACCCAUUAAUCCAUUGUAUUGAUACCCCUAAUGGGGAGUAUAGGUCUUGGCAGGGUCUUCUGUUUAAAUCACACAAACCACAAUCUCACUUCCUUAUAUAAAUUCAUGGAUUCCACCUCUACAGCUUCCUUAGCAACCUUAAAAUACACAUGUCUACAUCUGAAAUUAUUGUUCCUAAAUCUCUACAGUGGAUGCACUCAUUCCCUUUCCAGCAGGAAAACAAGCCAUGAUAUAUGGGUGUAGAUUUCUGGAAUCUACUAAGGAGGUUUUCUCCCAAAGCUUUCAUUCAUUGUUACAAUCUAUCAGGAAUGAUCUACUCUGUUGGUCACUUCCACACAUUAAAUGACUAGGUCACAUUUACAUACUAAAAAUGAACAUUCUUCCAUGCCUUACAAAUCUAAUCCAAACUCUAUCAAUAUACAUUCCUGCCUCGUAUUUUGCUGCUCUUAGGUCAGCUUUUAUCCAGCUUACCAAUGCUAAUAAGACUCCAAGACUGUGAUUUGAUAUCUUGCCUGACCUUAAAAUGAUGGAUCAUGCUGCCAAACCUAUAUAAUGACAAAAUGGCUUCUGAUCUUCUGCUUCUAGUGGAGUAGGGCAUCGUACUUCCGCAAAAAUUGUGAAUCGCAUUGAAACAAUUAGAGGUGGAGAGUCCUUCGUAGUCUUUGCCCUAGCUAUCUCCCUUGCUUGAUUGCGUUAGUUUCACUAUGCACCUGAUUAUUUCUUUCACAAUGAAAAUAUGGUCAAAGUUAUGCCACAUCCACCCACUUAGCUUCUCCCCCACUUCAAUGAUGCCUUUAAAUGAAUGCUUAUUCUAAACUACUUCGACACCCUAGUUCUCCAAAUACACAAUCUGUUUUAUCACGGCACUCCCAGGGCUCUAGAGCAAUCUACCACUGUCACCCCCAAUACAUUUUUGACCUGGUUUCACUAUCAUAGAUUACAUUUAUUUAUAAAAUAUUUUACCUGGAAAGAUAAAUUGAGAUUUCUCUCGUUUUCAAGUAUGUCCUGGGUCCACAAAUCAUUGCACUGUUACAUUAGGGUACAAUAAAAUGCAAAAACAAUAUUAAUACACAAUAUAUACAAAAUCUAACAUAGAACAGGUAGGAAAUAUAUAAUCAACCAUGACACGUGCAUUCUGUUUUGAGGUAUGUAGAGAGGGAUCUCUUAAAGGACUUUAGGCUUCGGGAAGAUUUUAAAGUGUGCGGGAGGUCGUUCCACAAUUGCGGCGCUCUGUAGGAGAAGAAGGAUCGGAGGAUUACAUAAAUACAUGAUUAGAAGUACAUUCUGGACAAUGCAGCAUGACUGCCCAAUAACACCACUUGAAACCUUGUGUCAGAACACUAAACCAAUUUCCUGUGGUAUCUUGGAGAUCUGGUGAUUGCUUAUAAAGCCCACUGCUACCGGUAUAGAGGCAAAUGGGAGGAAGAACUACAUUUUCAAUUUUCUGACAAACAUUGACAAAAUAUGAGCUUUCUAAUGCAAUACUGCUCCAUCUCUUCACAGACUGUAUGGAUGGACAAUUAUGUUUAUCUAUACGUAAAAAAAAAGAAGUUCAUUAAGUGUAUGCCACUCCAAAUCCUGGAGUUAGGCAUCAUUUACCCCACCUGGGUUAAAAUCUAAACAUAAUUUUAAUUAAUUUGAAGAAUCUCAAUUAAAGUUACAUUUUCUGAAAAAUACUAUAAUAUAAUAAACAAUUUGCCAGUGACCCUUGACCUUAACCCGCUGACUGCUAGCCAGGUCCCAUAUAACAUAAACUCCUGCAAAACUGUUUGAUCACAUAAUCCUAUUUUGUUCUCUUUCUGGGACUUCAUCCAAAUAUUGUUUUAAUGCUUUCUCUCUUUGAAAUCAUGCAUGCAGCUACCUCCGGGAGAGGAACGCUGGCAACUAACUCACCUGCAUUAUCUCCAAGACAACUUUAAUACCAACCAAAUUCCCUUUAGUUACUUUGAGAUUAAGUGACAUAGGUUGAGGUCAAAACCAGAGAGAGGGGGAAAUACAGGCAGAUCUCUCAGUAUCUGAGCAUCCAAGCUAUCUGUCUGAAUUAACAGUGAGCGUUGACUAGACACUCUGACCCCAGUGUAAACACAACAGGUAAAAAGAAUGGCCCUAGGUUUAAAUAGAAUGAUAACAUAGCAGUGGAAUCUCUAGAGCCUUUCAUCUUCAACAAAUAUUUUAAAAAGUCCUCGGAAGCUCCAAUUUAUAAUAGAGGAAAAUCCCCACAGGUGAUAUGAAUUACCUCUAGCAGAUAUAUCAAGUCACCUUUCAAGCCAACACCCAACCCUCUCUUGUGGAAAUUAUACAUGCGCGCACACACACACUGCAUAUUUCAAAAUAUAUUAUUCCUUUACUCCUUGCCAUUGUGCUGCUUAUCCUAAUUCCCUAAUAAUAAUAGUAAAUAUCUCAAUAUGGCUGGAAUACAAACUAAAGCAACUACCAUAACAGUUAUAUUAUAAUUACUAUUACUUCUGGCAUAAAAAAAUAAAAAGGAAAAUUUACUGUUCUUUUCAUAUUUUCUGAUGCUCCAGGCCAUCCCGGUAUUUUCUCAGUUCCUCCGUCUUCUGCAUCCCCAAAUUCCUAUCCCUUGCACCUCCCCCCAUCUGAAAGUGGACAGAGGAUUUAAUCAGCCGCAGGUGUGCCAUAUUGCCAUAUACAACUUUGGUACAUAUACAAAAUGUUGGCUUAUUAAUUAAUGGGAACAUUAUGUAGGUAUACGCAAGCAGAAUUGCUAGAAAAUAGAUAGAUUUUUAUAAAGCAAUUAUUUUAAGAUAUGAUCCACCUCAUCACCUCAGACAUUUGCAAUAUAAAGUGCAAGUGUAUAUAAACGUUUGUUACACCCAUGGACUCUGCAUAACAGUGGUAGUGGCACUGAAAGGGAGGUAAGUAGUUUCCUAAUAGCGAAUUGGCAAUAAAAUAUUUAAUUUAUCUCUUUAUAUUUUAUGCUUUGUGCAAAGUUUGCAGGUUAAAGUAAAUCUGUCAUGACAGGACCCGUUUAAGCUUUGUAAAAUGCACAAAACAUAAGGCAUUUAGAUAUUUACAUUUUUGUAUGUUAACCCCUGCAUUGUCUGCUGCUUUUUAACGAAUCUAAUAAUCGUAAUGACAUUUUUGGUGCUGAAUUGAAGAAUUUUCCAAAUUGGCUAUUUGGGGCUAAAUUAAAAAAAAAUUGCUUUGUAUUUACUUUGAAUUCUGGGAAAUGCUCACUUUAUUGAGAACUUUUCUAAAUUUCUUGUCCUUUUCAAAUGGAAUGGACUAAAUGGGCUGGAUUUUUACAUAGAGAUGAAGUGUUCUGAAGAGUGUCGUAGUUGGGGAAUUCAAAAAUCUGUUUCAAUUUAUUAGUGUUUAAAAACAAGUCUGCAUACACCAAACUUGCAAAGGAGUCUAGUCCAACUUUCUACCGGGCGACUGGGGAUCAUGUGAAAAAUGCAUCGGUGCAGCAGAAUGCCCUUUUCCAUCCUUCUCUGGGUCACUCUCCCACGGACUGCCCCACAAUUUGCGGGAUUGUGCUUUACCAUCUCAGGGUAUAGGAUGACCAGACCUCUGUCUAUGGGCCUUCAUGUCUUCCAACUGCUUGGGUCUUUUCACCAUAGCCACGUUUUCAAAAUCUGCCUAUGUUUUGUCUUAGUGCAUGAGUUCUGUAUAGUCUUAUGUUGUCUUUUUUACUUAUGCAUACCAUGCUACUUUUCUUUGGCAAAAUCUAAUUUACGCUAAGAAUAUUGCUCUUGUUACAAAACAAAAAAAGAUUUUUGAAUCCUGUUACUAAUGUAUCUGACAUGUUCUUUGCUGCAUACUCUAUGUCAGGGGUAGGCAACCUUAUAGCAGCACUGUGCCGAUAUAGGAUUGUGAUGUCCCGUAGCGUGCCGAUCCUAUUUUUUUAAAUUGAGGUGUGUAUGCUGCCAUAUUCUGCUUGUGUUAUUUUUAUUGUAAUUGCUUUGUAUCGUUUUAUUUGUGCGUAUAUGAGCUAUUAUAUUGUAUAUGUUCAUUAGUAGUUUAUGAUAUCGUGUAUGAUACUUAUGAAUGUGGGCUGUGUAUGAGGGCUGCUUGUGGAAUUGUGUGUGGAUGGAUAUGUCACAUUGUGUGUUUGGUAGUGUGUGGGGGCUGUUUGGGGUAUUGCAUGUGAGAGGCUGCAUGUGUGGUUGUGUGCAUGCAUGUAUAUUGUUAGUGGUGUUGCGUUUGUGGGCUGUUCAUAUUAUUUGUAUGAUGGGAUGGUUAUUCUACAUUUCUGUGUAUAUGUAGCAGUGUGGGUGGGUUCCCUGGGUUCCAGUGGGGACCAGGCUGGCCAGGCACAGGUCAAGGACAGGAGCUGCGAUACCUGUCGAGGGCUGCUCUACUACAGUGUGGAUACCAUUCACAAGUGCUGGGAGGAAGUGAUCUGAGAUCACUUCCUCUAUGUGUUGCAAUGCAUAAAUUGAGGUUUGUCCUUCACCACCUCUUCGUAUUAGCAGAUAUCUGAAGAUUCACUGGGACUCCUGAUAGGCCAGAGUGCGUUUGGCUCUAGCAGCCUUGAGUGCCGUGCAAAGAUACCUCGAGUGCCGUGCAUGGCAGUAGUGCCGUAGGUUGCCUACCCCUGCUCUAUGUAAUACUAUGUUACGUGUCAUGAGAGCUAAUGCCUCAAUAAAAUAAAUAAUUAUUUAAAAAACAACAACAACAAAAAUUAGUCUGCAAAGUGUCACCAUUCUUCUCUUCAUAUUCCAGUAGAUUUUUUCACCUCUACAACUAUAUCCCAAAAGCUAAGAAUACCUGUAAAUCUUACUGUGUGUGCAUUCUGCCUCGGUUUCUAUGCCAAGAUAAAAGUAGUGUAAGAAAACACCAAAAAAUAGAAAAAAAUUCUCGUGCAAAAAGCGUAAAUAUAAAUAAAUUUUAAUUGCUACAUAAAAAGUAAGAAAAUUAAUAAUCACAGAAGAGUAUCAAUAAUAACGGUAAUGGUGGAAAAAACAUCCAACAUUUUCAUGAAUACCCCAAUGACACUGGCGGUUGACUUUUUUUGAUGUUUUAUUUAGAUUUCUACAGCUAGGAACUAAUGAGUCUGAUAACUUACAAAACAAUUUUAACUAUUUUCAUUUGGAUAAAAGAGUGUUAAAUACUUUAGCUGCACGUUUGCAAUAUUAUCUUCUAGCUUUAUGAGAAUAUAAUUAUUGUAUAAAUAUUGAUCUCAUAAUAAAAAUACAAGCAUGGGUGCGCUAUCCGGUUUUUAGGGAAUUAAAAUAACUUGCUCUUAACUGGGAGAACAUCAUCAGUUAAUUCUAUACUACUUCAUAAGUGACUGAAACAAUGUACAAAUAGAUCUUGAUCCAAGUAUUGGAUAUUGCAAAAUAUGAAAAGUAAAAACAGACAAAAUCUAUUCCAUUGCCUUUCAAAUAGAGGAUACCAGAACUGUCACUAAAAGUGUGCUGCCUGGGAAGAAUUAUUAUUCAAUAAAUGUUGAGGUAGGGGGCACUUACAUUAUAUCAUUAUAGCCACAUUGGCAUAACAAGAAUGAAAUAUCAAGUGAGGGGAAGUCUACAGAAACACUGACUUUAAACUCUAUCUAAUAACUUGCCCAAAAACAGAUGGCAGUUUCAUAAAACAGACAAGCACCCGAUGUGUUAAUGGUUCGAAUGAAGCAAGAUUCCAGACCCGAGACUGAAGGAUGGCACAUCAUCUACAGACAGUCCAUUGGGUUUUACUAUGCAGUAUAAAAGAAACCAUCAUUUUAGUUUGUUCAGUUGACAUUAGUGAGAAGAAACUAAGGUCUGACACGAAGGAUCAGGGUAAGUUAGGAUCUAUGCUAUAAGUCAAUGGGAAUCAACUUUUUUUAUACUGAUGGCCAAAUAGCAGAUUCCAUCAGUGGUUGGAGCUUUCGGGUUCCUUUUGGUUUCAGGUCUCUUCAGGUUUCUGCUGCCUAGUGUAAUGUCACAUCCUAGUAUUUUGCAUAAUUACAACCUGCACCGGCAUGGAUAAGUUCAGAUACAGUUCCAAAUAAUAUCACACACUGCAUACCCAACUUACAAUAGCUCCUGACUCACAUCUCUUCUAUGUUACUCCUCAACACCAAAGGGGUGGUCUGUACAUGAAAUAACUCAAAAUAUCAGUGACACACAAACCUCCUUUGAUCAUACGCUGAAUUCAAUUUGCUACUUCUUUCGUAUUCCACUGUUCUACUACUCACCACUGUCCACAGCAUGUUUUUGUAUCUCCUCGAAAAACCUUCUGUAUUGUUUCUAUGUUACACAACGGAGAACAGAGAAAGGGAAGGGAAUGGGAAAGAGGGGUGAGGAGGGGGGGGGGGAGGAGAAUAAGGAUGAAAAAGAAAAGAAACCCCGACAAACUUGAGAAGGGAAUUUAAUUCAAUGGCACAAGAAGGAGAGAUGGAUAGGAACAUUGAGAAGGAGAUUGCUGCUAAUAUUCUUCUUAUGUAGCUAAUAUAAUACUGGCAUGUACAUUGUCAAUGACAAGGAGAGGACGUGAGUAUCGGGAAAGAGAGGGCUAGUGAUAAGAAGAUAAGAAUGGAGAUGGUAAGUGACACAGAAAGGGUAAGUGACAUGUAGAGGGAAUGGCUUAAAUAGAUGGAAAGGAAGUGAGCUUGGACAUAGAUGGGGAGAGGAAGGUAACAUUUAGAAAACAAUCUCAAGUGUUUAUUAACUGAGUUCUGAAUUUUCAUCACUGAAGUAUGAAUUUAAAGUGAAACUUAAUUUCUAGGCUAAAUACCCGAAUAACUCGGUUUGGCUAUUUUGUCCUUAGAUUGGCAAAUGACAUGGAAUUCACAGUUAAUACUCAGCAAUUUGAGCAUUAGUGAGUAACUCUGAAAACCUCCAUAUGUAAUAAUUACAGAGGCAACCUACAGUGCACUGCAGUUAUUAUGGUGCAAGGAGUCGGAGUCUCCUGGUGCCAACCCACUGUUACAUUUUACAGUUUAACACUAUUAAAUGUAGGUUUUGUUUAUGCACUUAAAAAGUAUCCAAAAGUAGUUUAGUGUUACAAAAACAUUUUGUACUAUGUAUUGUUUUAUAAUGAAUAACAAAAAAAAUACUAACAAAACAAACAAACCAUAUAUAGCUUGGAAAUGAAAAGUAAAAGGUAUAAUGAAACACACUCUCAAGUCACUGUGUCCCAGUGUAGAACCUCCCUACAGGGUGUCAAACUCCCAACAAUAGAGCUCUGUUUCUUUGUGUCUGAACAGUAAAUCCCUUUGAAAAACCAUGGAGUAUAUAUGGUGGGUCUUUUAAAUCAGUGUUACCAAUACUUGUGUGAAUGUAAUCAUGGUAGGUUAGUAUUUUUAUUAUUCUCCCAUAUAUCUUUUGCUUCCAAAAGCAGAUGAAGGUUGACACAAGAAUCAAGCUCUGAAAAUACCUGUGGAGAACAGAAAUGUCCCCUCUGGCAGUUGUACAGCACAGCUAUGACCCUCAUUUUGUUUACUUGACAGUACUGCAGUAAGUGUAUAUACUACCGAUAUAUACUACCGCUGCUUUGCACUUAGCGUGGUGCAGGAGGCUAAGAUUUAUCACAUAAUUUUCCCUAGGCUAUGACCAUGAGUGAUUAAAGUCUUUCUUCUAUUUAAAUGGUAGAUUAUGCUAGUUUCAGUGUACCAGUAUUAAUGACAGGAAGCAAAGUUUUGCUUAAAUCUUUCUUUAAUAGAACUCUACAGCAGCACAAGUUAACCAAGUGAAAUAACCAAUCAGAAAACAUCAAAGCAAAUAAAUCUCCCAGCUCCUCUAGCAACUCCUCCUUCGAGCUGCAAACAACAAACAAUAUAGUAAGUCUUGCAAAGUCUUAAAAACUUGAGAGAAAAUGAUGGUUCCUCAGGAGAAACACCUGAAGUCAAAAAUUAAACUGAAAUGAGAGAAAAUUAAGAUUAAAGAUACAUUGAAGCCAGCAAAGUCUACAAUUUUAUUACAUGACAGGUGGCUUUAUAUUUGUUGUUAUAAUGCUCUGCUAGCUAAGCAAAAGAGGUAUAUGAACAAGGGUGUAAGUAAAAUCGUCUGAUUGUAUCUUCCUGAGAUUAGUCCACAGACCUCAAGAUGCCACUAAGAGAGGCUACCACCAAAAAGGGCCUGAGAUGUUGCCGCACCACUCACAGAGUGUGCACCAAAAGAGGUGUGCACACCUUCCAAAGACAGUAAGCUACAAACCCACCAAGUCAAAGUUAUGGAACAAAAACACGGCUUGUGAGGUUGAAUAUAAGAAAGAAGGAGUUGUUUGGGACCGGAAGAGUGCAGAUAAGAAGUAACUUCCACAUAAUGAGAGUGCGUGGAAAGGUUUUACAGCCUAGGAACGUCCCGAAAGAAAUUACAUGUGUAUGAAUGUCACAAACAGGCAGCGUGGUGUUGCAGGCUGUGCUAACAAUAAUCACUAACACAGAGUGGGAGCACAAAGAUGACCGCCGGGAUAUCGUCCUCUUCCAAGAUGGCUGACAUAAGCGUGAGCAGGUCCUCCUGAGACAUUAUCAAUGGGUCAAGAGGGCCUGAGCAAGUUGGGAAAGGUAGCACAAGCCUCCCGAGACUCCUAACCCAGCUAACAAAUGCGUGCUUGCUGAGGAAAGAACUAAGAAGGUAAAAGGAAAGUAGAAACAAGUAGGUCUGUAAGAAAAGCCAAAUGAAUAACAUUAAUUAAUUAAAUAAUGCAAUGGAUAAAGAAAUAAAAGGAAUCAGACAUGAAUAUGGAGAGAAUAUAAGUCAAACCAUCAUGUAGGGAACAGACUAUAACACUGUAGCCAGGGACGUUUUAGCAGCGAGGCAAACAAGGCAUUUGCCUUGGGCGGCAUUUUCCAGGGGGCAGCAAAAAAAGCAGCCCCCCAAAUGCCCAGGGCAAAUGCCUUGUUAGCCUUGUUAGCCUUGCGGCUAACUGACCGGCUGGGCGUGCAGGGUGCUGACGUCAUUUUCCGGUUCCCAGCCUCACUCUGCAGAGCGUGAGGGAGCUGAGCAGACCGCUCAGAGGAAGAGCUCCCUCGCCAGCCGCCCGCCCGCCCUGCAGCCACUGCACCCCAGGGAGAGAGGGAACCCCCCACUCCCCAGCAUUCCCUAAGGUAAGGAGGCUGGGGCAGGGGGUUAAAAUCAAUCAAUAAAUGUUAAUUUGAGUGAGUGUGUGUAUAUUUCUGUUAGUGUGUGUGUUAGUGUGUGUGAGUGAGUGUGUGUGAGUGUGUCUGUUAGUGUGUGUGUGUCUGUUAGUGAGUGUGUCUGUUAGUGUGUGUGUAAGUGUCUGUGUCUGUUAGUGUGUGUGUGUGAGUGUGUGUCUGUUAGUGUGAGUGUGUCUGUUAGUGUGUGUCUGUUAGUGAGUGUGAGUGUGUCUGUUAGUGUGUGUGUGUGUGUGUCUGUUAGUGUGUAAGUGUGUGUGUCUGUUAGUGUGUGUCUGUUAGUGAGUGUGAGUGUGUCUGUUAGUGUGUGUGUGUGUCUGAUAGUGAGUGAGUGUGUGUCUGUUAGUGAGUGUGUCUGUUAGUGUGUGUGUGUCUGUGUUAGUGAGUGUGUGUUUCUGUUAGCUAGUGUAUGCAUAUCUGUCAGUGAAUGUGUGUGUGUGUAUUUAGAAGGCGAGGUGGGGCGGGGGGAAGGGUUGGGUGGGGGUGGUGCGGCGGGGGAGGGGGCACCUGAGUUUUGUCGUGCCUAGGGCAGCACAAAACCAGGAUACACCACUGACUGUAGCUAUAAAAAUAAAGCCACAGCAACAGAAGGCUGUUGUACUUUGAGCUGUGCUGCUGAGGGGCAACAAAGAAAGAGACAGUAAUAGAGGAAUAUGGGAUAUUUAUUUACUUUGAUGUAUUCUGAUUUCUGAUUUGAUUCCUUAUUUCACUUGGUUAACUUGUGUUUCUGCAGAGUUCUAGUAAAGAGAGACCAAAGCAAAUAUAAAGACUCCUGUCAUGUAAUAAAAUUAAACUUUCACAGACAACCACUGUGGUAGCACAGUCCCUCUAUGUGUUAACAUCAGAUUCACAAAGUCCUGGGUUAUAUUUAUAGCUUGCACCUCUUUUGCACUUGCUUAUUUACAAAUGAUUAUUACAAAGUCUGCUUUUUCCACACUGUUUUACAGCAUAAAAGCUCAAUUUAUGACUCUAGAUGUUUCUAUAGGAGUUGUAAAAGGAUGUCAGGAAGAUGAGCAGAACACUGUUUAAACCCCAGGCACAAUUAAAUGCAUUGUUCUGCUUAUAGCAACACAUUUUAACCUUUUGUAUUUAUUUCUAACUAUUGCCAAUUAGAGGUACCUUUCUAUGCGUUGACUGCGGUACUCCUCUCUUCUCUAUAUCCCAUGAAAUCAGUACAUAGGGCCUAGUCAAUUCUGUAUACAAAUAAGCAUCUCACACGUAGAUUUUUGUAAAUAAUUGUUGGGAAGUGGGACAGUCGGCAUGCUUCAUACGAAGUCACAGUGACAUGCGUCUGAAAAGUACAUUCUGUUUUAUCCUUUGAUUAUAUGGAAUCUUUAUGUAACCUUUGCUUUAAGGGUUAAUAAGGUUAAACUGCAUUUCUUAAUGUUGAUGCCUUCCAAUUGUUUAGAGCAAUGUGGAAUGUUACGUUCUGAUUGGUUGUCCUGGCAGAGCUACAAAGUAAGCAACCUGUAAAUAUAAACAGUCAACGUAUAACUAACUCACUGUCUGCACAAGCUCUGAUUAUUUAUAGUGUUUAUUUUAUUAAUUGUAACUUGCAUAUUACAUGCUUUGCUUAACAAAUACAAUAAAUUACCCCUGCUAAGGCAAUCCGUAAUAGCACAACCUCUUUAUGCAGUGACUGCCAUGUAUUGUACUUAUGUAGUUUACCUUUUCUGCAAACAUUUUAUUUUUAUUAUUAUCAUUAUUAUUAUUAUUAUUAUUGGCAUUUAUAUAACAACAACAACAACUUCCUGAAGAGAUGGGUUUUAAGGCACUUUUUAAACGAUUGGAGACUAGAGAGAGUCUGAUGGUGGUAGGCAGGCUAUUCCAAAGGAAGGGAGCUGCCCGUGAGAAGUCCUGCAAGCGUGAGUUGGCCUUACGGGUUCGAGCAGCGGUCAGGAGGUGGUCACAGACAGAGCGGAGAGACCGAGAAGGGGCAUACCUAUGGAUCUGUGAAGAGAUAUAAGAGGGGCUAGAAUUGGUUAGUGCUUUAAAGAUAUAGAUUAGUACUUUGAAUUGACUCCUAUAGGAUACUGGAAGCCAAUGUAAGGACUGACAGAGGGGUGAGGUGUGAGAGAAGCGACUGGAGAGGAAAAUCAGUCUAGCAACAGCAUUCAUUACAGAUUAUAGUGGGGCAAUGCGGCUUCUGGUAAGACCAAUUAGGAGAGCUUUACAAUAAUCCAUACAAGAGAUUACUAGAGCAUGGACAAGCUCCUUAGGAGUAUCUUGGGUAAGAAAGGGGCGGAUAAGUUCAAUGUUUUUAAGGUGAAAUUGACAGGAUUUGGUAACAUACUGGAUGUGAGGCUCAAAGGUGAGGCCAAAGUCAAGUAUAACACCAAGACAGCACGCUUGCAAGGAUUGGCUAAUGUGUGUACCACUAAGUUGAAAGGAGAGCAAAAGAGGAGGAUCAGUAUUGGGAGGAUGGAAGACAAGGAGCUCAGUUUUAGAGAGAUUGAGUUUCAGAAAGCGGGAGGACAUCCAGUCAGAGAUGGAAGAAAGGCAAUUGGUGACACAUUGUAGAGCAGCAGGGGAGAGGUCAGGGGAAGAGAGAUAUAUCUGGGUGUCAUCAGCGUACAGGUGGUAGCGGAAUCCAACCAAAUGAAUGUGUUGCCAAAAGAGGCAAUAGAGAGAGAGAACAAAAGGGGACCAAGAACCGAACUUUGAGGGACUCCAACUGAGACAGGAUGAGGGGAGGAGGUGUCAUUGGAAAAGGACACUGAAUGAAUGUUGGGAGAGAUAGUAGGAGAACCAUGCGUCACAGAGACCAAGAGAUUGAAAACUUUGGAGAAGGAGGCAUGAUCAACAGUGUCAAAGGCAGCAGAGAGGUCAAGAAGAAUUAGUAUGGAGUAGUGACCUUUGGAUUUAGCCGCAAUUAGAUCAUUUGUAACUUUAAUCAGAGCCAUCUCUGUGGAAUGGAAGGGGCAGAAUUCAAAACUGAAGAUGGUCGAGGAGAAAGUUGGAAUUGAGGAAGCAAGUAAGACAGGUAAAGACAAGUAUUUCCAGAAGCUUUGAAGAAAAAGGGAGCAGGGAUAUGGCACGAUAGUUUGGCUUUCUUAGGCUUUCUUAGGACGGGUACAACAGUAGCAUGCUUAAGAGGAGCAGGGACAACACCAGAGGAAAGAGAACAGUUAAAGAUGUGCAUUAAAGAUGGCACAAGUCAAGGGGCGAGAGAUCUUAUGAGGUGAGUUGGGAUGGGAGCAAGCAGACAUGUGGGGGGAUGAGAGGAAAGGAGAAGCGCAUCAAUCUCCUGUUAAGUAGAUGGAGAAAAGGCUUGGAGGGUAGGGAUGGUACGGUCUAACUGAGGUUGAGAUAGAGAGCAGUGGGUUGACUUAGUGUGCCACAGUUGGAGGCGUGCCCUCCUUGAGGUGCGUGCUUGGAGAUGGGCUGCAGCAUCUAGGGUAGGGUUGAGGGUAUGGUGUUAUUUCUUUUUUUUAUAAUUUGACCAUUUUUAUUAGUCAGUGAACGUUCAUCACAUUGUCAUUAAGAGUGGGAGUAUGAACAUUUCUCCCAACACCAAAUUUGUACAGAAAUCACAGUAUACAAUCGCAACCUUUGAAGCAUAACAUAAUAAGUACAAUUGGUGUAACUGUUAAGUUUCACUAGACCAUUUUACUUGGGAGGUUGGGGGGGGAGAAAAAGGGGUAGGGAGGGGGGGAAUGAGGAGGCUUAAUCUCUGUUUAACAUGGCCCGUUAUCGCAGGGCCUUCCGGACUAGUUCCAGACUAGUACUUGUAGUCAUCUAAGGAUGUUGUGUUAGAGUAGGCUAGCUUUGGAUCUCUCUAAGUAGUUUUCCCACAUUGCAUGGGCUUUUUCCAUGUGGCGUUUGUUUCCCAAUUGGUUAGCCCAUGUGUUUUCAUAAUCCCAGUUAAGGGAGAUUUGUCGUAUUAGGAGUUCCUUAGUGGGGGCUGCAGGCUUUUUCCACAUACGUGCAAUGAGAGUUACUGCUGAUAUAAGUAUAUGGUACAUGGCUGACCAUGUUGCUUUGGGCGUCUUUGUUGGGGGUAUAAAUAGAAUACACAGUUCCAAGGUGAGGGUUAUCUGUGUUUUUAUAACCUCUGAGAUUGUGUUUUGCACCAUGUGCCAGAACGGUUGUAGGGUGUCACACGUCCACCAUAUGUGGGACAUGGUGCCCCUAUGGAGCCCACACCUCCAACAUUUGUCCGUGGAGCUUGGCCACAUUUUGUGGAGUCUAUCCGGCACCAUGUACCAGCGAUAUUGUAGUUUACGUUGGAGUUCUAGGUGUGUGGCGCAUGAGGUCACUCCUUUGUGUGAUGUGUAUGCCUUGCUCCAUUCUGUUUUAUCUAUGUUUUCCCCCGUUUCUUGGUGCCAUGAUUGAACGUGUGUGUCCGCCAAUAUGUCUGUUGUGUGAAGGAUUAGUCUGUAGCUAAUUGAGAUUGUCUUCUUAAGAGGUUUCUUGUGUGUGCAUAGGAGUUCAUACUCAGAGAGAUGUGUUUGGGGGUCAGUAUUGUAGGCGUUCAGUUUGGUCUGGGAUAAAUAUGAUUUGAGUUGAAGGUAUGAGAAGAUCAUCUUGGGGGGCAGGUCGUGGUCUGUUUGGAUGUCCGUGAAGGAUCUGAGUUUCCCAUCUUUGUAGAGCUGCCCUAUCUCUAUGAUACCUUUUUGCUUCCAUGGUUUUAUGUCUAACGUUGGAAUCGCAGUUGCUACUGCUUCUAGUGGUGUGGCUAGGGGCACUGGGAGAUAGUUGACCAAGUGGUGUUUGGAGGUGUCCCAUUGAUGCAGCGUGUGUUGCGAUGUGGGCAGCAGGUGCAGGGUGUUCGGUCUGUGGGCCUCUGGGGUCCAAAAUAGGGUGUGUAGUGUCAGGGGUUUCACCCAGUGGUUCUCUAUACUUAGCCAUUGUGGCGAGAGGGGGCCUGAUUUUAGUUGUGGUACGAUUGUCAGAGCCGCUGCUCUGUAGUAUGCAGAUAUGUCUGGGAGGCCUAAUCCCCCCUGUGAUGUAGGUCUUUGUAACAGUCUCAUUGCUACCCUGGGCUUUUUAUGUUGCCACGUGAAAGCCAUCAAGUGUCUUAUCAGGGAUUUAAGGUAGGUCGCUGGUAACGGGAUUUGUAGCGUUCUGUAUAGGUACUGUAACUUAGGCAAUAGGGACAUUUUUAUGGCCGCUAUCCUACCCACCCAGGACAGAUAUUUCCCCUCCCAUGAGUCCAAUGUGGCCCUGAGUGUAGUGGCUAGAGGGACAUAAUUGGUGGUAAAGAGGGAGGCCGGGUUCUUUGUCAUUUUAACGCCUAGAAAGGUCAGGUGAUCCUCUCUCCAGUCUAGGGGGAAGGACUGUUUCAGGAGUUCCAGUUUGCUAUUGGGUAUGUUGAUUCCCAUUGCCUGUGUCUUAGUGACAUUCAGCUUGUAAUACGAUAGUUGGCCAUAUGUCUUGAUGUGGUACAUUAGGUUCGGCAGGGAUAUCUGGAGUUGUGUUAGGGUUAGAAAGACAUCAUCCGCGAAGAUGCUCAGCUUAUACUCCCUCUGACCUAGUUUGACUCCCUGUAUGGAAGUUUCCGCUCUGAUUUUGGCUGCCAGGGGUUCCAGUGCCAGAACGUAGAGUAGUGGGGAUAAUGGGCAUCCUUGCCUUGAGCCGUUCGUUAUUUUAAAUUUGUCAGAGCAGAAACCCGCAUUCAUAACUCUCGCCGCCGGGUGGCUGUAUAGGGCUUCCACCAUAUUUAUGAAUUGGGUUGGAAAACCGAAUUUGACUAAGACCUCCUGGAGAAAUCUCCAGUUCAGCCUGUCAAAUGCCUUCUCCGCAUCUAGCGAUACGAGGAGGCUACCUGUUCCCGCCCUUCGGACGCUAUGUAUUAGGUUCAAGACCUUGCGGGUGUUGUCAGCUCCCUGCCUGCCGGCUACAAACCCCACCUGGUCAUCAUGGAUCAGUGUGGGUAGGAUGGAGCUCAGUCUUUUUGCAAAUAUCUUCGCAAAUAAUUUGGCGUCGGUAUUGAGUAAGGAUAUGGGCCUGAAGUUGGGGCAGUGGGUCGGGGGUUUUCCUGGCUUCGGCAGUGUGAUAAUGUGUGCUAGCAGUAGUUCCUCGGGCAGUUCUCUCUCACUAGUAGCCGAAUUGAAGAGCAGUGUCAGGUGUGGGGCUAGGAGUUGCUUAAAUUUCUUAUAGUACGAGUUAGUAAACCCGUCUGGGCCUGGGGCUUUAUUGGAGGGUAGGGAGUGUAUUGCCUCUUCCACUUCUGUGACUGUGAUGGGGCGUCGUAGUGUGUCUGCUUGAUCUAAUGUGAGAUGGGGUAGAGGAGUGUCGCUGAGGUAGGCCUUGAUGUCCUGGUCUGUGGGUUCUUGUAUUGAGUUCGCCAUUUUAAGGUUAUAUAAUUGUUCGUAAUAUUGUGCAAAUGCAUUGCUAAUGUCUGUGGGUGAAAUCAGUUUUGUGUUAUUGUGGUUGUACACGUAUGGUAUCUUGGUUAUUGUUUCUGUUUUUUUCAGUCUCGCUGCCAGAAUUUUGCUGGCUUUGUUUCCCUGAGUGUAGUGGGUGGCUUUGAGUUUGCGGAGGUUAUAGCCCACCUGUCGUAAGGAGUGUGUUUUGAUUUUUUCCGAUAUCGCUUUGAUUUCCCUAUGGGUUUCCGCUGACGGUUGUGUUUUGUUUUUGUUUGUGAGGUCUACCAAUUGCUUGUGCCACCCCGUCCAUUUGGCUCUGCUUGCUCUUAGCGUGUGUGCUGCUUGUUUGAUGAGGAGCCCUCUGAUAACUGUUUUGUGUGCCUGCCAUGUAGUGCCAAUAGAUGUGUCCUCUGGUUUGUUUGUUGUGAAAAAUUCGUUUAGUGCAACUUCUACGGAUUGUAUAAAUGAACUAUCCGACAGGAGGGAUUCGUUGAGUCGCCAUGGGCUUUUGUGUUUGUAUUCGUAAGUGUCUUUGAGGGAUAAGGUACACGGGGCAUGGUCAGACCAUGAUAUGUUACCCACGGAACACUCCACGAUCUGGUCUAGAUGUCUGCCCUCUAUGUGGAAUCUAUCAAUCCUGGUAUAUGUAUUGUGGACAUGUGAGAAGUAUGUGUAGUCUCUUUCUUGUGGAUGGAGAGUUCUCCAUACAUCAUAUAGGUUGCGUUCCUCCAGCAAUUUAAGAUACUUUGUGCAUGCCCUGUGUUGCUUGGACCUGGACAUUUGGGGUGUGUGCGUUGUCGUGUCCCAUUUCGGGUCGAGUAUGUGGUUGAAGUCUCCACACAGGAUCAGUAUGCCUUCCUGUAUUGGUCUUAGAAGGGUCAAGAUCCUGUGUAGGAAGUUUCUUUGGUUCUUAUUUGGGGCGUAGACAUUGACUAUCGUGUAUUUGGUGUUGUUGAUCGUGCCUAUUACUAUGAGGUAUCUACCCUCCGUGUCUUUGUGUAUUGAGUGUUGUUGGAAGGAUACAGUGUUGCUUAUUAGUACUGACGUUCCUCCGGAUUUCCUACCUGAUGUUGCAUGGUAUUGGUGGGGAAAUUGAGAUGGUUUCAUAUUAGGCGGUGUCUUAAAAUGGGUCUCCUGGAGGCAUAUCACAUCUGGUUGUGUCCUCCUAAUUUCUUUAAAGAGACAGUGUCUUUUGUAUGGGGUGUUGAGGCCCCUAACAUUAUGGAUUUGUAUUUUCAUACUGGGGUGAUUGGCUUGAUCUGCUGAUGGGGGUGGUUAUAGAUUUCGUGAAUAUGUUUCCGUGGGGCAGGCCUUUCUCAGAGAGGGUGUUGAAAGCGCUUGGGACGAAAGGCAUCCCAUGGGGGAUAUAGGUAUGUCUUAUGAGCCUUAGAGUGCUCCUCCGGAGUAGGGAUGAGGAAAGGUGUAGGUGGGGAGAGUGGGUGGUUGCGUACUGAAGUAGUACGGUGGGUGUGGACACUGCCACGGAGGCCCUUACUCGGGCGACGUGUCUGUACAUUGGUACUAGACUUGGGCGUGGUUUUCCUAAUGUAAGUAUAGUGGGGGUCGUACGGCCCUGUUACUUGUUUUGACCUUGUAUCAGUUAGUGCAGUAGCGUCAUUGUCUGCACAACUGUGUGGCUGGAGUUCCUUUUGUGUUCUGCAGCGCGAUUGUUAGCAUGUUAGGUAGAGGUGUAGCUUAACAUAUGCAUAAUUAAUCAAUAAUUGACAGUUAACAGUUAACCUUCAACAUUCAACAUUCAACAGUUAACACGGCCCCUAUUGGCUUCCACGUCCUUGGUGCGGUUGUUGGAAGGCCACACCUCCCUGAAUUAAGCUCUUGUCUGCGCACUGUGUGGUGGCGGUCAACGGGGCUGCACUAUGGUUCAGCUUCUCCCUUCGUGCAGUAUUCCCCCACACCGUGGCUGACAGUAUUGUUAAUCAUGUACAUGACAUACUCUUGAGGGUUAACAGCACUCAGAGAGGCCUUUGCGGGGCCCUCUUGGUGUCCCACCAGUGCCGCCCCAUCGCCAUCGAUGUACUCAUGUGCCCCCGGGGGACGUGCUGCGUCCCCCGUGGCACAGCUGACCUCCCCGAGGUGCUGUCCCAAGGUGUAUAGUGGGUCUACAACCUGGUAGAAACAUCAGCAAAUAAUGUUUAACAGUUAGCCAUAUGCAUCCCCGAGGAGAAUCCCAUGAAUGGCUUGGCCGCUAAGGGUUCACAAUUCCACAGUUACUCACCCUCCCGGUGGUACAUCGUGGCGUUGUCCCACCAAAUGACCCCACAGUGUAGCAUCACAGUGCACUAAUCCCCUCCCGCAGUGACCCACUCGGGUCCGGCUUAGCCUUGUAGUUACAGUGUUCAACAUGAGACUCCCAAGUAAAUAGUAACAUCCUGGUCCCAACUGUGCAGUGUGGUGAUGUGGCAUGUGUUCUCUUAUGUCAUGCGCGGGUGUUAGUUGUUACGUGUGCUGUGAAGCGGGAGUGUGUGUAGUGAGAGUGUACCCUUCGCCACUUGACUGGAGUGGUGAGUUGGUGUAUAUGCCAUGUCACAACUUUGGGUAUUGUCAUGUUUGCGGGGUGUAUGGGAGUGUGUAGAUGUGAGCCUGUGGUGGGUUAGUGCAAGUAACGUUACCCCGUAAGUCCAUUCCGAGGGUCGUCCAAGACCCUCCGUUGUAUCUUAUGCGUGUCUCAGAGUUGGUCCCUGAGGUGGUUUAUGGGACACCAAGGAGGCGGCAUUUGGAAGUCUUUGUCCAGGGGGACCGGGGAAGUCAAUGUCCCCUUGGGUGUUUGGCCAUAUUGAGCAAAAUAAAGUUCACAGCCAGGCAUGGCGUUCACCUUCCUGGUCACAGGAGAUCUUGUCUCUUGGUUAGGUGCGGGCUUUCUUCCAUUCCGGCUGGAGUUUGGCUGGUUGAUUCGUGAGUGCGUCCCGUUCUUUCAUAUGGAUGCCCCAGUUUCUGAGGGCUUUUCUCCCCUCUUCUGGGGUAUUGAUGGUAUGCAGAGUUCCGUUUUUAUGUACAAGUAAGCGGACCGGGUGGCCCCACCUGUAGGGCAUGUCAUGUUGUCUCAGGGCCUCUGUGACUCCUUUGAAUUCUUUCCUCUUCUGCAGGGUUAGAGCAGAGAGGUCUGUGAACAUUUGUAUAGACCGAUAUCUAUCCGGCACUUCCUUCGUCUGCCUUGAAGCUUUCAUCAGGGCCUCCUUGGCAUGAAAGUAAUGCAGGCGGGUGAGAACAUCCCUGGGUGCCUCUUCUGGUAAGAAUCUCGGCUUUGCGACUCUGUGUGCCCUAUCCAUGAGCAGGAUAUCUGUGGGUAGAUCCGGGGCUAGCAGUUUAAAAUAGUUCGUGAGGUAUUCCAGUAGGUCUGGUUGUUUAACUGACUCCGGUAUACCUCUCAGACGGAUAUUUUGCCUCCUGGAUCUGUCUUCGAGGUCCAUGAGCUUGGUUUGGCAGGAUUCUAAAGUUUGCUCCAGUUUUUGUACGUGAUCCGCCAUGUCAUUGUGGGCCUCUGCGUAUUCGCCCAUGCGGUGUUCCAUGCGGGCUGUGCGCUCUCCUAGUUCCUGUACAUCCUUCCUUAGGUCGGCUAUUGACUUGUUGAAACUGUUGAGGAGCUUGGUUGACAUCUCCUCCAGGCAUGCUUGCAGGAUUUCUUGCUUGACCGGCAGGCCUCUGGGCUCUGUGGGGUCGUGGAGUGGCAGUGUGUCGUCGCCAUCUUGCUCGGUAUCCUGAGAGGCCUGAGAUCGGGGUUGCUGAGUCCGGGCCGCGAAAAACCCAGAUUUGUCUCCUUUUUCGGUGGGCUUCUUCCCUUUGUGUUGGGCCAUCUUAUGUGCAGUUUGGGUGCAGUUUGUCGGUCAGGAUCGCUUAGUUAGUCGCUGUUUUGGGCCGUUUUUGGACGGAGCUCUACUCACACGCGUCCGUCCGCGCCAUCAGUCAGGCCACCGGUAUGGUGUUAUUUCAGAUGACCAUAUAGGGUUUCUAAUUACAGGCUAAAUGUGCAGCAUUUGAACACAAAAAGAUGUGGAAUAGUGGCGCUAUAUAAUUAGUGAAUUGUGGUUUUAGCUGCUAUAUACACUCCGUGGGUACUCCUUAUAACCCACCAUACAUAAUUAAACACCAAAAAGAACAGAGAAAACUUUGGAUCUAGGUGGAUAUUUAUAUCUCCCAGAUCUUCAGUUCCUCAUGAGUGUAGUGCUAAAUAUAUAGUGAAAUUUUCAGUGAAAGGACAGUGCUAACACACGCACUUACCCUAUAUAUUGUGCUUUAGUUUUCUUAGUGAUAUAUAUAAAAAAAUAGAAAACAUAGAAAAAAUACAAAUAAUAGUGUAGUAUGUUAAAUAAAUAUCCAAUAAAAGUCCUUUAGUUGUGAAUGAUGAAUUGAAAUAAACUCACAUUUUUUAGAGCCUUUUACAGUUAUAAGGCUCUAAACUUCCAGGUGUCUGUGUCUUUUUAGGGUAGAUCACACGACCCGUCUCUCAAGGUGAAAAAAAGAGCGUAACUUCCUCUUCUUUAGAGCCUGUGGUAACUGGCUCUAAGUAUUUUUAGCCUAGUGUCAGUUAGUAGGGGUGACACUUCCCCUUCCUGGAAUCACUUGCGCAGAGUGUAAUUCAAUGGUGGAUAAAAAAUAUAUGUUUAUUUAAGAAACUAUUAAAAAUGUAUAUAUACUUCUAGAAAAUAAUAAAAACAAGUAAAUAUAAUACAAAUGUAUUGAGUGGUCUGAUAACAGGUCCACCUGGUUAGCCAAAACGCGUUUCACCGAAAAAACGGCUUCCUCAGUCAGCUCCUGAUGGUGUCAUGGGUUGAGUCCCCUUUUAAAUGUUCGAAAUUCCCGCCUAAAAUUUCCUCUCCUCGUUUGUAUUAGUUGCGUCUGGUGUCCUCAGAAUGGCGUCACGUCAUUUCCGCCCGUCUGUACUACAGGUUCCAUCAUGCUUUGUGUUGAUUGACGUCACUUCCGGUUUUCGCGGGCAAAAUGCCGUCGCGUCACUUCCGGUUUCGGGUACUACAUGUCCCAUGGUGCAAUGGCACCUCGAUCUCAUUUAAUUGAAGUAACACCUAUUUCUUUGUAGUCCAUUUCCUCCACAACCAUACUCAGGGCAUAUCAAAAGAUAAAUAUAUCAGUAGCAUAGUAACAAAAUACAAGAAAGGAGAAAGGACAAUGAUAACAAUGUACAUAUAACAACAAAUGUCUCCAUACAACAAUCAAUAUUAUUUAGCAAUGUAUCAAAGAGGGCCUUUGUGUUAAUCUGAUAUUUAAAAUGCAUAUUUUAUAAAUAAUUAGUGACUUUUACUUAUUAUGGUUAUUUUAAAACUAUUAAAUGUAUAAAUUUAAAAAAGGCCCUCUUUGAUACAUUGCUAAAUAAUAUUGAUUGUUGUAUGGAGACAUUUGUUGUUAUAUGUACAUUGUUAUCAUUGUCCUUUCUCCUUUCUUGUAUUUUGUUACUAUGCUACUGAUAUAUUUAUCUUUUGAUAUGCCCUGAGUAUGGUUGUGGAGGAAAUGGACUACAAAGAAAUAGGUGUUACUUCAAUUAAAUGAGAUCGAGGUGCCAUUGCACCAUGGGACAUGUAGUACCCGAAACCGGAAGUGACGCGACAGCAUUUUGCCCGCGAAAACCGGAAGUGACGUCAAUCAACACAAAGCAUGAUGGAACCUGUAGUACAGACGGGCGGAAAUGACGUGACGCCAUUCUGAGGACACCAGACGCAACUAAUACAAACGAGGAGAGGAAAUUUUAGGCGGGAAUUUCGAACAUUUAAAAGGGGACUCAACCCAUGACACCAUCAGGAGCUGACUGAGGAAGCCAUUUUUUCGGUGAAACGCGUUUUGGCUAACCAGGUGGACCUGUUAUCAGACCACUCAAUACAUUUGUAUUAUAUUUACUUGUUUUUAUUAUUUUCUAGAAGUAUAUAUACAUUUUUAAUAGUUUCUUAAAUAAACAUAUAUUUUUUAUCCACCAUUGAAUUACACUCUGCGCAAGUGAUUCCAAGAAGGGGAAGUGUCACCCCUACUAACUGACACUAGGCUAAAAAUACUUAGAGCCAGUUACCACAGGCUCUAAAGAAGGUGAGCAAUUUUGUAUUUUAUUUACAUUGAUUUAUAUCGGUAUCUAAAAUACUACAUUUAGAUUGGGGAUAUCUGUGUCUUUUUUCCAUGCAACGUGGAGAGGAAAUUACGCUCUUUUUUUUCACCUUGAGAGACGGGUCGUGUGAUCUACCCUAAAAAGACACAGACACCUGGAAGUUUAGAGCCUUAUAACUGUAAAAGGCUCUAAAAAAUAAAACUAAAGCACAAUAUAUAGGGUAAGUGCGUGUGCUAGCACUGUCCUUUCACUGAAAAUUUCACUAUAUAUUUAGCGCUACACUCAUGAGGAACUGAAGAUCUGGGAGAUAUAAAUAUCCACCUAGAUCCAAAGUUUUUUCUGUUCUUUUUGGUGUUUAAAUGUGCAGCAUGUAUAAUGCAUUUUAACCUGUGAUAAUUUAGGUUAAUCAAUUUUUCUGCAAUUUAGUUGAAUUUAAAAAAAAGAAGAAUUAGGCAAAAUUACUAUCCAGUAGAAUCGGUCCAAAGGUGGGACUGAAAAUCUGAGAAUUAAGUUACUGAUCAAUUCCAAAAUUAUCUAUCUGAAGAAUGAGUUGACAGCAGGCAGGUUCAAUAAAUUAAAAUUAGUAAAUAAAAAAUAAAAUAGAUAAUCCACACAGUAUCAAUAAUGAACACAGUUAUAGUACAGGAGACUUUUACUCUCUAACAUUCUUUUAAAAUUUUAAAACUUAAAAUUUUACUUACCUGUUUUGAUGAUAUUACUCCUGUGAUUAUUUAUAAUUGCACACUCUCACUUCUGUUACUAUUCUAUUGACCUGUUGUGAAAUACAUAGGUAUAGUAAAGAUUGUAAAAUAAAAAAAAUUAUAGAGAUAACCAGUAGAAAUUUUAAAUGGAAUCCCUCCUCCUCUCUCAUACUAUCUGCGGAGGUUGAUGGAGUAAGAAAAUAAACAUUUCACAUUCAAGGCCAGUUCAAGCAUAGGCCAGGUGAAUGCCAAGUCAAUGUCCUUUAUAUAACCAUUGCACCAACCCAAGCUAAAAAUAUAUAGGGCCUGGUGGAUUCUCAAUCCUCCUCACACUAAGGCCUCGGUUUAAUAAGCUUUCCAAAUGAUUUAAUACUUCAAAGGGUCCAAUAGACUUUAAUGGUGAAUUCUGUAGAUAAAUAAUUUGGAAAGCUUAUUAAAUUACGGUCUAAGUGUGCAAAUACUGAGCUGUAAAAUGCUCUGAUGACGUCCACCUUGCUAAAGUUAAGCAUUUUGAUAUAACCAAUACUUUUUUUGUGUUUAUGUUAAUCUCAAAUAAGAAGAUGCUUUAUUCACAAUUCCUCAAGUGCUUUCUUUCUUAAUUGUUUGACAAAUGCUCCAAAUUCCUAGUUAUUAUGCCAACCUUACAGGUAUUAAUCUUAUUCUAACAGAAACACAAAUUAUCAUACCUCCCAACAUGAGCAAUAUUAAUGUGGUAGGGGAUAGCCGAACACAGGGCAUGUUGGUGACAAGUAUUGCAUUUAGCACAGCAGGAGAUGAGACUUUGCCAGCCAGAAGUGGCGGCACAUGCCCUGAGUGUUUACACUAUUUGCAAAAAACCCAAGUAAAUAGCAUCUAUUGAUGUCACGUGAGCAGUUCCAACUUUAAAUAGAUAGCAAUGUACAAGAGCAAGUGUUUCUCUUAUUUCCUUUUUAUAUCAGCAAAUGGGCUUCAUGGCUCACGACUUUCUUUAUUGUCUAAACUGCCCCCACUUCCUGAGACAGAAAAUGGAGGUCAGUGUAGUUACUAGUAGUUUUUGUAUUUCUUUAAAAAAAAUCUCAACAUCUCUCAUCUGUAAUUAUGUAACACAAAGGAAAAAAAUAGAAUGAUUUUCAUACUUUAUGUUCACAUACAAUUCAGCAAAUGCCUUGAAAGUUAAUUUAAAAGCUAGCAAGCAGAGAGAGAGAGGCAAAGGACUACUUUAUUUGUCAGGAAAAAAAUAAAUCUAAAUAUGAUUAUUAUAUACUUGUCUUUAUUUAUUAUAUUUAUUUAUUUAUUUUUUCCUCCAGAACUGUCUAAACUAUUAUUGUUAAACUAAAGUUUUGUAUACAAGAUCCAGUCCCAGGCUUUAUCUCCUGGUAAUCUUAUUUAAUGUUUACAAUAUGUCCUAGUCAGCUGACAGAAUCCCUCUCUGGAUUAACCCCUUAAGGACACAUGACAUGUGUGACAUGUCAUGAUUCCCUUUUAUUCCAGAAGUUUGGUCCUUAAGGGGUUAAACUAGUACAAAUGCACAAAUCAGCAUUUGUGUUCUAGAGUGAAACACUUUGAGAUGAAUUCAUUAGUUAAUUCUCAAAAUCCGACUCUGGAAAACAGUGUUGUAUGAAAGUUUAUAGGUUAAGGGAACUAUCAGCGGCAGCAAGGGAGAGCAUAUUGACUAACAUUAACACAUGCAACGCUGGGACAUGCUUAACACAUUAUAUCUCUUGAAUGUUAAGUGUUAAAUUAAGAGUUUCGUAGGAGAUGAAAAAAGGCAUCAAGGGAUUCAAAGGCACAGUUUGAAGAUAAGUGGAAAAAUAAGGACUAUAAAAUAAUAAUAAUCAAAUAAUAACCCAUUAUCUUCUAGGUGUAUUCAUUGUAUUAUGUUAUCCGAUCCUUAAAGCUCAGAGCCCCUUUAAAUCUUGCUUUUAAUCUAGAUUUCCCAGACAAACAGGAAAAUAACCAAUUACCUAAAAGUCGCUGCAGCUGCCUGUUUCCAGACCUUACCCUUCAAACCCCCAUUCUAACCUUAUACAUUCAAUGCCUUUUUUGUGUAGAAAGUCUGCACAUGGAUUUAUUGACAGAUAAUUGAAUAACUGACGGCACAUUUUCUUAAUGAGAGAUUGAAGUAGAGCUUUAACUAUAACAGGGAAAGUUUAAGACAAAAUCUUUCUAAGGCCAUUGUCAGAGCUCCGUAAUGUCUAAUAAUAAUAAUAAUAAUAAUAAUAAUAAUAAUAAUAUGGGGGUAUAUUUACUAAACUUCAAAUUGGUGCAAAAUGAAGUCAAUCAGGGUUAUUCAAAAAAGUAAGAAUUGUUGGGAAUUUAGAAUGAUUUCACUGUGAAUUUCAAAUUUAUGGUCAAAAUAACCAAACUGUAAAAUUCUCCAAGUCAGCUAUGCUUCCAGUUUGGCAACUUUUGCCUUAAAUGUGAAAUUCACUUUGAAUCCCCCAAAAAAGUAUCACCUUAGUGAAUAGUGUAAUUGAAAAAAGUUAAACAAAAAUGACCUGAUCUGGAAAACGUCAAAAUCUCAGCUAUAGUUUCAGCUUCGAUAUUUUAGCCAUUUGGAUUUCAAUUCGCUACAAAUCGUAGUUUAGUGAAUAAACGUAAUAGCAUUUUAUGAACUUUUAUAACAAGGUAAUGUAUAAUAGAUAUUUACACACAGACACACUUAUUUAGAUAUAGAUUAAGUAUAUUUAUAAACAGCCAUAAAAGUGGCCUUUGAUGAAGUCUCUAAGGAUUUUAAUCUUCCUUUCUAUAUGAUUACCAGAUGCUGUUUUUUGAGAAAUAUAUCAGGUCUCAGGGUUAAUGCAUAAGCCUUCUCUAGAAGGUGCAGUUUGGAUUACCCCAUGAUUAAAAAAGACUUACAAGCCUACUAAAUGUCACUCGUUUAGUUUGGGGGAAUUGGAAUACCCAACAACACACUUUACGUGCUUAAAGUAGUUUGAUUUAUUUCCAAACUUGAAUAGUCCUUUUUCUCCACACUCCCAUUUAUCGUGACCUUUCUAUGCUCUCUGUGUUUUCACAAGAUUACCCAAGAAUUAGAGAACUUGCCCUUGUUGAAAGCUUCAAAUAAACAAGAGCAGAAAAAGGGAAAUAAAAUGUUGAUAUUGUCGAGUAUUUGGGUGGCCAUUGAAAGGUUGAUUUUCAUUAUGAUGUAUCUGAUUGGAUAACAGAUCACAAUCGUCGGCUUAAUUGGGUGCCUUAGAUCUUCAUAUAUUUUAUGAUCUUUGUGUGAUAUGUGCUUGUUUAUUAAUCUUUUAAUGACUACAUUAUUUUAAUGGCGUGAUUUUUGUUUUCUAAGCACAAAAACAAACACGCAAACACACAAAUAGCUCAUUUGUUUCCAUUUUGAAGUGUUAAAAGAGAAAAUGCUAUUUGCAUUUUGCAAGAAAAAAGGAAAAGAGGGAAAACUUUUAGAAUGCAAUCUGUGUAUUGAUAUAUUUUUUUUUAGUAUAUUUUAUAUGUUUGCACAAAAUGCAGUUUAUACAACUGACUUUUUAUUUUUAUUUAUGGGGAUUAUUCAUUAAAUUGUAAAGUGUGAAUAAUCGUGAAGACUAUAUAUGAGAUUUGCAAAUUUUGGUACAAUGUAGCCAAACUGAAAACCUCAAUUGACUUAUGUAUCCAUCUAAAAAUUCUUGAAUAGAUCCAUAUGUAUUUAAUAUUAGUUAGUGGUGUAACAUAAAGCACAAGCCAUUACAGCUACAACAUAAAAAAAAAAUGCAGGUUUUAAUCUAUAAAGGAAAACACUAAUUAAUUUAGUGUAUGAAUGUGCUGCACUCUUAACGACUUCAACCCAAAAUCUAUGCACAGGUGGAAGACGUUUGCUACAUAUAUACAUGUACACAUAUAUAGGGUUGAUGUCUAAGCCUUUUCCAAUUUUAUACUUGGUGACACUGGCCAGAGGAUGUUGGCCAUAAGCUUCCCAACAUGGUUUGCCAAUGCUCUUUUUACAUUUUAGCGGUUUGGUCUAACAUUUACAAUUCCUGGGUUUAUUCAACAACAUGACGAGUAUACUACAUACAGAAUAAACAAUACAGACCAACGUAAAAUUCAUCGACGUACAAAUGCAACAUUUUUCAAGCGUCCAGAGUGAAAUGCCUAUUCUACAUUUAAUGGUUUCCACUAUUUGUGCUAAGCAUGACAUUCAUUGCCAGGCUGAAUUUGUUAAGUUAAUUUCUGCAACAUACCCCCCAGUGAAAUCCAUUAAUUCUGUAUACAUCUGUGUAUCAAGAGCAUCAAAACUGUAUGUAUGCCAAAAAUCUGUCUACAAGUGUUCUUUUCUUCUUUUCCUUUUGGAAAGGGAGAGUGAGAUCUGAGAAUAUCCAGAUUAAUAUAAAGACAUAUAAAGAAACUGCGUUAUGGGUUCUUUUGUUAAUAUAGUGUUGUUAAGCCUUUGUAAAAAAUAGUAUUUGCUAAGGUAUUUGUAGCUUCAUUUUUUUAAUGUCUCAUUUAGUCGUGGAAAUGUAUUAAAAGACCAUUGUACCAUGACGUAUGCCCACAAUACAUAGAUGGGAUGUGCAAAAUGUGAUACUUAGCAGAGCUUUCUCUAGUUCUUUGUCUUUAAUCUGACAGCUUUGUUACGUUUUGGACAUGUACUAAUCCACCACUCAAGAGCAGAGUGCAGCAAGCAUGCGCAUAGUCUUACAAUAAAUAGUGCACAACUUCCUUCGAUUGCAGUUCAAGUGGAUGACUGGUCACCCUGGCAUAAAUAAUGCCAGUACUUUACUAAAAGAGAAAUAUGACACCUGCUAUCCUGGCAAUAACAGUACCAACCACCCAACUGGAAUAUCAAGGACAUGUCUAAUUCCCCUUGCUUCAAUAUUAAAACCCAUUCAAUUUUCAUGCCAAGAGUUUAUCAAUUUAUCCACAUUAAUAGUGCUAAUAACCACCCCCUUGGGUUAAACUGUCAAUUAAUUAAAACAAAAGUAAAUUAUGGUCAUUACCAACCCCUUAAGAUAUAUGGAUAUGGUGGUGGAGUGCCUUUCAAAAAAGUAGUAUGAUUUAAAAAAGUAAAAACGAAACUAUUUAAAAUGAUCAAAUCCUGUGUUUUUAGCUAUUGCACACUAAUCAGUAAAUAUUUCAUGGAACAUUCCUACAUAAUUUUAGUGAACAGCAUUUUGGGGGAAUUAAUUUAUUUUCACAAUGAGAUUUACCUAAAAGGAUAACGAAAAAGGAACGAGAAUAUUAAGGCAGUAUAGAUCACUGUGCAUUGUUGGAUGUGACAUUAAAGGGCCACUAUAGUCACCGAAACAACUUGGGCAUAAUCAAGCAGUUUUGGUGUAUAGAUCUUGCCCCUCCAGCCUCACUACUCACUUCUCAGACGUUUAGGAGUUAAGUCAUAUUGAACAAUAGCUUCUUUACACCGAGAGGGCAGACUGAUCUUGCAGGACAGGGAAAACCUUAUAAAGCUUUCCCACACUCUGCCAUUUGACCCAAAUUGAUUGGCUUAAACAGAGAGCUUUGAGUCAAAUUGCAAGUCAUAUUUAGUAGGCAGUCUUUACUUUUUUUUUCUUUUUUCUUUUUUCUUUAUUUUAGUUGUGCAUGUGACAAGUAACACAUUGGCAGUCAGGGCAUUUCACAACAACAUAAAAAGUGACCAAUAUUGUAGCAUAAUACAUGACAAGGCAUCUGCACAAUUUUUUUGUAUUAACAGGCUUACAUCAACAUUCGAUUUAGCACGGUGAAGUCCCCAGGAGGCUAGCUUGCUGCAUAAUGCGAGAAAGAAGGGAUAGGCUGAGGGGGAAAUUUUAAGACAAACAACACUUGUAAACUGAGAUUUGUCAGAAUCUGCAAAAGGCAAUAGCGAGAGGGUUAAAUGAGGACUCAGGGCUCUUCCUACCUCAUUCCGAGAGUUCACAUCACCCUACACCAACCAUGGAGAUAUUAGAGCCCUCCAUCCCAGGCAUGCAAGGCAGGCCUCUGAGCCCCGAUGGGGGUCGGCAAACGAAGUCAGGUGCCACGGUCGGAGAGUGUGCAACAGAUCCUGUGCUGGAUCACAAUGGCCUGCUUGCUGCUUGUUCCUGUGUAUCCUGUGCUGAGCCAUGUUCGGGUUUGUAGUGUUACAACUGCUGUGGGUUUGUACUACGAGUGAGGCAUCCACUGGUGAGACGAGUAGGCAGAUGGUUGUCUGGGCAUGUUGGUGCAUUCUUUCCUCUAGCUUACGCCAGAAAUCAUUGAAGAUUUUAUCCAGCCUGGACUCUAGAUCCUGCUUGCCCUCUGUGGCACCCUGAACACAAAUGGCGACCGCCAUCUUAGGUAAGUUCCUGGAGUCUGCCGCAGCCAUUGCGGUAUCAGCCCGUACAGCCAGUGAGUCAAGAUAGCCUCCUAAGGAUGGACCGGGAAAUCCCCCUCCGGUCCAAGGGAGGAUUAACGGAACAGCAGUGGGGCCUGGGAGAUCAGCCGCUUCUCCUGUCCGGUAUGUCUCAGGCCGCAUGUCUCGAGCCUUCCAACUGAUGUGCUCCAGUCAAACUUCGAGCCCUACAACGAGUCCCAAUGGGGUAAGGAGUCAGGUAAAUCGCUUAAUUGUGUCCAUCAUAAGCUCAAUGAGGGUGAAAUGUGCAGGUUUUGUUGCCCUAGGAGAGGAGCUUCAUGAGAACAUGUCUUCCCACCAUGAUGGUCAUGCCCUGCCCCCCAUCCAUGUUGACAGUCUUUUCUUAUGACACGGUUUAGUGUACAUGACUCUACUUUGGGCACAGCGGGUAGGGGCGGGAGGGAGGAUUUAAUAUCCCUUAUUUACUAAUACGAAGUAUUUUUUUUACUUAGUAUUUGUAAAGUUGCCUGAAAGACCAAAAUGACGGAAAGGAAGGGCUUUUCCUAAUUUUGGUCUUUCAGCUUAGUAGAUAGCUCCCUAAUCCUUGUGGGAUUACCAUAAAGAUACCAAAAAAAACCUAUCUACUAAACAGUUUCGAAUUUUGUACCCUUAAUUAUGGCAAUCCCCCAAGAGUAAUAGCGACAUAGAUCAGAAUUUCAUAAAUCCGAAGGAAAUUAUGAAAUGAAAAUAAUGGCAGAAUUUUCACCCCCCAAAAAUGAACAAAUGGACGAAAUAUAUUUUUUUCCAUCUGUAUGUAUUCGGACAAAGCUACAAUUUUGGUGGCAAAGUCUAAAAUUUGUAAGCAAAUUUGUAAGCAAUUACCAGAAUGUUUUUAAAUUGAGCCCUAUAACUUACGGGAAUCCAGUGUAGGAAUUGACAGAGGGAGGAGGCGUGGGAUGUGCGGGAAGACAGGAAAAUGAGCCUCGCCGCCUCAUUUAUUAUAGACUGUAACGAGGCAAGCUUGGAAUGCGUAAAUGUAAAAGGCCACUGAGAAGCAGAUAGUAGUAGUCAAGGUAAGAGGUGUUAAAUAAGAGCGAAUACGUGCUAUGUUUCUGAGACUGAAGUGGCAGGAUUUGGAGAUUGACUGGACUACAACAUCAGUUAAUAUUGCAGAAACAUCGACAACUUAAAUAGAAAAGCUGAGCACCACAUCCACUACAGUAAAUUAUAAUGGUUAUGUUUCAAUGAAUCUGUGGUUAUUUUGUAAUUUUUGAGUGGUUUAAAUACCCUUGACUCACCUGAGGCUGGUGGGAUAUUGUGGAUGUUUCCAUUCUGCACUAUCCUUAAAGAUUAAAACACUGGAGUGACUGCACUUCAAGAGCCUUUGCGCCACAACCACUACAAUAAACUGUGGUGAAAAUGGAGCUUAAAAUGUACCUUACUUUAGAAAAUGCAGGAUAAGACCAAAAAAAUGUCUGCAAUUUAUCAACAGUAUUUAAAAAUGCCAAACUGGCUACAACUCCAUGUUUUCUUCUUUCUGUUGCAUUUUACACAAUUUGUUUCUUCACUUUAACACUCAUGUCAAAGUUGUUCCUUGUAAGUCUUGUCCGUCUUGUCCGUCUUGUCCAAGUGUGUUCUCUGGUGCCAAAUGUCUUUGCCAGAUGCUGAGUAAGUACUAGUUUUCAUACUGUUCAUCAAAGGAAAACAUUUUGGGUCUUCCAGUUGUUUUGUUUCCAACUUGACCUGUUUAUCUAAAUCUAAAUCAAUUUUGAGUUGUAAAGGAAAAAUUUUAUUACUUUAUUUUUACAAUCCAGGACUUUUAUUUUCUGCUCAUUUGUUCUAAUAUAUUGCACCGACACAUAUGUUUUAAAGCCAUAUUUGAAAAACUAGGCACUCUGGGGUGUUGAAGUAUACGGAUUAUGAGACCUUUCAUGCAUCCAUUUGAUCGUCAUUAGUUAUAUAUAUUUUUUUCCAUUCUUCUACAAAAUUAGAUCAUUGUUAGUAUAACCAAAAUUUAACUCAAACUUCCCAAAUUAAAGUAAACUUUUUUUAAAUGUUGAUGGUGCCGGUAUAGGUGAUGUUGGUGGUGCCGGUAUAGAUGAUGUUGGUGGUGGAGGUGGUGGUAGUGGUGGUUACGUUGUCUGUGGGUGAGAUAUUUGUGCCAGUGGCAGCAAGUGCAGCUAAUGCCACUACUCUCUACAGAUGUACUUAGAGAUGAUGGAAAAGAUGCAGGAGGCAAGUGCACAUUAGCUACUGGAAAAAACUAUUGGGCUGAUGUCUGUCCUUUCCAAACUCUCUUCUUCUAAUUCCUCUGGUUAAUAAUACUCAAAGUUGGGCCAGUGGUAAAAGAGUAUUAUUGUCAAUGGUGCAGAAAAUAGAAUUUUCAUCACCAGAUUAAUCACUACCAUCAACAAUGACAUGAAGGCAGUGGUGGAAGCAGUGGUGGCAGUGGUACCAGCAGUUCUCAUGGCCAAGCAUUUUCAAACUCUCAGAAGCCAUUGCACCACUCCACUCACUGAGACAGAUUUAAAGUCUGUAAUCAACCUAUAAUUUGAUAUAUCAGACCCAAGCAUUCAAACUGGUCCUUUCAUCAACUCUAUUUGUCAUAAUAAGUGAAAGGGGGUUUUUUGUUUCACACAUAGUGUUCUUAGUGCAGUUAUUGAAAGGCUGAUAUAUAAUUUGCAAGUAGCUAACAGCAUGCAGUAGCUAACAGCAUGCACCCCUCAAAUGUUUGUUUUGCAUUCAAAUAAAGCAGCAUUUAAGCCCUACGGUGUAUCAACAGAAAACAUGAUGACUACAUUUUGGGCAUAGCAGAGCCUUUGAAUUCUCUACCAAUGAUGAAUUCCUUAGGUCUGCUUUAUUGAUGGACUGGCUUGUGUACUGUUGCUGUUUAGGAAUGGUAGUAGUUAUUAGCCUUUUUGCUUUUGGGAAACAUUUUUUUUCUUUUUGUUUUGAGUCAUUGUAGGCUAUUCAUACAUAUGUAUAUAUACUUUAGUAUAAUUUUUUUUUUUUUAUUAUUCAUUCCUAUUUUUUUCAAUACACAUCUAAUCAACAGCACAAUUUACUAUUUCAGUUUGCCGAAAAUACCCUUCUUUUCUUAGUUUGUGCACACACUACAUAAUUACUAUGUGCAGAUUAUUAGAUAAUUUCUCUAAGUCAUAUUAACAAAGGAUGGAUUUAUUUUAAUUUUAUUUUACUAGGGUGUUUAUUUCUGUAGUUUGUUUGUGAUUGUGGUGUUAAUACAAACUGCUGGUCACAUAAUUUAAAAAAAAAAAUCAUCUACACAUUUUCUAUUUAUUUUUGCACCGUUCCAACUAAAAAAAAACAGCGUUGUUUUUUUUUUUUGUACAGUACGUAUCUUGAUGUCUCUAUACUUGGGAGUUCGUAGUUUCUUUGUGUUUAGGAUAUGUUUCUGUUUUGUUUGUGUUCUUUGUCAUUACGCUUAAAAAGGAUGUGUGCAUUAUUGUAUAUGCAUCUUAUCUAAUGCAUCUUAGGGCAGGGUUGAAUAAAAUCUGGCCGUUUUGAAACAGGGAUAAAAAAACACAACACAUCUCAUAACUAACAGGCUGACGAAGUGAAUAAUUCUAUUAGAGAUAAGCGUCCAAACACCAUUUAAAAGACUGAAGCAGGCAUAGUCAAGCAGGUUGAUAACAGAAGCAGUGGGUAGGUUAACUAAUCGUACUACCUGCAAUGGUAUGUCAGUCUGUAGUUAACAAUCCUUUACCCAGGAUACAAAUAUUAAAAUGUUAAACAGUGCUGGCUCACUAUUACAUUCUGCAUCCUAGAAAGAUCUAAAUGCAUUUUUAGUUAUUGAUUUAACACUCUCGGGGAUGAUUUACAAAGUAAAAAAGUAAAUUUUUUGUGAUUUAAAGCAAAUUUUACAUUUUAUGACGAAGUUAUAAAACAUGGUUGACUUGUAAAAGGUUUUGAUACCAUAGCCUAAAAUUUGAAAAUCACUUUGAAUUCUUGACAAUUCACACUUUAAUAAAAUUGUGAAAAAAUGUACAACACAUUUUAGAUUAGAAUAGUUGAGCUGAGAAAAUAGGAGAGUUUGAGGAUUUUUUUUUCAGUUCUAAAACACUGUUCUAGAAUCUGUAAAUUUUCCUCAAUUUCUGAUAAAGUGAAUAUUGACAACAAUGCUAGACUUAUUGCUAUAAAGAAUAACAGCAGUUAUAGAGAGUUUCUAAAUAAAAUAAAGAUUAAACUAUUUUAAAACACAAAGAAAUAGAUGUGUAAUGCUGGCCGUGAAAAACUAUUUUUUGUAACUCUAUUACUAUUUUAUCGCUAGAUGUAAGGUUGUUCAGUAAUUACUUAUAAUUAUUGCCUGUUUGGUUAUUUACAAUUAUUGCCUGUUCAUAUACUAUUAGAAACCAGAUGAGACGGAAAUAUAUUUAUCAAUACCACCUGUGUUAAUUAAGAGCUGUUUGGUUGUGCUACACACAGAAUUAAGCACACUCACCUUGUGUUAUGCCUAGUGUGUGAUAGUUAGGUAUCCCUUUGAUUGAGAUGAGAUAAGCAUUAGGAAAUCUUUCUAGCGGAAAAAUUAAUAAAUCCAAUCUGUCCAUCUCUGAUACACAAGGGGCUCUGCCGUCCAAAAUGAGGAUUCCACAAAUGUAAUUUCUGAAUAUUUUAGGGAGCUAGCCAUCAGUUUGGGCAGUCUCUAAAAAUUGUGAUCUAGACACUCAGUCCUGGUGCCAAACGAGCCCUGGACACAAUGCCAAUGAUUGUUAAUCAGAAAAAUUUGUGCUGGGUUCCUGACUAACAGGUUAACCUCUUAAGGACACAUGACGUGUGACAUGUUAUGAUUCCCUUUUAUUCCAGAAGUUUGGUCCUUAAGGGGUUAAAGAGAAAACACUAGGUCUGAGUGGUCACAAUGUGAAUUUUGUUAAUAAAGAAAUAAGUGGUAUUAAGCAACUCACAAUACCAAAGACAAGACAGAGAUUAAAAAAAAAAAGUUUUAAUAUUUACUAUUCUACUAAUUUGGAAGCCUCUCUAUUGCUAUUACUAUUUCUAGAAAGCUUCCUCAGCAGAAAAUAUGUCACUACAUGUAACUUUUUCUACAGCCAAGAGGAAAAGAAAGAGACUUUGAAAAUGAUAGCGCCUUAACUUGUUCAUGGUGAAUUCUCAUUCAGGACCCAUGAGAAAUUAUGUUAGGCACCUGUUCAACUCUUUUAAAAAAAAAGAUUACUUUUAUGAAAAUUAAAGCAUUGCCUACUCUGCUUUAUAAUGCAUUCAUAUAAAUGCUCAUCAUUUCUCUUUUUUUUUAUCAUCAUCAUUUCAGUACAUCAUCAUCAUUUUUUUUUUUAUCAUCAUCAUUUUUAUCAUCAUCAUGAAACAAACAUCUUACAUGUAUAUGUACACAAACACAUAUUUCUACAAAAACAUGUUACAUUAAAACUCCUUUAAAAGGAACACAGGACCUAUAUGUGCUGUACAUUACUUUAGGGCAUUGACGCACAAAACAUGAAUUAUCAUCAAAUUGGAUGGACACUACAGCCUAAAAUCAUGAUGGAAAUAGUGCAUUUUAAAAAUACAAAAAAAAUUGAAAAAUAAAUAAUCAUCAUCAUUUGCGGCAAAUCCCAAAGCAAUGCAGAAAAUAGGAAGUGGCUGAUAAUUUUUAGCCAAUCCUGGUCAUCGUCAUUUUCUAUGUGAGCAAUAUCGCUCCAUUCAUAAUGAAGAAACAUAAAUGAAGAAACUUCACAAGUUAAAAGUACCUGCAGCAUGCCUUUCAUUAAGUAGCUUUUUGCAAAUCUAUGGAAAUAUAAUAACCAGGAUAAAUAGAGACAUAAAUAGGAAGUUCUUUUCGUCAUAACGGAUGCAAAAAGGAUGAAUGGUUAUGAUGUUUGGCAUAUGCCUUUAAACCAUAGACAAGGCUUAUGUUUACAUGACUGAGGCAUGAAGAAAACUUACCAACAGCAAAAGAAAAUAUACAUCACAAAUACACAUGCCUCGCUCUAAGCGAAAGACCAAGAAAAUAUUCUGAAUAACAGAAACCAAAAUUGCUACAUAAUACUGUAACCAACACAGAACUCUAUCAAAACUAUGACAUAAAGCUCGGAGCCAAGGAUUAGGGGCCACUGUUUUCACAUUAACUGCAGGGAAAGCAAAACCAGUGUACAUAGUUUGGAAAUUAUAAAGGGAAGUAAAUCUAUCAAGGUAAAUCCAUUUGGGAAUACAAUUAGGCAGAGACUCGGGGAGAGCACAAAAGGAGCCAGAUUCUAAAGGCCCCCGCCGUUGAUUGACAAUGGCCAGGCUCGCAGAGCCAGAAACAGCAGCGGACAAGGAAAAAGAAAUGAAAGGAGUAAAUGUGAUUUGUAGGAGACUCAGAACAGGAAAACAAAUCAAUGUAAAUUCAUUUCGGCUCUCAGGGAUUCAGACAUUUUCUUCAAGUCCAUGGGAGAGCUGGGAAUUCCAGGUCCCAGAGCAACAAUCUGACCACUUGCGUCCUCUAUAUGUCCUAACUUGUACAGUAUACAGAUGCCAACAAUUAAGUACACUGUUAACCUAGAGGGGCAUUUGCAUGCACAACCAGCUUGAUUGAGGCCAGGCAUAUCAGCUGUGGACAAAUGUCUGAGACGAUUUCGGCACAGGAUUUAUAGUCUGUCUCAGAAUUUUUUGUUUUUACCCAUAGUUCCUCAAGUUCACAUAGAACAAGAAACUUUGUUCUUUAAUUUCCUUUUAAUUGAACAUUUUACAGUUUACAUGCAAACAAAACAUAGUUUAGUGACGAAGAAACACAUUUCUAAAGCAACUUUUUUUUUAAACAAAAUUAAAUACAUAUACAAUGCUUAGAAAAAAAUAAAGCAGAUUGCAUUGAAAGGAAAAUGAUAUACAAGGGGGGAUAUUUAUCAGAGAGUUAUCAAAAGUGAUCUAAAAAGUGAUUUUUUUCUGAUGGAAAAAAGUGGUGGAAAUUUCAUAAAUGUGUUGCAUCACUGAAUUAAUGGCUUAUGUUAAAAAGCUCAAAGUAACAAGAAUAUCCAACAAAAAAUAGCUAAAAAUUAGACCUAAAAAUGUUGACGAAACUUUGAUAAAUAUCACCCAAUGUGUGUAAAUACACACACGCUAUAUUGGACCAUUAAAAUUAUCUGUUUGGACUUUGUGUCAAUGUGGUAUGCUAUGUUUUAAUACAAUUAAUACAAUAAAGCGAUCUAAGAAACUGCACAUUUUUGCACCAUUGUGCUAACCAAAGUUUGCGACAAAAUUCUCAAGGGAACACACUUAUGUUGGAAAUACAUUUAUGUAUUUCUAAAGAUAGUUUGUAACUAAUUAGAUUCCAGGCACCACAUUUAAAGUUAAAAAAAUAAGAUUUCAUUAAUCCAAUGCAUCUCCAUGGGGAGCACUCAGUAUCUUCAUGUAGAUCGUAAAGACCAAGAUCAUGGAUAAUGCAAAGAUUGGAACAGGCCUCCCAAUUGCCUGCUUUCAGUAGAACAGUCCUUAUUUUAGAAUCCUGUCCAGCCAUCCUGAUUUUAUCCUCUGAUGUCCUAAAUCCUGGGACACCAGGGAACUGUCCCCAGCAGUGCAGAGCAAGAGCAUCAUUAGACAUGCUUGAAAUAUGAGGUGGGCACUAGGACCGCUGCAGCAGGACUCUCUAGAUGGUCUUCUGUGACCAGCCAAGUUGCAGUUUGACAAUCUCUUUUAGUGGGCAGACCUGUUACCUUUAUUGUCAGACCCACCCAUUAUGGGUAUUGCCAAUGACACAACAUUAUUUACUGGUGAUGCCCUCUCAGGGGCUCCGUUGGUGAUUCCAUACCUUCUAAUGGUGGGAUAUGUUGCAGGACAACAACAGGAAGCAACUCGAAUAGCUGUCUGAAUUACAGGCACUAGAAGUUUCUUUAGGAAACAAUGUAAACACUGCUAUUUCUGAGAAAAGAUUUUCUGAGAUGGCACGGAUGUUCUAUUUAAAUCAGAACCACUGCAUUAAGCUGUAGUAGUUCCGGUGCAAAGUGUGUCACUUUAAGAAAUUGCUGGAUCACUUUCCCAGUUGGUGCAUCUGUAACAUGGGCAUGUUUUCUGACAGUAAUAUAUUUUAUGUAUUGAUACAGACAUUAAACAUGAUAUUAUUAUUGGGAGUUUGAAGCUCUGGGUGUUCACUUUUUCACUGGGCACCUUAUUUUUUGGGGUAACUUUUGAUUUAACAUGUUAUUCUAAUUACUCACUUUCCCUGUUUUCCUUCCUUUUGUUUCUAUGUCUAUCUAGCAAGAUUACCAGGACGAGAAGCUUUGCUACAUUAUUAAUUCAUGCCAGUAUUUUUUCUUGCUAUCCCUUGCUUUUUGUGAUUAUCUGAGUACAAUUUUUGGCUAUAGACAGCCUAGUUCCAUUGGACAGCUUAUUAGACUAGGUGAUGAAAUUACCAUCACCUGUUGAUAUAUAUAUAUAUAUCUAUACAACCUAAUAAGCCACUAGUAUUUAGAAGGAGUACUUUGACAAUCUGCUGAAUAACUCCUGUCUGUUUUGACAUUUGACUGGAAGCUGCACUUUAGGAUUACUCAGACUCAUCUAAAUAAUAUACUCAGAUAUUAACGCUAAUACUCCUGGUUUAUAUAUUUCAUUGGAACCAUACCAAUAAAACUCUUUUUCUCUAAUCAGGAACAAUAUUGAGACCACUAUCUGAUUUUUCUUAUAUGGACAUAGAAAGUAACCCGAUAGGGUUAUGACUACACAGACCGGGUGUGUUUUAUAGCUUGCAAUACUUUAGAUACAUAUUGCUAUAUACCUUUUUUAUAAUUUUUGUUUUCUUAUUAGCUAUAUAUCCUCUAUAUAAUUUUCAACUGACUACUAGCAUUAUCUCCAGGCAGGGGAGGGAUAGUCAACUUUGGUGAACUUGCAUACCUCAUUUAUUAUUUUUGUAAAUGUUAUUAUUGUGCUACUUUUUCUACAUAAAUCUUAACCCUUUUAAACAUUACUACUUGCAGUGCAAUGCUAAACUAAAUUUAGCCUAUAAAUCCAAAUUUUUAGCCAUGAAACACAUAGCUAUAACUGGUCAAUGAUGGAGGAACUAUCAAGUUUGAAUAACUAUGAAGGUUGCGGGAUGAGUUUGAAAAAAAAUAUUUUCCAAUUGUAACAGGCAUACUCAAUAAACUGUAUGAAUUUGACAGGAAUAAAAUCUUAGAUAAAAAAAUAACUGAAUAUGAAAAAACUCUCCAACACAGUUAUUUUCUUAAGCUAUUUCGGUCUAAAAUGAUUCCCUCGAUAAUUCCUAGCAAUUCACUACUUAAUAAAUAAUCCUGUAGAUACACAAGUUAUAUAGUUUUAUUGCAUACUUAGUGAAUAUGAUGGAUUUAGGCAGUAAAGUUAGAAAUCACUAUGCUCAUUUUAAGUCGGCAAAUAAAUAACUACAUACGACUGAUCAAUAAAGAGGAGUUGCAGUCCAGAGCAGUGUACAAUGCCAGAUGUUACCCAUCACUAAGAUUAUUAUUCUGAAUAACAGCAGGUUUACCCAAAUAGGAAUAAUAAUGUACGUACCAUGAGGGUUCAUUGUGAGUGCAGAUAAAACGGAUGCUUAUUCUUUGCUUUAACAUGCACGGGAAUAAAACAUCCUAUUUUCCUCCAUGAUGGCAGAUGCAUUGUUGCGUUGCAAAAAAUGCGUCAUAGCGUAAGACAUUUAAAGGAACAAAUACAGCUGUACAUGUACCAUAAACUUUGCAGUGCUGUGACUAAUGGGAUGCCUUUAGCCCUCUUAUAUGUUUUAGUGAGAUGUGGACCUAACCAUGAAUAAUUUAAUUCAUGAUAAAAUGGAUAAAAUGAAGUUAGGAUAGGUAGGCAAAACCUGUGUUCAAAAGUAUAUAGUGUACGUACGUAUAGAUAGGCCGAUGUUUUUGAGUACACAUGUACACAUGCUUUAUUCACAUGCUAGUGAGCAUUAAAUUUAAGAGACAGGGACCCCCAAACUACUCCUUGCCAGCAUGUAAUUAUGUUUUUCAUGUAAUUGGUAAGUCUGAUAGUUGAGCAUGUAAUAGCUUUAAAUACUUUUCUAAGUAAAAAUUGCAAACGAGACAAUAUGUAUACUAUGAUUAUGAUAUGUUCUUCUAUGUAUGUGAAUGCAUAUUUUAUUUUAUGUACAUUAAAAAUACAAGAAAACAAUAAAAUAUUUAUAAUUAAAUUUUUUUUUAAAUAAAGCUACUUUCACAAAUUUAAAAUACAAUCAAGAGCUUUUGCUAAUGUGUGCAAGUAGAUUCAGUUGUACUUGUUUGUUUUUUCAUAUUUCAGUUGUAUAAGUAGUUUGCUUCUCUCAGCUGUCUUUCUAGAAUGCUGAGAGCUGUACUACAUAUUCCACAGGAUUCCAAUGCACAGGGAAUCAUGGGAAAUGGAAAAUGCACCACUGAAAAAGUUUGAGGAAUGACUGAAAGAUCUCAGUGGCUUUCAGGUGUCUGCAUGCAUCGCUGCCGAAGUUGCAGAUCAUAAUUUUGUUACAAAUAAAAAACAUUUAGAGGUGUAUAUUUUGUACAUUUUGUUGUUUUUUUAAUGUUCUUUUUUUUUGCAUGUUUAAUGUACAGCUUCCAGAACGCAUUGAAAUUGUGGGCUAACAAAUAGCUCCAGGACGGAGUGUGCCUUAAAAACUCGAGCAUAGCAGGAUAAUUGUAGCAGAGUUGAUGUUUAAUAUGCUGGAGUGAGUGCUUGACUCAGGCUGUAGCCAUUAUUUAUUUAGACAUAUUGCCAUGCUAAAUAUAAAAUAAUCUGAAAUUUUACAGCAGCUUUAACAUAUAAAUAGUGGGUCAACCAGCGUGCAAUCAAUUUCAAAAAGUGUCAUUUGUUUUUUGAAGAACACGUGCCUGCUCCCUAUAGACAUGAUGAGUUUAAAGACUGUGAAACACGAACACAGAAAACAUGUCCUUAAAUAAUAUAAUUUAAAAUUAAUUGUAUGUAUGUAAUGAUUGAAGUAAGCGGGCUCUUUUGUUGAGAGGAUAUGAGAAAAUGGAACAUUUAAGCCAUUAUUUUAUAUGAAUGUAGGACUCCUGAUAUGUAGGACUCCUGAUCGAUAUUAAUGCAUUUUAGCAAUGCUUUCAUGACUCUCUGUUUAGACACUUUCAUUGCCCCAUGUUAUGGAAUCUGUUGGCUCUAUAUAAAUGGCAAUAAUAAUAAUAAUAUUACACUUUAAAAAGUAUCCAUAUCUUUUGUGGAUCCUUCUGAAUAGGAUCUUUAAUAUACCUUUAUUAUACCUUUAAUAUACGUUUGUGAUACAACGGAAGCAAAUCAGAUCAAAUAUGCAGUUCUCAGACACUGAUUGGCUGCUAAUAUCAAAUGUGCAACUGGAAAAUGAACUAUUUGGAAAAAAUGUGAAAAAUUGGCUGAUUAUCAAGCAAUAAUGGCAGCUGAAUUUACUUUAGUUUCUUUAGGUGAAAAUAAUAUAUUUUUUGAAGAUUAAAUGAAACAUAUUUAUUUAAAUAAAGAAUAAUUUGACAUCCAUUUUAAACAUCAGUAGACAUUUUUUCUGUUCAACUGUUAACUUUCCUUUAUCUAAAUUAGUUUCAUAUACUUUACAAUAUAUGUGGCGUGAUUUUAUUUAUUUUUACAGCUAUACGCUAAACAAAAUAAAAAAGUCUAAUACACCUCCUUUGAGGAGAGUGAUAUCACUUCUGACGAAAGCUUCCCGAAGCAGUGAUGUAGAAAGAAUCUUGAAUGCAGGGAAGCACUGCGUGAAAAGAAAGUUCUGAUUACAUGGAGCAAAGCACAGGCUGUCUGAAUGGAUCAAGGAACAUUGCAAGUAACAGGCUGUGGCAAUGCAGGAAGAGCCAAUUCUGCAUUUAAUCAUAUAGAGAAUUAGCGCUGUGCAUAUAACCCAUUCCUAUGUUACUGUACGAACCACCAUGCAAUGGCUAAGGGCACACACCAAUACAGUGGGAUUUUUCACUUUGAAAUAUAUUGUUAACGCCCUGCACAAAUCGCCCCUGCAGAUACCAUAAAGCCUACAAAUUAACUAUGUAAAGAAAUAUUGAGUGCAAACCCUGAAGCUAGGUUUCGACUGAAGCAUUUCUUUUCUGAUAAUCAUUACAGUUAUUAAAAUUGAUUAAUGAUUGGUUUAUCUUUUGUUUUGUUUCAUUAAUUUUUUGCAGUCCGUAGAGAUUGCGAAUACAUAGCAAUGCUUUAUGGGAAAAAACAGCACUGUUAAGUUAGGGAUUUCUUGGGGUUCCAUAAAGCUUGAUCAAAUUACUCCAAAAUCUGUAGGACAUCUGGUUCCAAGGUAUUCGCAUUUUCAUUUGCUGUGAAAAUGAACGUAAAUUUAAAGAUGGCCUCUUGGGGGUUCGAAGAAGAAACUGCCAUGUUGUAAUCUUAACAGUAAUGCAACUUCCUGUAUGUCUGCAGUGCAGGACACUAGGUCACAAGACAUAACUAAGACCAAAACCUGAGAAAAUGUCUGCUAACUUUAACAGCGUGUCCACAGAUAAAACAAUACAGUGUUGAUAUUGCACAUUUUAAAAGUCUAAGUGUUUCACAUGUAUCUUGUUAUUGUUUCUGUUGUAAUUGGAAACUUUUCUAUAAAACCCCAGGUUUUUUUCUUUGACCUAUUAACUAGUCAAUAUCAUUAAGACUUCACAUUUUUGUGGGUUGCAUAUGUAUGCAUGGCAAUUACAUAACAUAUAAAUUCACACACAAAAAAAAUGCAAUCAACUACUAAGAAAAAAUAUGUUUUUCAUAAUAUAAACAUGAAACUAAAGGGUCUGUUCAUUAAACGCUGAAUUUGAAUUUGAUAUUUUGGGAAAUUUCAUUCAGCUCAAUUAAUCUGCAUUUGGUUAUUAAAUUCACUAUAUGAUUCAUUCUAUUCAUUAACAACUUAAUGCUAACCAAAUUUAACUGAAUGGAUACCUACUAUUUUCAAACAGAUCUAAUGGCUAUUUAUACCUCAACCAAAUUGCAAUUGGAUCCCAACUCAAUUGUAGUCAAAUAGCAAAUUAAUUUUAUGUUACAAAAAAAUAAUAAAUAGGCAGAUUACACUAAUACAAAGUUAUAAUUUGUGGGUGAUUUAGAGUUGGGACAUACUUAUAGAGUUAAGGGGCUUUGGGGUAGCAUGGCAGUUAGUGAAAAGACCCCAAAAAGAUGCCAUUAGAUAAACUAUAAACUAAGACACCAAUGUAAAUAGUUAUGAGUGAUAUUCUUAUUUUUUAAUACUUAAAGGGACAGUGUAGGCACCCAGACCACUUUAGCUAAUUGAAGUAAUCUGGUUGCUGUGACCCUUUUACACUUAGUGCUGCAAUGUAAAACAUUGCAGUUCCAGAGAUUUAAUUACAUAAAGGAAAAUAGAUUUGUACUAUAAAGCAGGAGCUAACACAUAGACUGGUAACAAUAAUGAGCAAUGACAACAUGAUUGGACUGGAAUACAUCUGCAUUAUGACAGUAAGAUAAAAUAGUAAAUAUGGAAACACUAUAUAUAUAAAUAUAUAUAGGUCAGUUCUUCUUCUUAUGUUGAUAUUUCAUUUUUUUUAAAUUCAGAUAAUGGAAGAGUUCUCUACCUUACAGAAACUCUGCCUAUAGUUGUUAUCUCUGACUGCUAUAAUAUAUACAGAUAUAUAAAAGUCAGAGAUGUCAACUCUGGGUAGAGUUUCUGUUAUUUAGUGAACUCUUCCAUUACAAUAAAUAAACUGGAUAGAAAAAAAUGAUUAUUAUUAUUAUUAUUGGUAUUUAUAUAGUGCCAACCUAUUCCGCAGCACUUUACAAUAUUCCGAAAGGGGUACAUUUAAUAUUACAGGAACAAUAGGUAGAUGUGGACCCUGCUCAAACGAGCUUACAAUCUGGAGGAAGUGCGGUAGAAAGACACAAUAGGAAGGGCUUCAAGGGAGACAGCAAGCAAACAAGGUGGAAAAGUAGCAUAACUGGAGGUGAGAGUGGAGUGUGGCUCUUUAGGAGAGAGGAAGAGACAGAUAAGUGACAUAGAAGUUACUUUGAACAGAUGGGUAUUAGGGACUUCUUAAAUGAUUAAAGACUAGGGGAGAGUCUAAUGGGGUUAGGCUGUUCCAAAGAAAACGAGUCGCCUGUGAAAAGUCCAGCAAGCUCGAGUUAGCAGUAAGAGUGCGAGCAGCCAACAGAAGAAAGUCACCGGCUGAGCGGAGAGACCGAGAUUGGGUAUAUCUACGAAUCAGUGAAGAAAUGUGAGAGGGGCUAGAGUUGUUUAGAGUUUUAUAGGUAAGGGUUAGUAUUUUUAAUUUACUCCUGUAUGGCUGUAAAAGUUGUCUUAUAUGGCUUAUAUUGGUGUGAAAGUUCUUUAAUAACAUGACAAGGUUAUUUGACACUAAGGGAGGUAAGUUGCCAUAUAUGUCUUCCAACAUUUGAGAAUUGUUAGAGUGAAAGGGAACCUGACCUGUCCCUAUUGACUUUAGCUUUUUUUUAAAAGCUUAAAAUUCCAUCUAUACAUUGUGCUAGCAGCUUUGAUGUAUAAAUUUGUAGAAAAAGAUUUAUUGAGAAUUGAGAGGCAUGGGGAGCAGAGGAAAUAUCUCACAGUAUGUCCCUCUGCUGUCCACCCAUCACAGUGCUUGUUUUGUGGUUGCUACGGUAACUUCCGAGCUGGUGCUGAUAGGGAGUGCAGGAACUGAAUGACAUGACGUCACUCCGUUCAGACGCCAGCAUGCUGGCAACGAAACCAGAGUGUCGGCGUCAUGGAUGAGGUUUGUUCUGUUUGGGGAACUUUACCCAAGCAGGGCAAAUUAGUGAAAAGUGAAGUAGUAGAGUAACAGAAGUGUAACACCCACCUCUUUGAUGAGAUUGCGGCGGGGAGUGGAGGGGUAGGUAAGCUGUGACAGUUUCCCUUUAAUUCCACCAUGAUUCACAUGUCCCCCACAUUGGUGAUUCAGUACAGGUAGUUGCAUGUUCUACCAGUAAAAAGGCAUGAGGCAUUUGGCUAGUUUAAGAAUUAGGAAAUGCCAACCUUUAUUUAACAAACCAUUUAAUUAGCUUGGAAACAUAGGUUGUUUGUUUUGCUAAUAAUAAUAUCCAUUAUUAUUUACUGGUACAUCAAAAUGGCAGGCUAUUCUUCAGCAAGUCCAGCAAACGCGCCCACAGUGCAUGUGACCCAUCAUUGAACACCCAAUCCUGGAUCGGUAAAGGUAAAUGUGUUUACAUUUGCCUCCUCUGUAUUUAAUGAAGUUUGAACAAGAGGAACUGUCAUUAAGACAAAUGCACAUGUGAGUAAUGUUUGUAAUGAAUACAAUAUAAAAAAGCUGCAGUGUGAAGUGUGAAGUCAAACUUGAUAGAGACACAAUCUAGGUUACAAAAUUGCUGAAUCGCUCUUAUGUUGACCAGGGACAUUACUAGGUUACAAAACCUACAUGUACAAUAGCACAUCCAAAGCUCUUGCCGUCCUGUCUCUCUAAACUAUAUCUGGCAUCAUACCUGUGGUGCCUCUCCUUUACCCACUUUGUAUCUAUCUGAGCAUCUCCCUUAAUCAAUAUUUUGUUACUCUCCCCCCGUCUCAUACAAAACAUUUUGUAUGUCUCUCUUUCCAUGUACCCUGAACCCUAGUAUUUAUUACUGUACAGGGGUGAGGGGUGGAGGUACCAGCAUCAUAGAGAAUUGGGCGCAUCAAUGACAGAGUGUCAUUAUUGCACCUAGCUAUCAUAACAGGAAACAUGCACGGCAGUUCUUUAUCACAACCCCACAAGCCCCGUUCCAGUGUAAAGAAGAAGAAAUGUUACCUGUGGGGAGAUUCUGCCCCCUCUCUUCUAGAAGCCUGGUGAUGUGCAAAUACUAGGAUUUCUUUUUACAUAAUACAUAGGCAAAGAAGGGACUACAAAGGCUCACAAAUCUGGGUUUUUAGCUCCUGAAGCCACACCCUAACAAUGCUAUGAUGUUACUUAUACAAAUGCACCGACUAUGUUACUGAGUCGUGAAACACUCUCCUUAUUUAUACUUCCUCUUAAAACACUUAGACUUUUCUGUUCCUCGCCAUAGAAUCAGUUUUAGCUUUUCUUACCAGACCUGCAGUCAUCAAAAAUACAGAGGUUAUAUUGAUUAAUGUUUAGCGUGCACUGAUUGAGCCGCUGUAAAUAAUAAAUUAUAACUAUCCACUAGAAAUAUCUUUAGAUCAUUCAAUAGGAAAAUGACAACUCUGUAUGGUGGGUGAUAUUUCUUAUACGAGUCAGGAGAUUUGAAGUCUCUUUAAGUGAUACACUUCAAUUUAUACAACUUCUUUUCAUGUUAGGCAGGCUUCCAAUCCUACUAUAACUAUUUUUUAAAGAAAAACAAGGCAUUUUAUACUUAUUAUAAUACCCGAUUGAAGUAAUUAAAAUAACACGCAUUGGUAUAUUUAGUAUAUUUAGUUCAAGUAUAUUAUUAUGAAUGAAAAAUAAAGAUAUAAUUGUGUGCCUGAGAUGCCACAAGGUUGAGUUCCAAAGAAUAUAGGUUGAAUGUUAUUAUUUAUAAGAAAAGUAAAACACUGAACAAGUUACCACACGUUCAAAGUAGGCAUUUCAUGUUGACAGUGCCACUUUAAAAGUCAUUUUAAUCAUUUUCUAUUGAUUCUGAUUCCUGUUUUCUGAUUAACUGGCUUUUUUUUUUUGUUUUACCAUUUCAUUCUAUGUAUCUUCCAAAAAAAAACUUUGUAUAGAAAAUGCUUGAUGGAAUCUAUCAUCAAAUUUCUCCAUACUCAUAUUUGUGUUGAAAGAAAUUACAAUAUAGAGUGUUUUAUAUAUUUUUGUUUUUAAUGACUGUGUGAUUGAGUUGCACGAAAGGUUAACAGUAGUGAAUUUAGACAAGAAAUCAAGGCAUUUAAGGGGACAUGAAUCACUGUGAAACAACUGUCUCAUUCAAAAGCUUACACUUUGAAUGAGACAGUUGUCUCAUUCUGAAGACUUAAAAAAGCAGGUAAAUAUGACAUAUUUACCUGCUUCUUCUUUCUGUUUCUUUGCACACCCAUUUCAGGGGGUCACUGAUCUACGAAAUCAGUGUCCUAUCCCUAGGAAUGCUGAAAGUGCAUUGGGCAUACCUGACAGAUUUACACAUGUGCAGUUGGAAGAUUGUCUCACCUUGCAAUGUCUCCCCUAGCUGAGAAGCUUGUCCAACAAUGCAAUCUAACUAAGUUUAUAGUAAGUUCAUAAAUGUUUCUGCAUGCUAUUCAAUGUUCUUCAUGCUUUAUUUUGUUUUGUAUAUUUAUUAGAGUGCUUGUAGGUUUAAAAAAAUAUUGUCACCAGACACAGACAUAUUUGUGUGUCAGUGAGCUUCAAUCUGACAUGCUUUGCCUCUUAUGUUUAACAUUAUUACUGUAUUUGCUUGCAUGUUCAUGUACCUGUUCUGUUACGCAUAUACUCUAAAUGAUAAAGGUAAAUAGUUAAUCACCUCUUUAUUUUUUGGAUUGUAAUUAUUUUGAUAUAUUACAGUGUCCCUGUAGAUUAUAAAUAAAUUCAAGCAAUGUCCUCAUUAACCACUUAUUAUUGGUAACAUGGGUAAUAGUUUGCCUUAUUUCCUGUUACCUCCCCACAUACAAAAUGGAAUGCACUGUAAAAUAUGUUAAUGUUAUAUAAAUGCUAUGGGCUGAUAGGGUACAGGGGAUAGUGAAGGUGUGAUAAUAGAGGGGGAUGAUAGGGGAAAGGGAUGAAAUUGAAAAGAAGCAUAGGAGAAAAAGGAUACUGUUGGGGUAGAACCUAGAGUAGCAGGAGAAGUGAAGAAAGGGACAGGAGACAAGAGAGGAGGAGAAAGGGUAAGAAACUUACAUCAGUACUUCUCUCUUUUUCCAUUGCAGGGCGAUGAGGAAGGAGAGAGGAGCCCUCGAACCAUUUAGGCGUAACCACAGUAGGCUUUCACCCUCCUUUCAAUUUCUAGAUGGGUUUAUGUUUGGAGUAAGUCAAAUGGUGCAUUCAGCCCCCAGUACAGGUUGCCAAUGGUUAGAUAUACUGGGGAUCCAUGAUGGGAAAAGCAGAGAUGUCUUAGGAAAGUCAGGUCACAUGACUGUUGGUUUGGUUAGUCAUGUAACAGCUAUGGAACAUGGGAUCAUUUUACAGAAGCAGGUAAACUUUAUAUUUUAACCGCUGUGACCUUGUAAUGUUCUCAUAUUGCUGGAUGAUGAACACUAGAAGGAUUUCAAACAUCUUUCAUUUUCUCUCAAAUCACCAUUAAAACUUUAUGUGAUGCCUGAAUCAGAUUGUUGAGUACAUUUCUAUCUUCUUCCUCCCUGAAAGAACAGAAUGCAGUAAUGCUUGAAGAAUUGUCCAAUAUCUCACCACACAGUUUAGGUAUACAAUAACAUCAUACAGGACUUACACUGUUCCAAAGACAAGGGUGGGGCCUUUAAUAGGAACAUGUUACUAUUUACCAAUAUAUUGAUACGCGUCUCCGUUAUUCUGGACAUCUCUAUAUGGACACAAUCAAAUUGCUGUAAUUCCCGCCGAGGUUUGCUAUAAUAUUUAAUUGUGUUACAUUUACAUUUAUUCAUCCACUGUGUAUAUAUAUAUAUAUAUAUAUAUAUAUAUAUAUAUAUAGUUAAUACAAUGUUAAACAAAAAUCUGCACACCAGUCAAGCCAAAAGACUUGCUUUUCCCACAGAAAUCUCAAAUCUGCAGUGAUGUUACAACCGCAAAGGAUUCUGGGUGGGCAUAUGCAAAUGAGUUUAACAAAGAAUCAAAUUUUUGCCUCAUUCCAUUUUAAACAUGGAUUUCUUUUAGUCUGAGUUUGCAGUAUACAACUGAUUAGAACACAAUUUAGGAAAAGAUGCAAAACCAGUGAACCACUCAUGGACAGCUGUUUCGUUGUUAAUGCAACUCAUCAGCAUGAGGCUGGUUACUGGUUUGCUUAUUGAGGCUUGGUAGUGCUUGGGAAGCAAAAUCCAAAUAGGUUAUGGUGUAUAUAUAUAUAUUAAAAUGUUCAUGAUCUUUGUUGUAUGAACCAACCAAGCCAUGAGUCAGCUGAAGUGGUAACCAUAUAAUAAUGCUAGCUUUUCACUGUGAUUAUAGAUCUGUAUGAAAAUGAUCCCUAUAAAAGCAACAGGUCACUUUAAAUUUAUAUCCUACUGUCCAAAGUGGCAAAGAAGAGUUCCAUGACAUGAUCUCUUCAUCCAUCACAUGAAGGGCAAGUAUAGGAUAUCAGUGAGGUGACCAUGUGUAGCACAUGAUUCAAAUCAGUCCAGCUUUGAUUAAUUGGGUUCAAUCCCAGUUUCGAGAUUAUAACAACUGUUGUUCCCCUUCACCUCAGACCGACGGGCCUUUAAAGGGAAAGUAUCCAUUUCCUUCACGCAUGACAUUCAUUAAGGAGGAUCAAGUCCCAUUAGUGUUUAAAUGCUGGAUGAAAUUUGGACAAACUCAAUUUACUCAAGAUGUGCUAAAGGUAGAGUCACAAGCAGGAGCAGAGAACUCUCUGUGUUGCAUCUAGUGCUCAGAUCUGUUUCCAUUUAGCUGAGACAGAUACAUUCCUUGUCUUCGGAGAGGGAGGUUCCAGGUGAAGUUGCCGAAGCAGUUCAGUGUUAUCCGGGUUAUUUUAUCUGCAUUCUGGAAACUAAUCAGUAGAAAGUAAGCUUUUGGGUUUGAGAAUGAAAAGAACACAUACAGGAUUAUUCAAUGGGUAUUAUUGUUUGCGAGAAAUAAAAUAUUAAAUUCUAUGAAAGAGCCCCGAAAGAGUCCCUGUUGAUGCUAAUAAUUCUAAGCACAUGCAAAUUUAAAUUUAAUAACUAAUUAGGUAUUUUAUUUCAUUGUCAAAAAAGAAAAAAUAUACCCACUAGUUUCUGAAAGAACUUCUUGUGCAGAACAAUAGAACAUAUCUGUGCAAAAUCUAAAUGAACAGAAAUACCACUGUAUGUAAAGUGUCAUAAAUAACGAACACUGAAUUAUUUCAGCUAUUCAUGUAGAGAAUUGCCAAACACAGUUCAAGAACUACCAAAAAAUGGGUUAUUUGCAAUAAGUGAACCACUCAUACACUCAUGUGUUAAUCAGUUGCUCGGUCAUAAUGGCUAUACACUUAAGAAGAGAAAACCUGGCAUGGAAUACAUAGAGUCAUCACCAUCUGUAUACAAACAUUGUACAAUCCAAGCAUACUGAAAACCAACUCCACAUGCAGCUAUCAAAUGCACAUUUAAAACCUGUAAUAAAACCAUUUCCACAUGCAUAUAUCAAAUGCACUCUACUACCAUGUAUACAAUUAUGUUACUGGCCUGCCAAUCUUUAUAUUCUUCUCUUCAAAACUCUGGCCCCUUUUCUUACUCAUCCACUCAAAUGUGACAUUCUUUGUUUUGGGUCUGUUGAACCAUGUUCAUUCACUCAUCUGUCUCUUUUACACAUGCUCAUUUGCCCUUUGUGCCAUACGUUUUUAUGUGUAUCCUCUCAUCCAUGCAUGGUUUUGUGGAUGCUGAAACUGGUCAGCACUUAUUCUCCAUUUCUGGUUCAGUCUGUCCUCUAUCCCACCACAUGCAUGGGAUAUGGAAAAGGGAAGACUGGUGGAGCUUCCCGUAAUAUGCUUUAUGGCAAUAUUUGUGUGGAUAUAAUCCUGAAGGGCCUGAAAAAGAGCUUUCACAAGGAUGUGAAUAAUUAUAGUCAUAGUCCAAGGAAUAUUGAGUGUAGGCAUCUCCAAAACUAACUGUACUCUGCUUUCAUUCAGUAUCCAUUAAUAACCUUUAAUCGUCUUAAGUUCUAAUAUCCUCUACCCAUUAUUACAAAAUAAAUCUAAUACUACCUACUGAUGACAUAAAAAUUACCAUUUUGUAGACUGUAAUGGGCUGUGCUCUCCUGAACGCAGUGUUUUUAUAAUAUAGCUCAAAUUAUGGUAAGCAUUUCCAACUCAUUUAACACAGACACUUUUAACAGAUAUCUCAGUUGCGAACUUUAGCAUUUUUGCUGUAAGCUAUAUGUGAUAAAGGAGAAACUUAGAAGACAUUACAGUAACCAGAUGCAAGCAGAUUCUGCAAGUUAUUGUCCGGUGUUAAUAAGAGAUCAUGGAAUCGGAUCCAUUUCCAAUAAAAUCCUGGUGCCUGGCCAGCUGCCAGAAGAGGUCCAUUAUUGGUAAAGCAAUGUGAAUUAGUUUUAGAAAUGUAAAAGUUUAUUGCACACACCCGGUCUAUAUUGUAACAUAAGCCUGCAUUGCACAAUUGCUUGGUCUAAAGUCCAACAAUAUCAGUCAUUUGUCACAUUAUAAUGUUUUAGUCAGUUGAUUAUGAAGAGGAACAUUCGUGAGGUUUAGUUAGUGUUUUACCCAAAGUGAAGGCAUACAAAAUAAAAUUUAGAAAUGUCUACAACGUUAUGAUAAUGAUUUAAAGAGUAGCAUACAAAGUAAAAUUGCAUGUUGAUAUUAUAUCAACAAAGAGAUUAAUGAUACCAUAAAACUUUUGCUAGAUAGCCAGUCCGUCUACACAAAAAGUAUUACUCAGUAGAAUGGGUUAUGUCUUCUGCAGGAGCAGCGUGGACUUAUUUUCAUUUAGUUGGAGACUAACGGAGUGACUUUGGCUUAGCCUAGACUUUACAAAGAGUUCACAUUAGGGUCAGUGUGGCAAGUCGGCAGACAAACAAAUUACUAGUCCUGAACACAAGGUCACUCAGAUGUCACUGGUCAAAAAUAACUCUUUAGAAGGGGACUUGAAAGAUUAGCUACACUGACCAGACGUCCUGUAAAAAAAAACAAAAAAAACCCACAUAUUCAUAUAAUGAAAUAAAUGCAGUAGCAAAUGUUGAAAUAUUAAAGAGUAAGACCACCGCAAAUGAACAUUUCUGCAAAUUAACAUUACCGUCGGUAACAUGUUCAAGGUUAUUCACUAAAGUGUGGAUUGUCAAAAAUUGAAAUAGAAUCCAUUGUGAAUUAAACAUUUUAGGCCAAAGUAUCCAAAAAUAAAAUUUAACUGACUUUUUUCAGCUUGAUUAUUUUAGGCCUACAAUUUUUAAUUCACUUUGAAUUUCCUUGGAAUUCCAGAUAAUUCAUUCACUAAACUAUGAAUUUCAACAAAUUAAAAUCUGAAUUACAAAAUUCAGAUUAAAGUAAUAUAUCUGGAAACAUUCUCAAACUCAGCUUUAGUUAUAGUUUGUGCAUUUAAACUUUUUUUUUUCAGUUCACUACAAUUUAGAGUGUGAUAAAUAAACCUUUUAUUGAAUAUCCCUGUGUGAUAAACACAGAAGAAUUGAAGUGAAUUGAAUGACAAGUGAAGAGAAUUGGUGAGUGUAUACAUGAUGCAAACAAAAGCAAACAUACAAAUAACAGCACUUCUUACUCACAAUUUAUAGCCCCCUUUCCUCACCCUAACACAUGGACGAGAAGUUCAUCAAGUGUGAUCAGGAUUUGUACCAUUGUAAAUCUGAGCUCACACAGAAUCAGUUUCAAGAUCUCUGAACAUUUUGUUAAGUUUCCUAAGAAUGGAUUUCUUGAAUAAAAAUCAAAUUGGAAUGAUCCAAAUGCCAAAAUAUCAGUAGUAUUGUAGUAUACAGGGAUGUUUUUUUUGUAAAUCAAAUUAACAAUAAAUAUUAAAAGAUACGCUUUCAAGAGGUUCCUCUUUUCUUCAAGAAUGGCUUCUGACAAAGAAGAAAGGAAACUCUCAAAAGCUGAUCUUUCGAUAUAUAUUGUUAUUCCUAUAAAAAAGUACUCCUGUUAUAUUGGCAUUAAAAUUUCAAAUAUUGCUAUUAUUAUUGUAUCUCAGUAAAAUAAAAUGAUUAUCGUUAUUAUAUUCCUUGGGACUGGUUGUCUGGGAUUUAAGGAAACUUGAUUCAGAUAUUUGUGUAAUUCCUGCUGAGCUGAUGACAGUAUCCUGGGAAGCUGCUGGCAGAAUCCAUUCUUUCCUUGUCAAAGAUUCCAAGACAAAUCUAUUUCACCCAUUUAGUGCUGGAACGACCAGAGAACUGGGUAAAAUAACUUAAGUUUGAUCUGUGAACUCCAAAACAAAUGCUCUAAACACAACCAUAUGUGCUAACUGUGCAUUAACAGACACAAUCCAAAAACCAGAUCUAUAUUGCGUGUCCCUUUUAAUUCUGAGAGACUUUUUGAAUACAAUUAAUUGUAGAAAGCAUAACUACAUCCCAGAUAUUGUAUUAAAAAGGAAGUGGUAACUCUGUGUUAAAAUAGAGCCAGAGCCCUAGUGUCAGAUCUGAUAUUUUUAUAAGAUAGGAAGUGAUAUAAGUUUUCAUCAUGACAUGAAGCAUAUGGAAAUAUGUAUUUUAGGAGGACUAUAUAAGCCCUUAAUAUAUGUCCAAUAAACAACGGCUGACCCCCUUAUUUUUAUAGAAAAACACUAUGAAUUUGGUAGCUGUCAUAUCUGUGUAUAAGGGAAAGACUUUUUUUUUACGUUAUAUAAAGUCACAAUUUUUUACGUCAUCGAGCUUGUCUGAAAGAUGCAGUUUAUUGUUGCAUUAUGUGUAUAUUGAGAGGACGAGAUUAGUUUAUGUUGUGGUGUCUGUUUAUUGAUUUUACAGGAUAUGAUGUGUGCCUGUCUAUGAUUAUUAUUAUUUAUAUAGCGCCAACAAAUUGUGCAGCGCUGUAAAAUGGGUGGACUAACAGACAUGUAGUUGUAACCAGACGAGUUGGACGCACAAGAACAGAGGGGGUUGAGGGCCCUGUUAAGAGACUCUUAUGAAUUGUGGUGCUUGAAUACUAGGAGCUGACUGUUAAAUGUUAUGGUGUCUAUGUAUGAGGAAGAAGAUAUUUUUAUACCUUAUUCUAUUGGGUUAAGAAGAGUUUUUCAUGUUGCUGUGCCUGUGUCAGACGGAGGCUUUGCACUUUGCUGCCUUGGAGCGGGGCGAAGAUUGCUACAUAUCAUGAUGUUUGUGUAGUACUAGAGAAUGAGAAGUAUGUGUCCCUGAUGCCUCUCUAAGGAUAUGGAUAAAGUGCGUGAAAUGUCCGAAGUGUCAGACACAGAACAGUGUAAUGUGUAUCUGUUUCUCAUAUGUGCAGGAAUCCAUGGAAGAAGCAGUGACUGACAGCACAGCUUUUCUUGAGCCGCUGGAUGAGUGUAAAGUUCAAAAGUUCACUUGGAGCAAAGAGAUAUUUUUGUGAUCCCUCCCGUUAAAGGUGAAAUCCAUGCUGCCAGGUUUAAAAAAUGUAUUUCUUUUUGAGUAGAGCCUCUUAACUCGUUCCCUGCCUGGAAACAAAUUCCC